AAAAACGCAAGCAAUCCAAAGAUGAAGAAAACGAUUCAUCCUCGCGAAAGAGAAGAAAAGCUGACCUCAGUAAGCCUGUCAGUUUUGUCUCCACAGGUAAGGCUGAUGCGUGUGUCUAUAUAUAUAUGUGUAGGAACUGCUGAUUCGAUUUGAAUAUGUUAUUUGAUUAGUCUGAUCAUAGGAUAGGUUGAGUCUACUACUACUUCUGCCUUGCAUUGACUCGAAAUUCCUGGUGUUUUCUCCUGCAAAUGAAUAGAAAUCACAUCCUUUCUCCUUGUAGGAACUCUUUGUUAUAUUGUUCCAUUGGUAAUUGAUAGUGCCUUAAGUUCUGCAGCUGCCAUGACAGAGCCAGAAUCUUCUCGAUCUAGACCAGAAGGGGCCUAUGAUGUCUUCUUGAGUUUUAGAGGAGAAGACACUCGCAAGACAUUUACAGAUCAUCUAUAUACUGCCUUGGUCCAAGCCGGAAUCCACACUUUUCGAGAUGAUGAUGAACUUCCUAGAGGAGAAGAAAUCUCCGAUCAUCUCCUCAGGGCAGUUCAGGAAUCAAAGAUAUCCAUAGUUGUCUUCUCAAAAGGAUAUGCUUCUUCUAGAUGGUGUCUCAAUGAACUUGUAGCGAUUCUGAAGUGCAAAAGGAAGAAACGUGGUCAGAUUGCUCUUCCUAUAUUCUAUGACAUUGAUCCUUCAGAUGUGAGAAAACAGAAUGGCAGUUUUGCAGAAGCAUUUGUUAAACAUGAAGAGCGUUUUGAAGAGAAGUUGGUGAAGGAGUGGAGAAAAGCUCUUGAGGAGGCUGGAAAUCUAUCUGGAUGGAAUCUCAAUGAUAUGGCAAAUGGGUAUGCCUUUUUUCCAAAUUUAUGGAGUCAAUAUACUUUACAUUUUUCAAUGUGAAACAAUAAAAUACUUAAUUGACUCGCUAUCAAUGACUGGCUUUUGUCUAUGAGCAGGCAUGAAGCAAAAUUUAUCAAAGAGAUUAUCAAGGUUGUGUUGAAUAAAUUGGAACCCAAGUACUUAUAUGUUCCUGAGCACCUAGUAGGUAUGCAUCAGCUUGCUCGCAAUAUUUUUGACUUUCUAAGUACUGCAACAGAUGAUGUACGCAUUGUGGGCAUACAUGGGAUGCCAGGAAUAGGAAAGACGACUAUAGCAGAAGUUGUAUUUAAUCAACUCUGCAAUGGAUUCGAGGGAAGCUGUUUUCUUUCGGAUAUAAAUGAAAGAUCAAAACAAUUUAAUGGUGGUCUUGUUGAUUUACAAAAGCAACUUCUUCAUGAUAUUUUAAAUCAAUAUGUUGCAAACAUCAAUAGUGUUGAUGGAGGAAAGGUUCUGAUCAAAGAACGACUUCGUCGCAAAAGAGUUCUUCUUGUUGCUGAUGAUUUGGCUCACCUGGACCAGCGAAAUGCUUUGAUGGGAGAUCGAAGUUGGUUUGGUCCUGGAAGUAGAGUAAUUAUUACAACAAGAGAUUCAAGUUUACUUCGUGAAGCAGAUCAAACAUAUCAGAUCGAAGAACUGGAACCAGAUGAGGCCCUUCAGCUUUUCAGCUGGCAUGCCUUUAAGGACACCAAGCCAACAGAAGAUUAUAUUGAGCUUUCGAAGGAUGUAGUUGAUUACUGUGGGGGACUUCCUUUGGCUCUUGAGGUUAUUGGUGCUUGUCUGUCCGGGAAAAACAGAGAUGGUUGGAAAUCUGUAAUUGACAAAUUGAAAAGAAUUCCAAACCACGAUAUUCAAGGAAAGCUUAGAAUAAGUUAUGACUCACUGGACGGUGAAGAACUAAAAAAUGCAUUCCUUGAUAUCGCAUGCUUCUUUAUUGAUAGAAGGAAAGAGUACGUCGCAAAACUGCUAGAAGCCCGUUGCGGUUACAAUCCAGAAGUUGAUUUGCAAACUCUCCAUGAAAGGUCUCUGAUUAAAGUAUUGGGAGAGACGGUAACCAUGCAUGAUCUAUUACGAGACAUGGGAAGGGAGGUCGUUCGUGAAUCGUCUCCAAAAGAACCUGGAAAGAGGACCAGAAUUUGGAAUCAAGGGGAUGCAUGGAAUGUGCUUGAGCAGCAGAAGGUAAGAGCUCAAAGCAUACACGAAAGCAUGGUCAAUGUUGUAUUUUCUAGUCAUACUUAUUACAAAUAAUCGUAUGAAAGUUGUAUUGAUUUUUUUCAGGGUACGGAAGUUGUAGAGGGUCUUAAACUGGAUGUCAGAGCAUCAGAAGCUAAAUCACUGAUCACAGGAUCAUUUGCAAAAAUGAAAUGCUUAAAUUUACUCCAAAUCAAUGGAGCACAUCUCACCGGAUCCUUCAAACACCUUUCUAAAGUGUUGAUGUGGAUUUGUUGGCAUGAUUGUCCUUUGAAAUAUUUUCCAUCUGAUUUUACCUUGGACAAUCUAGCUGUUCUUGAUAUGCAGUACAGUAACCUCAAAGAACUAUGGAAGGGAAAAAAGGUGUGAAACAUGCUAUAAUCCCCAAAAUUUAUCUAGUAUGUAAUUUAUAUUUACAUGUUAUGACUUUCUAUGAUUAAUUUUUAUUAUUUUGCACUAUAUCAUACAGAUUCUCAACAGACUAAAAAUCUUUAAUCUCAGUUAUUCUCAGAACCUUAUUAAAACACCAAACUUGCACAGUUCAAGUCUAGAGAAACUAAAGCUGAAAGGUUGCUCGAGUUUAGUUGAGGUGCAUCAAUCAAUUGGAAAUUUGACGAGCCUCGUUUUCUUGAAUCUGGAGGGAUGUUGUAGUCUGACGAUUCUCCCUGAAAGCGUUGGCAAUGUAAAGUCUCUUGAAACUCUGAAUAUUUCUGGGUGUUCACAACUUGGAAAAUUGGCAGAACACAUGCGUGAUAUGGAAUCCUUAACUGAGCUGCUAGCCGAUGGGAUUGAAAAUGAGCAAUUUCUCUCUUCAAUUGGACAAUUAAAGCAUGUCAGAAGGUUAUCAUUGCGUCAAAACAGUUCGGCUCCACCAAGUUCUUCUUUGAUUUCAGCAGGUGUUUUGAAUUGGAAACGUUGGCUGCCAACACCUUUCAUUGAAUGGAUAUCAGUGAAACGUCUUGAGCUUUCAAAUGGUGGUUUGUCUGAUCGCGUAACUAGUUGUGUUGAUUUCAGUGGUUUGUCCGCUCUAGAAUUUUUGGAUCUAACUGGAAACAAAUUCUCUAGCCUGCCUUCUGGGAUCGGCUUCCUUCCCAAGCUACAGGUCUUGUGUGUUCAGGCAUGCGAAUAUCUUGUAUCAAUCCCAGAUCUUCCCUCAAGUUUACGUUGUUUGGGUGCAACUCAUUGCAAAUCAUUGGAAAGAGUGAGAAUACCAAUCGAGUCAAAAAAAGGACUAUAUAUAACUCUACAUGAAAGUCAUUCGUUAGAAGAGAUUCAGGGCAUCGAAGAUCUAAGUAAUAGUUUCUGGUAUAUUAACGUUUAUGGCCGCAGUCAUUCACCAAAUAAAUUACAAAAGAAUAUUGUUGAGGUACUAUUUCUUUCGGUCUCUGUUGCACAAAAAUAAACACACAUACAUUGAUUAAUAUCUAAAAUCUCAGUAUUCCUUGAAAUCAAUAUGUAUACAGGCAAUGUGCAACGGUGGUCACCGGUAUUGUAUUUUCUCCAUUCCUGGUGAGAUGCCAAAUUGGUUGAGCUACAGUGGAGAAGGAUGCCCAUUGUCAUUCCAUAUACCUCCAGUCUGCCAAGGCUUAGUUGUUUGGUUUGUCCGUCCACUUGAGAAGGAUGAUCAUUAUUACUUACGGUCUGACACUAUUAUUAUUAUUAUAAGAAAUAAAAGCAAUGGUAUUCAAUUGUUUGAAGAUAUACGAACACCACAAACUGCCAUACCAAAUAUUGGGGGAUGGAUAAGAUACAUAAGUAGAAGUGAAAUGGCAAUGGAAGAUUACUGUGGAGAUGACGAAUGGAAGAUUACUGUGGAGGUGCGCACCGGUCAUUCAUUCGAACCCGUACACGUUAAAGAAUGUGGGGUCCAUGUGAUCGCAGGGAAGUUAGAUUCAUUUGAAGAGUCGGCAGUGGAAAGAGAUACAGUGAUGUCUUCAUCACCGCUGUAUCAUCUGCUUCCUCAUCCCCAUUAUGGUUCAAUUACAGCGUCUACACCAAAGCAAUGGAGUGACUAUUUAUGUGCGAAGCUGCAUAAAUAUAACCUCAGUUUAGCUCUUAAAAGUAAGAACAAAUAUUUCAUUUAGUUAUUUCUAUUUUGUUAUAUUUAAUUUAAGAGAUUAAAUAUUAUCUUUAAUUAUUUUAUUUUUCUUAUUUAAUCUAAAAAAUUAAAUAUUAUCUUUAAUAAUAUUUGUUAUUAAAUAUUUAAAGUCUGUUCGGUAAGAAUACAUAUUUCCUUUAGUUAUUUCUAUUUUAUUCUAUUUAAUUUAAGAGAUUAAAUAUCAUCUUUAAUUAUUACAUUUUCCUUAUUUAAUCUAAAAAAUUAAAUAUUAUCUUUAACAAUAUUUUUUAUUAAAUAUUUAGAGUAUGCUUGGUUUUAUUUUUUUUCUUGAUUUUAUGAUAAUAUUUUUCUUAUUUAAUAUAAAAAAUAAAUAUUAUCUUUAAUAAUUAGAUCUAUCCAAUAUCACUUAAAAAAUAAAUUAUAACUUUAAUAAUUAUUUUUUGGAAAAAUAAAGGCCAACAAUCACUAACAUAUUUUAUUAAAAUCACUUUAGUUUAUUUAGAAAAUAUUGAAAAUUGAUUUUUGUUUUUUUACAUUAAAAUAAAAAAUUGAAUAAUGUUUUUAUAUUUUAUUUCAUACUCGAUAUUUUAAAAAUAAAAUGAAAAGGAUGUGAUAUUAACCUUUUUUUAUUAUAAAGUAAGUUUUUUAAAUUAAAAGGGAAGGGGAUUUGUUCAUAAUAACAAAAUACAUGUACAAUCAUGCACGUUUAACUUUAUUUCCAAACUUGAAAGUUCUAUUGAAUUUGAUGGCUUUUUAAGGUACAGAAGACUUGGAUUGACGUGAUAGUACAAGAUCAUUUUACAUAUAGAUGCUUGAAGUUGCUUCAAAUCAGUACGAUACUUCCAUCGGACAUGUUGACAUGUAUUUGUUGGCUUCAAGAUCAUUUUCCAAGCUUGGAAGUUUUAUUGAAUGCUCUUUGAAAUCUUUUACAUCCGCUUUUAUACUGGACAACCUAGUUGUUAAUUAUUAUUUAUGAAGUAAUUUAUAUUUUCAAGUUACAAAUUUUGAUGAAUAAUGUUUCAUUUUUUACCUCACUUCAAAAGAUGAAAAUCCUUGAUGUUAGUUAGAAAUAAAUUGGUUUUCUAGGAAGAGAUUAUUGAUUGGGAUAUUGUAUUUGAUUUGGUUCUUCAUCAUUUAAUGUUAUAAUUUAAAAUAAUUGAUGAAUUGAUGAAAGUUAUGAGAGCAUCCUUAAUUAGUCUAAUAAGUAAAGUGUUGUUAGUUUUGGCUAUAAGAUCUUGCUAUGUAUUAUUGCAUGGUUUUUACUAUUUUUUGGCGUUUUUCUUUUUGUAUAUACAACUUUAACAAAACCGAAACUAAAGGUCCAGGAUCAUUGUUAUGUCUUCUUCGCUUGCUGAGGUUUGGCCUGAUUUUUAGUUGCUGCACAAUCUUCUACGUGAUCAACGGAUCUCAAUUCAAUACACCCCCUCAACCGAAUGGGCAACUCUUGCACAUGAAGGUUGGUCCGUAGAUGAUUAAACCGUGCAACAGUCAGAGGUUUAGUCAACAAAUCUGCGAGCUGAUCACGUGUGGACACGAAGGAGACAUGAAGUUUCUGCUGCACAACUUGAUCUCGUAAGAAAUGAAAGUCAAUUUCAAUGUGUUUCGUACGAGCAUGGAACUUUGGAUUAGAUGAGAGAUAAGUUGCACCAAUAUUAUCGCACCAAAGAGUUGGACAACGUUGGAGAGGCAUUUUGAGUUAUUGCAACAAAGAUUAAAGCCAUUGCAUUUCACCAAAGGGCUGCUGCGUGCCACUGUUUGUUGUUGUUUGCAGCUCUAGCUAAUUAAAUUGGAUCCAUGAAAGAUACAAUAUGCUCCUACACUUCGCCGGUCAUCAUUGUCACCAGCCCAAUCGGCGUCACUAAAUCCUUGUAAAGUAUGAUCAGACUGAUGAGUAAUAUGUAAACCAUAAUUUACAGUGUAUUUGAGAUAACGAAGUAUACGUUUCACUGCCUGCCAGAGAACAUCUUUGGGCUGAUGCAUGAACUUGCUCACCUUGUGAACUGCAAACGCAAUGUCAGGUUGUGUAAAACCGAGAUAGUGUAAGGCACUGACUGUACUUCGAUAUAAAUAAGGGUCGUCGAAAUCAAUACCCUCAAAUUUGGAGAGUGUGCAGGUUGUGGACAUUGGUGUGCUGCAAGGUUUUACCUUAUGUAGCUUGAGUCUUCGUAACAAGUUAAUUACAUAUUUUCGUUGAGUCAGAAUCAGAUCACCACCAUCAUGCAGAGUUUCAACUCUGAGAAAAUAUGAUGACGGUCCCAAAUCUUUGACAGGGAAGGCACGUCCAAGGUAAGAAAUUAAUUUGUUGACUUCCUCAAAGUGAGAACCCGUGACAAUUAUGUCAUCAACAUAUAUAAGUAUCAGCAGCUGGAAACUUGCAGUCUGUAGAAUGUAAAGUGAAGGAUCUGAUUUUGAGCCUACAAAACCAUAUUGAAGCAAUUGAUCUAUCAAUCGAGAAAACCAAGAACGGGGAGCUUGACGAAGACCAUACAAACUUUUCUUUAAGCGGCAUAUACGAGUGGGAAAAUCUAGAUGAAUAUACACUUGAAGUUGACACAUAUAUACCUCUUCAUCUAGCAGUCCAUGAAGAAAGGCAUUUUGAAUGUCUAGUUGCCGAAUACACCAACACUGGGAGAGAGUGAUAGAUAACACUAGCCGAAUGGUUCCUUGUUUAAUGACGGGGCUAAAGGUUUCCAGAAAAUCAACACCAUGUUGUUGAUGAUAGCCUUUAGCUACCAGCCGCGCCUUGUACCGCUCCACAAUGCCAUUAGCAUGGGUCGUGAUACGGUAAACCCAUUUAUUUCCAACAAGAUUGAUGUUUGAUUUAGCUGGUACAAGAUCCCAAGUAUUUUUUUGUAAAAAAGUAGUAAAUUCCAUGUUCAUUGCUUCCCUCCAUUUGUGGUCUUUUGAAGCAUCAGUAAAAGAUGUUGGCAAGAUUGUGCAAGAAGUGCAUAAGGCAAUGGGUAUUUGAUGAACCCAACAUAUGGUUGCUUUGGUUUGAGAGAGUUUGUCUGAGAUCUGGUAGUCAUUUUUCUUGAUAUGUUGGAAGGAGCAAGUGCAUCAGCAAAAGAUGUAUGAACCGCAUGUAGUGCUGGAGUUGGAACCUCAUUUGAAAUAACAUUUGUAAUAACAAUAGCUGGAAUGAGAUCAGAUUCAUGUGGAGAGACAUGAUUGGCAUUUGUAACAUCACCUGCAAGAAGAGUUAGGGAAUUCGAAACACUUGGUUGUAAAUUGGCUGGUAAGGUGAUAGCAGUGGACUCGGGAACUAAGGACACAGAUUGGGGAGAUUUGUAAGGAAAGAAAAGUUCAUCAAAUAUGACAUGUCGAGACACAAAGAUUUUGCCAGUAGACAAAUCGAGACACUUAUACCCCUGAUGUGAGAGACUGUAGCCAAUAAAAAUACAUGUUUUCGAUCUGUAAUCAAAUUUAUGUUUGUUAUAAGGACGUAAAUUUGGCCAACAAGCACAACCAAACACACGCAUAAAGUUAUAAUUCUGUUUUUUAUGGUAAGCCUUUUCAAAAAGAGAGAAAUGAUUUAAAAUUUUAGUGGGAAGACGAUUAAUUAUAUAAACAACCGUUAAAAAUGCAUCCUCCCAGUAUGGUUUUGGAAGAUUAGCAUAAGCCAAUAAUGCUAGACCCAUUUCAACAAUUUGACGAUGUCUUCUUUCAACAGCUCCCAUUUGCUCAUGUGUGUACGGGCAAGCUAGAAGAUGUUGAAUACCAUAUUUGGAAAAAUAUGUAUUUAAUCUAUGAUACUCACCUUCCCAAUCAGUUUGAAUGACCUUAAUUUUGGUAUUAAAAUGGUGUUCAACAUACGUUUGAAAAUGUAAGAAAAUAUUUUCAACAUCGGAUUUUUGCUUAAGAGGAAAUAACCAAAUAUAUUUUGUGAAAGCAUCCAAGAAACAAACAUAAUAGCAAGAGCCGUAGCUGGAAAUCACGGAACUAGGCCCCAAACAUCUGAAUAAUUGAGUUCCAAGGGCUUAGUAACAUGAGGUACAGAAACGGAAAAAGGUAAAUUAUGGCUUUUUGCCAUCUCACAUUCAGGACAUAUCUUGUGUCUUUUAUUGGAAUGAAAGGAAAGAUUAUUUGAGCAGAUAACAUGAUUGACAGUGUUGUAAGAGGCGUGCCCAAGAUGACAAUGCCAAUCUGAGAUUGAAACACGAACACCAACAAGAGCUUUGGGAUAUAAAUGCUGAAGAGGCUGUGAAAAAUAGUAGAGACCAUCUUUGACGACACCCUUAUGCAGGGUGUUUCCCGAGUAAUCCUUGAUCAAAAAACAGGAAGCAUGAAACUCAAAAUAAACAAAAUUAUCUUCAAGGAAUUUUUUUUUAUAGAAAUAAGAUUUUUUGUAAUUUGAGGGACAACUAAUAUUUGGUCAAGGAUAAAAGAUUUAGAGUGUGCAGAUAAAGAUGUCUUGCCUAAAUGAGUUAUGUGCAAACUUGUGCCAUCUCCUACUUGAAUCUGAUCAUUUCCAGCAUACUCUUCACUACGAACAUUAAGGUUGUUGAAGUUAUUAGUCAAAUGGUGCGUAGCUCCAGUGUCGGCAUGCCAUUCUUGCUCCAAUGAGUGCUGAAUGUGUUGGUUGGAGGCAAUGUUGGCUUGAGGAUUUGGUUGAAAAGGUUGAGGAAGAAACUGACUGUCAAAUCUCUUAAAGCAUCGAGCCGCAGUAUGGCCAGGUUUAUCACAGAGCUGACACCAAUGAUUAGUGUAGUUGUUAUUUGGACGAGAAGCAGUUUGGAAAUUACCUCUACCAUGAAAGGAGGGAUGUACACGCCCCCUGCCUCGGAAGGUAAAAUUGUUGUUGCGGACACGGGAUCUAGAAAAGGAUUGUUGCUUGAUAGCAACAUUAGCUGAUGGUAUGGAAGACAGGAGAGCUUGCUGAUGAUGCUACACACGUGCCUCACAAAUGAGCAACAUAGAGUACACCUCUUCUAAGGUGACAUUUUCUUUAAUUGAAAUGGUGGUGAUAAGAAAAUCAUACUCAGGUCCUAGACCAGUGAGUAGGUGAAAAUUUCAUCUCAUUUGAGUGCCUGACCUGCCAUAGCUAGUUCUUUAGAGAGCUUUUUCACAUACAAGAAAUAUUUUGUAACAGACUAGGUAGUUUUAGGAGCAGUAGCAAGCGUAGUGCACUGUGCUACUUGCAUGAGUAUAUCAUCAAUAAGAGACGCAUUAAUACAACUGAGAAGAAAUAUUGAAUUGAGAUCUGUUGAUCACGUAGAAGAUUGUGCAGCAACUAAAAAUCAGGCCAAACCUCAGCAAGCGAAGAAGACAUAACAAUAAUCUUGGACCUUUAGUUUCGGUUCUGUUAAAUGCCUUGAUUUACGUCUUCAGAUUCUACUUUUAAAUUUUGUAUAGCAAAUUAGUAGGAGUGAUUUACUCACAGUUGUAUUAUAAAAUAUUUAGACUCUGUACACAACAAACAAUCGAAAUAAGAAAACAAUUCUACCUCAUCUGUCUCUGUUAAAUUCUACAUGGUAUCAGAGCCAACAAUUUACGUCCUCUCAUAAAGAUUCUUCUCUGUCCAUUACUUUCAUCUCUUCCUUCUAAACUCCUUUCUCAGAUUCCUCUUAGCUACCAUGGCCGCCUCUCCCCAUUCUUCCCUUACUUCUAACAACACUUUACCUGUCUUCAAUCCUUCUUCCAGCAUCAAUAUCACCAAACUUACUGGCACCAAUUUUCUAAAUUGGAAAGCGACCAUGCUUCCCUAUCUCAAAGGUCAAAAAGUGUUUGGCUAUGUUGAUGGCAUUAUUAAAAUGUCUGCAAAGGAAAUUCCUCACGGUGAUAGCACCAUGCAAUCAAACCCAGCCUUUGAUAUAUGGGAAACCCAUCACAAUCUUCUACUUGAUCAACGAAUCUCAAUUCAAUAGUUUUGAGUUCAAAUAGACGUUUAAAAAGGGAGUUUUUUUCAUGAAUGCAACCCUUCAUGUAUUCAAUAUGAAUGAUGGGAGAUUUUAAUGUCUCGUGAAUGCAUUCAUUUAUAUAUGGAUGAUUUUGCAAAGAAUUGGUUGGUAAAAAACUUAAUUUCGAUAUAUAAAAACUGAAGAGAGAACAAUAAAUAGAUAAGAAUUGGUAUGAAAAAAAUAAUUUGUAUGUGUGUAUCGACUACAUUUCAUGUGUUGUAUCUUGAAAACACAAUCUCAAUAAUCUUAAUGUGAGGAGUGAUUUCGCUUUGCCGUACUGUUUAUCUUCUUGGCAUUGUUCAAAGGAACCCAAGGGGCGUGGCGUGAUGGCAAAGAGUUUGAGAUCUGCACAGCAGGUCUCGAGUUCGAGUCAGGCGUGCACCUCUUGUAAGAGCCUGGGACAGCCGGGGUUUUACUCGCUCAUCUGGGCUCACAAAGUGCGCUUUCCGGGGGGUGGGGUUUCCUUAAAUCCAAAAAAAAUUCUUGGCAUUGUUCAAAGGAACGCAAAAAGACAUUCCAAGCGUGAAAGUGUAUUAUUGUAAUAAAGUUUUUCAAACUUCCAAUAUAGAGAGUGAAAUAAAGAACUAUUAUUGUCAUAAAUUCUCUAAGUGCAUCAGUUCCACAAAUCGCUAGCAUGUAAUUCACCGGAUCUAUUGCAAACAAUUCCCUCAUAUGUCUAAAUUCCAAACAAACCAACCACCACCAUAACAUAGGAAAUCAGAGACAGAUUCAAUAUCUCCUUUUCUUGGACAUUCAACAGAAGAUUAAAAAUGAAGUAAUAAAACAUUAUAAGUUCCAAAAAUCCGCAAAAAAAAAAAAAAAAUUCCUGAAAACAAUACCUGAAUACCAUGGAACAGUAAUCCUUCCAUCUGAAAUCCACAGAUUGAUGUGGAGGCGUAGACUUUGAUCCUUCCGGUGGAAACCUCGUCCAGAACUUUUCUUUAGGAUCAAAAUCACUGUGUCUUAGUUCCCUCAUUAUUGCAUCAUGCUUCCCCACAGAAUGACUACCAAAAAAGAGAGGAAACAAACUAUUAAUCCAAACUCAUAUAAAAUCCCACCAAAGAAACCCCAUAUUGACCAGUAAGAGAGUACCUGAUACCCAGUUGAAGAUUAAGCAUCAAACCAUAAUUCUUGAGCCCUUUCGAAAUCGUUUGUCCUUGUUUCUUAUUAACCUCACCAUCAACAGAACUACAAGGACUUCUACCUCGCUGCAGCUGCUGCUGCACAUUACCCUCACAUCCGCCUCCAUUAUCAUCAUUACCAUCUCUAUAAAACAUAGAAGCCUCCACAUUAUCAACAAUAUCACAAGUAAUAUCACCAGCCUCCCCAUCCAACUCCCAAAUACAAAUCUGAGGAAAAUUCCCAUCCACUGGUGACCUCUUCCUCCCUCCCCCAACCCCAACUACUGGAUCCAAUGCCACCCCUUUAAAAUCCUCUCCACCACCACCAAGAACUCUCCCAUUCCCAUUCCCACUACCAAAUGUAAACAUUCCUUUCCCUUUAGGCACCCCAUUUUCCUAGUACCCUUAAUACCUCUUCCCAUUAGCCCAAACCAAUACCCCUUUCCCAGAUAUCACCCCAUGUUUCCACUCACCUACAUGCUCAUUCCCAUUACAGCACCUAUACUUCCCUUCCCCAUCUUGCAAAUUAAACUUCCACAAACCUUGAUAAACAUCCCCAUUGGCGUACCUAUACUUCCCUUCCCCAUCUUGCAAAUUAAACUUCCACAAACCUUGAUAAACAUCCCCAUUGGCGUACCUUACCAAAGCCUUGACAAACCUUGACUUGGAGUGACAAAAACUCAUUUGCACAACUUAUCCAUUAUGUAAUUUAUAUUUUCAAGUUACAAUUUUUGACGAGCCUCGAGUUUAGUUGAGGUGUAUCAAUCUGUUGGCUAUUUGACGAGCCUUGGUUACUUGAAUCUGAAGGGAUGUUGGAGGCUAAAAAUCCUUCCACGAAGCAUUUGUGAUCUGAAGUCUCUUGAAACUUUGAAUAUUUCAGGGUGUUUAGGACUAGAGAAGUUGCCGUAUUGCAUAGGUGAUAUGGAAUCCUUAACUAAGGUGAUGGUGGAUAGAAUUGAAAAUGAGCAAGUUCUCUCUUCAAUAGGACAAUUAAAGCAUGUCAGAAAGAUAUCAUUGUGUGGAAACACUUUUUAUCAGAACUCAUCGUCAUUUACAUUUUGGCAUCCACCAAUUUCUUCUUUGAUUUCAGCAAGUGCUUUAUAUUGGAAACGUUUAAUGCCAAAAGCUUUCAUGGAUUGGAGAUUAGUGAAAAGUCUUGAACUUUCCGAUGAUGGUUUGUCUGAUCGCGCAACUAACUGUUUUGAUUUUAGAGGUUUGUCCUGUCUAGAAGAAUCGGAUCUAUCACAAAAUAAAUUCUCUAGCCUGCCUUCUGGGAUCGACUUCCUUCCCAAGCUAGGGACCUUAAGUGUUGUUGGAUGCGACAAUCUUGUAUCAAUCUCAUAUCUUCCCUCAAAUUUAUACCAUUUGAAUGCACUUUAUUGCAAAUCAUUGAAAAGAGUAAGAAUACCAAACCAGUCAAAAGAAGAACUACUUAUAGAUCUAAAUGUUUGUCCUUUAUUAGAAGAGAUUCAGGACAUCGAAGGUCCCAAUAAUAUUUUCUGGUCUAUUUAUGUUGAUUUCCCUAGGGAUUCAUCAAAUAAUUUUCAGAAAAGCCUUGUUGAGGUACUAUUUGUGUCUCUCUUGCACCAAAAUAAACACACACAUUUGAUUAAUUUUUAAAAUCUCAGCAUUACUUGAAAUCAAUAUAUAUUUAUAAAAGCAUUGUGCGUCGAUGGUUACCAGUAUUGUAUUUAUGACAUUCCUGGUGAGAUGCCAAAUUGGUUGAGCUACAUCAUUUGUUCCUAUAUUUUCCUUGUGACUUAAUAAGAGCGUCUACACCUGAGCAAUGAAGUAAGUAUUUAUUUCCGAAGCUGCAAAAACAUAAUCUUGAUUUAAUGCUUUUUGGUAAGAAUAAAUAUUUCAUUUAGUUAUUAUUAUUUUAUUUCAUUUCAUUUAAAACAAAAAUUAUCUUUAAUUAUUUAAUUUUUCUUAUUUAAUUUUAAAAAAUAAAUAUCAUCUUUAAUAAUAUUUUUUUUAUUAAAUAUUUAGAGUAUGUUUGAUUUUAUUGUUUAUUUUUUUAUUUUAUGAUAAUAUUUUUAUUAUUAAAUUUAAAAAAUUAAAUGUUAUCUUUAAUAAUUAGAUCUAUCCAAUCUCACUUAAUUAAAUCGUUAUUUUAUUGCUAGCAACUUAUGAGUCUUUUAAGCCAAAAGAAUUGUAGGAAGAGCUAAAAUUAGCAAGGAAUAUUUAGAGUCUAUUUGAUUUUAUUGUUUAUUCUUCGAUUUCAUGGUAAAAAUUUUAAAUUUUGAAAAACAUAAAUUGAAGACUUAUAUGUUUUGAACUUUUUUGUUUUAAAAAAAAAACCAACAGUCACUAACAUAAUUUCUUAAAAUCACUUUAGUUUAUUUGAAAAAUAUUGAAAACUGAUUUUUUGUUUUUUUACAUUAAAAACAAAAAUUGAACAAUCUUUUUAUAUUUUACUUCAAAUAUGGUAUUUUAAAACAAAAAUGAAAACGAUGUGAAAUUAACCAUUUUAAUUAUAAAGUAAGUUUCUUAAUUAAAAAUGAAGGUGAGUUAAUUUGUAAUAACAUGAAUUUUGCUGGUUUUUCAUGGAACGCAAUAAGUAUUGGACCUUUCAGAUUUCUUUCUGACAACUUAUCCAUGAUGUAAUUUAUAUUUUCAAGUUACAACUUUUGACUAAUACUUUUUCAUUCUUUUAUCACUUCUCAAUAUUCUCAACAAAAAGAUGAAAACCCUUGAUAUUAGUUAGAAAUAAAUUGGUUUUCCAGGAAGAUAUUAUUGAUUGGCAUACGGUAUUUGAGUUGGUUCUGCACUGUGUUUGGUAUUGCAGUAGCUGUUCUAGUUGAGGUUUGAAAAAAGUUAUUUUAUAAAAAGUAUUUUUAGUUGAGGUUGGUUUGGAAAAAUAUAUGUUUGGUUAAAAUUGUGGUUGAAAUUGAGGUUGAACAAAACGUAGUUUAAUGUGUUUGGUUAAGAAUGCUUUUGAAAUUGAGGUUAUAAAAUAAUUUUAAAAAAUAUAUAUUAAUAUUUAUGGUUUUUAAUUUAAAUAUUGUAGAUUUAACUCUUGCUCUUACAUCAUGAAAUAAAUAAUACUUUAUAUAAAAUAUUUUUUAUUGUUCCAUUAAAUUAUCUACAAUUCCAUUACGUAUAAAAUACAUCCGACAAGGACUACAUCUUUCACAAAUUUCUUAAGAGUGCAAUAACAUCAGGUAAAAUAUAAUCAGGAACAAAAUUGAGAUUGCAAUCAAAUUCUGCAAAUGCUACGUCAUCAAGCGAUCUUCGUUUAAUUUAUGUAGUGUCAUUGAAUAAUGUUUAACACUAGUUUUUCAAAUAAAAUACAAUUAAAAAUAUAAAAUAUUUUUUUAUUUUAUUGGGUCGGACCGGUUCAAUGUAUUUUUAGCUUUGAACCGGACCGGUCCGGCCGGAACAGUGGAGGCAUGCUCCACUGUUCAUUGAAGAAAACCCAUGAUCAAUGGAGCAUGGCUCCACUGUUCAUGGGUAAAUUCUCAGCACAAGAAGCAACAAAGAGCUGCUUCUUGUAAACCUGCGGCACACCCUCAUAAAGGGAUGGCUCCACUGUUCAUGGGUAAAUUCUCAGCACAAGAAGCACCAAAGAGCUACUUCAUGUAAACCUGCGGUACACCCUCAUAAAGGGUGGGUCCUACCAAAAAAAUUAUGGCCUUUUCUUAUAACCAAACAAUAAAAACUGUGGUUGCAAGUGAACCUCAUCCGUAGCCACAAUACCAAACGACCACUUAGUGUUAUAGCUCAAGACAAUUGAUAAAAACUACCAAUACAUUAAAAAAAAAGUACUUGUUCAAAAAGCAUUUUUAAUUGGUAUAAUAAAGAAAUUUUUUGCUAUAAAAUCUUUCUAUGUAUUAUUGCAUGAUUUUUAAUAUUAGCACCAAUUAAUAAUAAAUCUUUGACUAUUAUUAAAAAGGAAAAAGAAACUCAUGCUUGAAGGGUGCUCAAGUUUAACUUAGUUAUAAAAAUCUAAUUUAAAAAAUAAUUAAUUUGUCCUUAUAGUCUUAGAAAAUAGUAUUUAAUCCUUAUGUUUUUUAUAUUCAUCUAUGAUUUAAUUUUUUUCCAUCAAUUUCAUUUUCUUAUUUAUUUUAAUCCUGAAAUAAAUAAAAAAAUCAAAAGGCAUAUCAUGAAGACCAAUUCAAAAUAAACAAGAUGCUUAAAAAAUCUUUUAGUAUUGUCAUAACCCAAUUUUUGACCCUUUUAAUAAUGAUGAAAAAAAAUAAUGACGAUGAAAAGCAAGUAAAAUGAAAUAAAUGAAGAAUGAAUUAAAAUUUGGGUUAAGGGCAACAUGAUUGAUAAGUUUUGAGACUUAAUUGAGCUUGAAAUUAAUUUAAUUAAUCCAAUCAAGGGUUUAAUUGGAGAAUUGAUAAGUUUUGAGAAUUAAUUAAGCUUGGAAUUAAUUUAAUUAAUCAAAUCAAGGGUUUAAUUAAUUGGAUAAUUGAUAAGUUUGGAGACUUAAUUGAGUUUGAAAUUAAUUUAAUUAAUGAAAUCAAGGACUUAAUUGAAGAAAUAUCAAAGUUUGGAGUUUAAUUGAGGUCUAAAUUGCAAAAAUUAAAAUCCAAGGACCAGCUUAAAAAUUACGCUGAAAUGAAGGGGUCUAAUUAAAGUUUGUCCAGGGGCUUGCUCAUGAAAAAUCCAAAACGUCAAGGACAAAAAGGCAAAUGGCCAUUAGCAAUCGAACGGCAUUGUUUCAGGAGAACUGUUCGUCUUCUUCCGCUCACCAAACCAGAGAAACGGACGCCCCUGCCAUCACUGCUCCUGCAAUAAACGGUCCUGAGUCUUCAUUACCAAGGGAAACGCAUGCCAUUCGACGACAAUAAAAAACCAGAGAAGGGAAGCUAAGCCCGGACACGAAAAAGUCAGGCAGAACCGAACUAAAAAAAAAAAGCAGAGGAAGAAAGGGCAGAACCGAGGGGCCAAUGGAGAGCAUGAACGAAAACAGAGAGGGGACCUAAAAACAGAGAAAUAGGGAGAGAGCAAAAGGACAGCAGGCCUGCUUUGCUUUUGUUCUCAAAACGCAAGUGAAGUGCAAGGAAACUGCAAGCGUUGGUCAGCCUAAUUAUUCGUCUCCAGCUACACACUCCAAACCAUCGGAAAGAAAACUGGAAAAAACCGAGGAAACAGAGGAUGGACGAGCAAAAGAACCAGAGGAGAAAACACGAAAAAAGAAAACUAUUAGAGAGAGAGGAAAGCCCAGGAAAUAAAUACACAAGAAAGAACCAACAUUUCAUCAUCGUCUUCGUCCCUUCCAUCUCAAUAACCGGGGCGACGAGCAGAGUUAAAAGCAAAGGAAGAAGUCUAAAACAGAAAGACAGGGGAAGCAAAGGGCAAACGCAAGCAGGAGACACAGAGACCAACAUCAACAUCCUCAUCGUCUUCAUCGCCUCCAGCAACGUCUGCAGAUCAGGUAAGUUUGUUUUCGUUCCUUUCUCUUCCAUUUUUCAUUGUAAAGUUACUGUGCAGCUUGGAUUUAAUUAACUUUUGCACGCACGCGUGGUGCGUGCCUUUGCCCAGCCGGGUCACUGCUUGGGCCAGUGACCAGGCCGGGCUGGCUGGGUUCAGCCCAGCCCAUGUGGGCUGAGCUGGGCCCAGCCCAAAAAAUGAAAAAAUAAAAAAACAGAAAAGUAAAAGAAGGUAGAAAAAAUAAAAAAAAUGUGUAUGGAUGAAUAAAAAUAAUGUAAAUUUAUUGGUUUAUUCACUGACGCCAGAGUCAGGAAUAAAAAUACUGGUUUAAAUUUAUAUUAUUUUUAUUCGGUGUAUUUUAUUUUAUUUAGCUAGAAAAAUAAAAAAAUAUGUGCAUGCGUAAAAAUCAAUUUAUUUUUAUUUAUUUAUUCACUGGUGCUAGAGUAGGGAAUACAAAAUAUUGAUCUAAUUUUUCGUAGCUAUGAAUUUUUACCAACGCCAGAGUUGGAAUUAUUCGAGCUUGAAUAUUCACUGGCGCCAGAGUCAGGAAUAUUAUAAACAAAUCAUCAUAGCAUAAGCGAAUAAAUAUUUAGCAAUUUAAGACAAAACCAGCAAUGCAGUCUGCCUCAGGCAGAACGUUUAAGGGGUGAUAAUAUCUUCUUUUUUACGUAACCAAUCCCGAGCCAUAGAAUCUCUGUUGACCAGUUAGGGUUCUUAGUGACCAUAAUACUAGGUGGCGACUCCUCAAACAAGACCUUUUCCCCUUAAAGAACCAGAUGCCAGAAAUCUGUUCUUUGUCCAUAAUUCAAGAUUUAUUUUUAGGGCCGCCGCGAUGUCGGGUGCGACAAGUAUGACACCUUUUUUUAAAAAAAAUAAGACAACAACAUAUUUAAUCAACCCGAGUUUUGUGGCCUAACCACACCGUGACAAUCAUAUAAAAAUUAAAUUUUAAAAAAUCAACCCAUAGAAACAAAAAUACAUUGAAAAAACAAAUUUAAAAUAAAUCAAAUGAUUAAAAAAAGUUCAAUAAAACAUAUUUUGUAAAAAAAUAUUACAGACAAUAAUAACAAUUAUCAAGCUAAUAUUCAUACUACUCCAUAUGAAGCCUUACAUGGUCAACGUUGUCAAUACUAAUAUAUUGAUACGAAGAUGGUGAAAAGAAGCUCAUUGGGCUAGAAGUAGUGCAAAUAACUUCUGAAAAGAUUAAAAUAAUUCAAACUAAGCUCAGGAAGUACAAAAUAGACAGAAGAGUUACGUUGAUCAUAUAUGACUGGAAUUGAAAUUUGUUGAUGGUGAUUAUGUAUUUUUGAGAAUUUGAAAAGAUUCUAUAUUGGGCCUUUGAAAAUUUUGAAGAGAAUUGGUACAGUUCCUUAUGGAUUAGCUCUUCCACCCAGCUUUUUCAUCUAAAUAUCCAGUGUUCCAUGUAUCUCCGUGCUCCAUCACAUAUAUUAGAGCCAUAAACAGUAGCAUUUCAAGAAGAUAUGUCAUGUGAGAUUCAACUGGAGAGAAUUGUGGAUAGACAAAUUAGAAAACUUCGUUCUAAUGAGCUAGAUUGCUUCAGUGAAAGUAAUGUGGGAAGGUCAUUGGAGCGAUGAAGCAACACGAGAACCUGAGAAGAUGGUACAUAAUAAAUAUCGUUAUUUCUUCAUUCAAUCAAGCUAGUUAGUUUUAAUUCGAGGAUGAAUUUAUUUUAAAAGGGGAGGAGGAAAUGUAAACAUUAAUAAAUAUGUUUAAGUCUCGAUUAACUGUUUGAUACUUGUUAAAAAACUAGUCAUGAGGGCAUGAAAUUGAGUCUCAAACUACAAAAUGAACGACAACUUUGAAGCAAGUCGACUAAGGUAGCAUAGAGUGCCUUGAUCAAUUGGACUAAAUUUUUUAUUUGAUGUAGAAACACUUUUUUCCUUUGUGAGAAAAAAACAAGUUAAAAAAAAAAGCAGAAAUUUGAAAAAAAAAGAAGAUAAAAAAGAAAUAUGCUUUAGUUUUUGUUUCCAGAUAUUUUGAUUACGUAGCUUUUUUUUUUUUUUUGCCUUUAUUCACCUAUAUUGGCGCUAUAAAGUUUUUUUGAUUGAGGUUUGGUUAAUAAACUCUUAUUUCAUCUUUACUGCGCUAUAAAGCUAUUGCUGUUGAUAGCUUUUGCUGGGUUGAUCUUUUUGGUUUAUCUCUAUCAUUCUGGACAAAAGAUGAUUUUCAAGCACAUUAUGGCCGUUUGAUUGGAAUUGAUAAUGCUAAAAGCACUUUUGCAAAUUUGACAGCAGCAAGGGAAGGGUGUUAAUCUGCAGAACUCCGAAGGAAAUUAUUUUCGACGAGAAUAGAAUUGACCAUGUUGUUUCAUUGUCAGGGAAAGCACUUAUUUCUUUAAUGUAUGUUUCCGGAGAUUAUUGCGGUGGCCGGUGGCAAAUGUUUUGGCAGCUAAUGCAAUUCACAAUGACCUUGGUCCUUGAGAUCUUUACCUAUUUUGGUUUUGGUCACCAAACUUCAUUUUUUUUCAAUUACAUCCUUGCAAGUUCUAUUAACACGGUUCUAUUUGUUGUUAUCCACUUCGAUUUUCAUGUUCUGGCAUAUAUCAUAUAUCUUUAAAUAUCCCUACAUUGAAUUAGAAAUCAAUUUUUUUUAACCCUUCUAACCCAGUUGCUAUUAAUUAAGGUUAGUUCUCCACCUGCAUGUUCUUCCUUCUCAAGCGUGGCAUCGGUCUUUAGCUACACUUACUUAGUCCCUGUUAUUUAUAAAGCUUAUAAUUUAGUUCAAGUCAAUAAAAGGUUAGCAAUUUAAUACAAAAGCUCAUGGCCAAGUAAGAGAUGUUUAUUUUGGAUGUAAUAAAUAUUCAUAUUGGAACAUAAUAUUCAUCUCUCAAAUCCCUAAUCCAGUUGAUCAUAUAAAUAAUUGUGUUAAUUAAUAACUAUAAGAAAUAAAACCCCUUACUAGUUGAUUACUUGAAUAAAAACUCAAGAUUGUCGAGCAAAGUAAAUAAAUUACUUACUCAGGGUUACUAGAGGAGUUAUUUGCCAAGAUAUUUAAAAAUACAGUUGAACCGUGUUUUCUAAGAUUUUUUUGGAUCAUUCUGAUAUACUGAUAUCAAAAAUAAAUUCUAAAAUAUUAUUUUAAUAUAUUUUUAAUUAAAAUUUUUUUGAAAAAUAAUUUUCACUGCAAUCCUACACAGGUUUAGAAGUUUUUCAAAUAUAUGGAUUAAUGUUGACUCUCUAGUCAUUUUUUAUAAUAAGUUUUGAAUCCAAACAAGUGAAUUUAUAUGCAUGCUUGGACAGCUUGAUUUUCUCUUUAAUUUAAUCAACAAUAAUUUUUCAUUUUCAAUAAAAAAUUGAGUUUAUUAUUCGAGUAAGACAAACUCUGUAUUUUAAAAUACUAUUGCCAAAAGAUUCUCUUUAUAUGAAUCAAGACAACAGUAUCAUUCAAAUGUUAGGAAUAUAAUAACUUUUACAUAUUUUUCAAGUUUGGUAGAAUAGUAGUGGAAUAAUUCUUUUAAUAUUUAAAAAUUAAAAAAAUAUUGUGUAGCUGUUUUGUAUAAAUUGUAAAGUAAAAGCACAGAGAGAAGAACGGUCCGAUAAUAAAGGACCUCAAUAAUGCUAACGCGUGGGACCCAGUUAUUGCAACCACCACGAAAUUAGCGCUCCAAAUUCCAGCUCAAUAUUUACCAGUACUACACGCUUGAGAAAUUUUAUUAACAAGCUUAGAGUAGAAAUUUUAUUAACAAGACAAAUUUAAAAUAAACCUAGAGAUUUACAAGCUAUCAUUAACAAAGCACAAGAUUAGAUUUACAAGCUUCAUGUCACUUCAUGACACGCUUGUUUUCAACGUUUUAUAUUAUUUUAUUUUUUUUGUUUUUAUUUUUUAAAAAUAUUUUUAAAAAAUUUUGAAUUUUAUUUUUAUUUUUUUUAAUUUUAAAUUAAUAUUUUUAAUGUUUUUAGAUUAUUUUAAUAUGUUAAUAUUAAAAAUAAUUUUUAAAAAAUAAAAAAAUAAUUUUUUAAUAUAUUUUUAAAUAAAAAAUAAUUUAAAAAACAAACACAACGCUUUUACAUUUUAAAAGAAGGGUUCAAGGGAGAACAAUAAUGAAGGGGAAUCAAAAUCUUUGUUAGCAAGAAAAAAUUAUAAAAGUUUAAUAAUUUUUAAUAGAAAUAAAUAAAAUUUCUAAACUAAAUAAAAAUAUUUGAUAAAAAUAUUUUCUAUCCCAAAAAUUCUUAUAUUAAAAUCUCAUUUAUCACAUUUUAUAUCUAUAAAAAACUAAUUUGUCACAUGUACAUUUUAAAUUAAUUUCAAUUCAAAAUAACAAAAUAUGAUGGACAUUUUUUAGUAAAUUAAAUUCAAUUCAAAAUAACAAAAUAAGAUUUCUUGAGGCUUAUCGUUAAACCUCGUUUUGGGAUGAAUUGAUCACGAGAAUAAGAAAUUAUGUGUAAAUUAUACAAAAUUUAUUAUUAAUCAUCAAGAUUUAUUAUUUAUUAUCAAUAUUGAAUAAUGAUUUAUUUUAUAAUAUAAAUUAUGUUUAAAAUAAAAUUGAUAAAAUUAAAAUACAUGAAACGAGGUUGUAUAUUUUGAAACUAAAUUAAAAUCAUUUUCUUUUUCUAUUGUAUCCUUCAAAAUUAUUUAUUUUAUAAAAAAAAAACUUGUUAGCUUGCAAGUACACAUGUCAUGAGUCUCCACUGCAUCAAAUUUGCAAAAUCAUAUGGCCCAUUGAUAGAAAGGUGUGUUCGAAAAAAUGUUAACGCUUGAGAAAUUUCCUUGCUUUUUUUCCUCUACGUGUUCCCUUUUACCUCUUUUAUAAUUAUGAUUAUUGCAUCGCUAAUAAUUUGCAAGAAAGAUGAUGAACAUUUUUUAGUGAAUUAAGUUCAAUUCAAAAUAACAAAAUAAGGUUGGUUGAGGUUUUUUUAGAACCUCGUUCAGGGAUUAAUUAAGGAGAAUAAAAAAAAUCAAAUUAUACAGGAUUUAUUAUUAAUCUUUUAUAUUUAUUAUUGAUCAUCAAUGUUGAAUAAUAACUUAUUUUCUAGUAUAAAUUAUGUUUGAAAUAAAAUUGAUAAAAGAGUACAUGAUACACAAUUAAUGAUGGAAUCGUAUAUUUUAUAUAAAAAUGAUUAAAUUGAGAUUUAUUAAUUACCUUUAAACAUAUUAUGGUUUUAAUCGGUGGAUGAUGUAAAUUAUAAAACAAUAUUUAUUUUUCUGAUAUAUAUAAUUAAACAGUCUCUCCUGAACCAAAUAAUAAAAAUAUUGUAUAACUUUUUUGGAUGAAUUGUUAAAAUGUAGGGACUGUUUGGGUUCCUGACAUGGCUGAUUUUAUUUGAAUAUAUUAUUUGAUUAGUGUUGACUCUACUAUUGCUGCAUUGACUGGAAAUUUCAGUAUUCAAUAACCUUGCUUUACUCUGCAGCUAACUUCUCUGUCCCAUUGCUGCCAUUUCAUAGCUAACUCUUUGUUAUAUUUAACUUCCUCUUCUUUGCUUCUUGCUCAUAACGAUAACUUGAAAGCCUUACGUUCAGAUAGAUAAUCAUUGACAAGUCCAUCCUAUAUCAUUCUAUUUAAUUUAGAAAUGCAGAAAGAAAAACGCAAGCAAUCCAAAGAUGAAGAAAAUGAUUCAUCCUCGCGAAAGAGAAGAAAAGCUGACCUCAGUAAGCCUAUAUAAAGAAUACAAUUAACCUCAUUUCAAUAUCAUAGCUUUGGAAUUUCAUAGCUAACUCUUCGUUAUAUUGCUCCAUUGGUAAUUGAUUGUGCCUUGAUUUCUGCAGCUGCCAUGACAGAGCCAGAGUCUUCUCGAUCUAGACCAGAAGGGGCCUAUGAUGUCUUCUUGAGUUUUAGAGGAGAAGACACUCGCAAGACAUUUACAGAUCAUCUAUAUACUGCCUUGGUCCAAGCAGGAAUCCACACUUUUCGAGAUGAUGAUGAACUUCCGAGAGGAGAAGAAAUCUCCGAUCAUCUCCUCAGGGCAAUUCAGGAAUCAAAGAUAUCCAUAGUUGUUUUCUCAAAAGGAUAUGCUUCUUCUAGAUGGUGUCUCAAUGAACUUGUAGAGAUUCUUAAGUGCAAAAAUAGGAAAACCGGUCAGAUUGUUCUUCCUAUAUUCUAUGACAUUGAUCCUUCAUAUGUGAGAAAACAGGAUGGCAGUUUUGCAGAAGCAUUUGUUAAACAUGAAGAGCGUUUUGAAGAGAAGUUGGUGAAGGAGUGGAGAAAAGCUCUUGAGGAGGCUGGAAAUCUAUCUGGAUGGAAUCUCAAUGAUAUGGCAAAUGGGUAUGCCUUUUUUCUCUAAGAUUCACUUGCACACAUUUAUGGAGUCAAUAUACUUUACAUUUUUCAAUGUGAAACAAUAAAAUACUUAAUUGACUCGCUAUCAAUGACUUGCUUUUGUCUAUGAGCAGGCAUGAAGCAAAAUUUAUCGAAGGGAUUAUCAAAGAUGUGUUGAAUAAAUUAGAUCCCAAGUACUUGUAUGUUCCUGAGCACCUAGUAGGUAUGGAUCGGGUUGCUCACAAUAUUUAUGACUUUCUAAGUACUGCAACAGAUGAUGUACGCAUUGGGGGCAUGCAUGGGAUGCCAGGAAUAGGAAAGACGACUAUAGCAAAAGUUGUAUUUAAUAAACUCUGCUAUGGAUUCGAGGGAAGCUGUUUUCUUUCGGAUAUCAAUGAAAGGUCAAAACAAGUUAAUGGUCUUGUUCCUUUACAAAAGCAACUUCUUCACGAUAUUUUAAAACAGGAUGUUGCAAACUUCGAUUGUGCUGAUAGAGGAAAGGUUCUGAUCAAAGAGCGACUUCGUCGCAAAAGAGUUCUUGUUGUUGCUGAUGACGUGGCUCAUCUGGACCAGCUGAAUGCAUUGAUGGGAGAUCGAAGUUGGUUUGGUCCCGGAAGUAGAGUAAUUAUUACAACAAGAUAUUCAAGUUUACUUCGUGAAGCAGAUCAAACAUAUCAGAUCAAAGAAUUGGAACCAGAUGAGUCCCUUCAGCUUUUCAGCAGGCAUGCCUUUAAGGACUCCAAGCCAGCAAAAGAUUAUAUUAAGCUUUCGAAGGAUGCAGUUGAUUACUGUGGAGGACUUCCUUUAGCUCUUGAGGUUAUAGGAGCUCUUCUGUACAGGAAAAACAGAGGUGAAUGGGAAAGUGAAAUUGACAACUUGAGCAGAAUUCCAAACCAAGAUAUUCAAGGAAAACUUCUAAUAAGUUAUCACGCACUUGAUGGUGAACUACAAAGAGCAUUCCUUGAUAUUGCAUGCUUCUUUAUUGGUAUAGAGAAAGAAUACGUCGCAAAAGUGCUAGGAGCCCGUUGCCGUCUCAAUCCAGAAGUUGUUUUGAAAACUCUCCGUGAAAGGUCUCUGAUUCAAUUUCAUUGGUGUAACAUUAAAGAUGAAAGGCAGUUAUUUGGAGAGAUGGUAGCCAUGCAUGAUCUAUUACGAGACAUGGGAAGGGAGGUCGUUUGUAAUGCGUCUCCCUUGCAUCUUGGAAAAAGGACCAGAAUUUGGAAUAAAGACGAUGCAUGGAAUGUACUUGACCACCAGAAGGUAAGAGCUCAAUGCAUACACGAAAGCAUAGUCAUGCGUAUUUUCUAGUCACACUUAUUACAAAUAAUUGUAUGAAAGUUGUAUUGUUUUUCUUUUAGGGUACGGAUGUUGUAGAGGGUCUUGCACUGGAUGUCAGAGCAUCAGAAGCUAAAUCACUUGGCGGAGGAUCAUUUGCAGAAAUGAAAUUCUUAAAUUUACUCCAAAUCAAUGGAGUACAUCUCACCGGAUCCUUCAAACUGCUUUCUAAAGAGUUGAUGUGGAUUUGUUGGCAUGAAUGUCCUUUGAAAUAUUUUCCAUCUAAUUUUACUUUAGACAAUCUAGUUGUUCUUGAUAUGCAGCACAGUAACCUCAAAGAAUUAUGGAAGGAAAAAAAGGUACGAAACAUGCUACAAUCCCCAAAAUUUCUCCAAUAUGUAAUUUAUAUUUACAUGUAAUGACUUUCUAUGAUUAAUUUUCAUUAUUUUGCUCUCUAUCAUGAUAGAUGCUCGACAAACUAAAAAUCCUUGAUCUCAGUCAUUCUCAGCACCUUAUUAAAACACCAAACUUGCACAGUUCAAGUCUAGAGAAACUAAUUCUGGAAGGUUGCUCGAGUUUAGUUGAGGUGCAUCAAUCAAUUGAAAAUUUGACGAGCCUCGUUUUCUUGAAUCUGGAGGGAUGUUGGAGGCUGAAGAUUCUCCCUGAAAGCUUUGCCAAUGUAAAGUCUCUUAAAUGUUUGAAUAUUUCUGGGUGUUUACAACUUGAGAAAUUACCAGAACGCAUGGGUGAUAUGGAAUCCUUAACCAAGCUUCUAGCUUAUGGGAUUGAAAAUGAGCAAUUUCUCUCUUCAAUUGGACAAUUAAAGUAUGUUGGAACUUUAUCAUUGCGUGGAUGCAGUUCGGCUCCACCAAGUUCUUCUUUGAUUUCAACAGGUGUUUUGAAUUGGAAACGUUGGCUGCCAGCAUCUUUCAUUGAAUGGAUAUCAGUAAAACAUCUUAAGCUUUCUAAUUGUGGUUUGUCUGAUCGCGCAACUAACUGUGUUGAUUUCAGUGGUUUGUCUGCUCUAGAGUAUUUGAAUCUAGAUGGAAACAAAUUCUCUAGUCUUCCUACUGGGCUCGGCUUCCUUCCCUAUCUAUUAACGUUGAUUGUCGAUGCAUGCAAAUAUCUUGUAUCAAUCCCAGAUCUUCCCUCACGUUUAUGCAUUUUGCAUGCAAAUCAUUGCAAAUCAUUGAAAAGAGUAAGAAUACCAAUCGAGCGAGAAGAAGAACUAUGUAUACAACUAGGGGGAAGUCAUUCGUUAGAAGAGAUACAGGGCAUCGAAAGUCUAAGUAAUAGUUUCUGGUAUGUUUGUGUUGGUGAGCACAGUCAUUCACCAAAUAAAUUUCAGAAGAGCGUUGUUGAGGUACUAUUUCUUUCAAUCUCUUUUGCACAAGAAGAAACACACAAUUGGCACAUAUAUUGAUUAAUAUCUAAAAUCUCAGCAUUACUUGAAAUCAAUAUGUAUACAGGCAAUAAUCAUUAUUAUUAUUAUUUUAUUUUAAAAAAAUAAAUAUCAUCUUUAAUAACAUUUUUUAUUUUUCUUAUUUAAUCUAAAAAAAUAAAUAUCAUCUUUAAUAAUAUUUUUUAUUAAAUUUAAAGUCUGAUUGGUUUUAUUUUUUAUUUCUUGAUUUUAUGAUAAUAUAUUUAUACAGGCAAUGUGCAACGGUCGUGACCCGUAUUGUAUUGCCAACAUUCCUGGUAAGAUGCCAAAUUGGAUGAGCUACAGGGGAGAAGGAUGCUCAUUGUCAUUCCAUAUACCUCCAGUCUUCCAAGGCUUAGUUCUUUGGUUUCAUAAGGAUUCUCAUUGUCACUUCCACAUUGACAUUAUUAUUAUUAUAAGAAAUAAAAGCAACGGUAUUCAAUUGUUUGAAGAAAAACAAUUACCAAUAGACACGGUACGUGGAAGGGUGGGAUGGACAAGAUACAUAAGUAGAAGUGAAAUGGCAAUGGAAGAUUACUGUGGAGAUGACGAAUUGGAACUAUACGUAUAUUCAAAGCCAUCAAUACUUGCGGUGUACAGAGGUUGGCAAUUAAAACCCGGACACAUUAAAGAAUAUGGGGUCCAUGUGAUCGCAGGGAAGUCAGAUUCAUUUGAAGAGUCGGCAGUGGGAAGAGAUGCAGUGAUGCCUUCACCACCGCUGUAUCAUCUGCUUCCUCAUCCCCAUUGUGGUUCGAUUACAGCGUCUACACCUAAGCAAUGGAGUGACUAUUUAUCUGCGAAGCUAGAAGGACAUAGCCUCGAUUUAAGACUUGAUGGUGAGAACAAAUAUUUCAUUUAGUUAUUUUUAUUCUAUUAUAUUUAAUUUAUGAGAUUAAAUAUUAUCUUUAAUGAUUUUAUUAUUAUUAUUUAAUCUAAAAAAUUAAAUAUCAUCUUUAAUAAAAAAAUAUUAAAUAUUUAAGGCUUUUUGGUAAGAAUACAUAUUUCCUUUAGUUAUUUCUAUUUUAUUCUAUUUAAUUUAAGAGAUUAAAUAUCAUCUUUAAUUCUUACAUUUUUCUUAUUUAAUCUAAAAAAUUAAAUAUUAUCUUUAACAAUAUUUUUUAUUAAAUAUUUAGAGUUUGCUUGGUUUUAUUUCUUUUCUUGAUUUUAUAAUAAUAUUUUUCUUAUUUAAUAUAAAAAAUAAAUAUUAUCUUUAACAAUUAGAUCUAUCGAAUAUCACUUAAAAAUAAAUUAUAACUUUAAUAAUUAUUUUUUGAAAAACAAAAGGCCAACAAUCACUAACAUAUUUUAUUAAAAUCACUUUAGUUUAUAUAGAAAAUAUUGAAAACUGAUUUUUGUUUUUUUACAUUAAAAUAAAAAAUUGAAUAAUGUUUUUAUAUUUUAUUUCAAACUCGAUAUUUUAAAACAAAAAUGAAAAAGAUGUGAUAUUAACAUUUUUUAUUAUAAAGUAAGUUUUUUAAUUAAAAGUGAUGGGAAUUUGUUUUUAUUGCAUGUACAAUCAUGCACAUUUAACUUUCUUUUUAAAUUUGAUGGUUUUUUAGGACGGAAAUGGCUUGAAGGUGGUGAAGGCUUUGAUUGACAUGAGAGUACAAGAUUAGUUUACAUAGAGAUGCUUGAAGUUGCUCCAAAUCAGUACGAUACUUUCAUCUGACAUGUUGAUAUGUAUUUGUUGGCUUGAAGAUUAUUUUCCAAGCUUGGAAGUUUUAUUGAAUUCUCUUUGAAAUCUUUUCCAUCCGCUGGACAACUUAUAUUAUUAUGCAUGAUGUAAUUUAUAUUUUCAAGUUACAAAUUUUGAUGAAUAUUGUUUCAUUUUUUUCCUCAUUUCAAAAGAUGAAAAUCCUUGAUCUUAGUUAGAAAUAAAUUGGUUUUCUAGGAAGAGAUUAUUGAUUGGAAUAUAGUAUUUGAAUUGGUUCUUCAUCAUUUACUGUUAUAUAUAAUUUAAAAUAAUUGAUGAAAAUACAUAGAAAAGUUUUGAGAGCAUCCUUAAUUAGUCUAGUAAGUAAAGUGUUGUUAGUUUUGACUAUAAGAUCUUGCUAUGUAUUAUUGCAUGGUUUUUACUAUUUUUUUGCAUUUCUUCUUUUUGUAUAUACAACUUUUGUUUUUCUUGCCGCUUGUCAUUAGCUUUAUGGCACCAACACCAAUUAAUAAUAAAUCUUGAACUAUUAUUAAAUAAAGAAAAAAUAUAAAUAUCGUUAAAAUACCAAACUUGAAUUGCUCAAUCCUAAAGAAACCCUAUGACAAUAAUCUAAUUUAGAAAAUAAUUAAUUUAUCCUUGUAGUCUAAGAAAAUAGUAUUUAAUUCUUAUGUUUUCAUAUACAUCUAUGAUUUAAUAUGUUGAUUGAAAUUGGCAAGUGAGUUUACUCACGUAUUGUUAUAUUGGUUUUGAGUUCAAAUAAAUGUUUAAAAAGGGAGUUUUUUCAUGAAUGUAACCCUUCAAUAUAUGAAUGUUUAAAAUUGUAUUCAAUAUGAAUGAUGGAUGAUUUUGCUAAGAAUUGGUUGGUAAAAAACUUAAUUUCGAUAUAUAAAAACUUAAGAGACAACAAUAAAUAGAGAGACUAGUAAAGAUUUUAUGUGCUUUCUUGUUUUUUUUUUUUAAUUGGAUUACCUUUGUCUUUUGUUUCAAGUAAAAUUCUAGUAUAUAUCACUAAAUUAAGAAUUAAAGGUCUAAUUAUAUGAAACACAAUUUUAAAGACUACAUCAACUACAUUUCAUAUGCUCAACUCUAAGCAAAUUGAAAUUUCAAGGCCAUUUGUAUCUUGAAAACACAAUCUCAAUAAUCUUAAUAUUGAAUUAUUAUUUGUUGAGUUGGAAAAUAGCACUAAGGAACACAAAAGCCGUACUGUUUAUCUUCUUGGCAUUGUUCAAAGGAACGCAAAAAGAUACUCCAAUUGUGAAAGAUUAUUAUUGUCAUAAAGUAAAACUUUCAAUAUAGAGAGUGAAAUAAAGAGCAAGAGCAAAAAAAUAAUUCGUGUGUGUAUUAGCUAAAUGAAAUGAAGAUUAGAGUAAAAAGGAUAAAAAAAAAAAAAAAAAAUAGAGAGAGAGACUCGUUAAGAUUUUAUGUUGGUGCUCAACAUGUUCUUUCUUAUUUUUUUUUUUUUUUUAAUUUUAUCUUAACGAGUGAAAUAAAGAAACACUCCCCCCAUCUUUCUUGUUCCCUUUCCCUUCUUUACAUGGCUUACUCAGUGAAAAAGCAAUUAAACACCCCAUUUGAUUUUCAAUCAGUAUGAGAGUGAGAGAGAGAGAGGCCAAGGUGGUCCUUGAAUAUUUUCUUCUUUUUUGUCUCGCUCACUGGGGCAAACCAUUUUUUCCAAAAUUUUGAAUAGCAUGCGAUCAAAAAGAAUUUUGAAUAGCAUGCCAUCAAAAGGAAUUUUGUUCAAUCCCAAUCCCACAUUGUCUGUAGAAGUAUUUACUUUUGACUGUACACUUUGUUAUUUUCCAAUCCCUCCCCAGUUCUGCAACCAUUUCUCUACUUUCUAUGCUCUUGGCUUGCUAAAAACUAAAGAAAACACAUUGCUCUACUUGCCUGCCUUCACUCUUCAGAUUGCUCAACAAAUCCCUUGAGACCUUCUCCAUAGUUAACACAUCACAUAAUGGCUACUCUAAAAAAUUUAGCCAUAAACAUUGAACACCUUGAGCAAUCAACGUGCCUUCCUUCACAAUAUCCAUCACCCAUAAAUCUUUCUUUUGGGAUGUCGCCGGGAGUUUAAUUUCCGUGUAAAAAUUAUGUAUAAAUUUCCAUUCUUUCCUUCCAUCCAUUACUUGUCCUCUAUGAAGAUUCUAUGUAUGAAAUCUCGGAAUCUUUUCGAGUAUAACUUGGGAUCAACAGCUGAGAUAGACGUGGGAUCCACUUCUAAGGACUUGUAUGCAUGCUCUAGCUUUUUGCUGAUAUCAUAAUCCUAGAGAUACCAAAGUGAAGAACUACAUCUCACAAUCACCAAAAUUCAAAGUAAAGUAACGGAGAAGAAAAUCUGAUAACAAUGAAUGAUCACUCAUUAACCACAGCGAAUCUUACGCUUUGAAAACACUUUUCACCAUCAAUUUUCCUUUUCUCAUUGAUUUUAAAUCUUCCAGGCAGAUAAAAUAGCAUUGGUUUUAUUCAUCAGCUUAGGCAUCAACAACAUGUUGCAUCCACAAUCUUACUACUACAUUAUAAUUAUAAACAAAGCUAAAAAAAUAUAUAUAUGAGGACAGAGUUAACAGACAUGCACUAAGAGUUAACAGACAUGCACUAACACACACUGUGCAAAUCAGUGUACAGCUGUUAUAACAAACAAGUGUACAAUCUGUUUUCUCCAACCUUCCAGCAUUAUUCUCCCGAGCAUAUUCUGUCAGCUCAAGAUUAGGCAAUUCUGUUAACCAUUCUGUUAGCUCUGUUCUCUUUUGUUGUAUAUAUACUUGAUUGAUUGAUUGAUUCAAUAACAUUAUCUUUCUCUCUUCUCACCUGCCCCCUUUUUCUUCUCCUUUUACCUCUAGCUUCCAAUGCCUAUCAACACCACCAUCCUUAACACAAAUGAAUCUCACAGCAUGUUGAUUACCAUCAAUGUAGCAGCCCAAACUCCAUUAAAACUUAUCUCCACCAGGCACCAACUAUCUAGCCUGGAAACUUUGUUGGGGAUUCCGGCUCCCCCAUGCGCGGACCGGGGGUGUACUGAUAGUUGCUCAACGGAGGGUAAAGCACACUGAUACAAUAUUUUACGUGGUUCGGCAAAACCGCCUACAUCCACGGGAGAGUCCAUAUUAUUAGAGAUAUAUAGAGAAAGGAUUACAACAUACAUGGAGGAGGAGGAUCACUUCACUCAAACUCAAUUCCCAGCUCUUUUGCUACACUUACAGCUGCUGCAAUGGCAGCAGCCAUUGCAGCUCUCUCUUUCUCUCCACUCUCUUGCACACACUCACGUUCUCUCUCUCUCAUUUUUCUCUCAAAUAUAAGCCUCCUUUAUAGGCAUUUCAUGGUCAACAUGGAGGGGCCAAUAGCCUUAAAGCAUGGCAUGAAUUGUGGCACAAUUCAUGCUUCCACUUGCUUAGUGGUGGGGUAUUGCCACAAAUGGCAAUAUCCUAACAAUCACCCCCUUUGCCAUUUGUGUGGGCAAUUGUCCUCUUGCUUCUUCAGCACAGGCUUGCAUCUUGCAGCUCUUCCAAGCUUACCAUUCUGAGAGCGUCUUCAACACAACAUUCCCUUUCGAGUGUAUCAAUCAUGCUCGGUCCGGAAUGAUUUUUCAAGCCUUACACCAAGGCUUACAACACCCCCUCAAAUAGAUAUUUCUAAGUGCGACAGUCAUUUAGUAUUUCAAUGUGAUCACAAGCUCACCACUCUUCCAAGAGUCUACUCAUCCAAGAGUUGUGCCUGCCCUCUGUUCCACCCUAGGAACCACGUCUUACUUCUCCGUGAGUCUCUCGCUCUUAGUCGUAAGAGUCCAGGUAGCUCUCCACCUUUAACCAUAGGGGCAGCCCAUUAAAGGUUGAUUCAUAUCUGUCUUCAUACUCUGAGUAUUACAAUGCCAUUACCGAGCUCACCACCUUAACAAGAGUCAACUCGUUCUCGGAACCUGCGCAUGCCCUUCUGCUUCUUCAUAGCAGCCGCGUCUUAAUGCUCCACAAGUCACACACUUAUUGUCCAAGGCAAAUGUCUUCUAGCUCAUUGAUCUUUAGCAUGGGGGCAAUAUCCAUGAAAGUCAAUCCUGCAUUUGUCUCCAUACUCAUCAUAGCCACUUCAUUGGCUAUCUAUACACUUGUCCACUUGUAUCUAGCCAUCACAUCGGCUUUGGAGCGUUCUGAACUGGGCUCAUAUCAUGGCCCUCACACCUUCUCCUCAGGUGUCUCCGCUCGUCAUCAUGCGACGGUCUGAACUGGGGCUCCUCUCAUAGCCCUCACACCUUCUCUACGGUGUCUUCGCCCGUUGUCAUGGGGCGGUCGCAUCCUUCUUCAGCUGGGAUGCUUCAAAGUGGCUCCAAAAUUCUCUACCACCAUGUGCACUAUGGGAGAGAUUAUAACCACUGAUUACAUAGAAAGAGAAACUUGCGGUAUACUCCUCGCAAUCCUCCACCUCGAUUUCUAUGUUUGGAGCUUUUGUGUCUUUCUACUUGAUAGCUCCACCUACACCAACUCUCUUUGGUGUCUUCGCCUUUCAUCAUAGGCGGUCGCCUUUUAUCACAGGCGUUUGCACCCCCUCAAUUAGGUGCUUCUACAACAGCUCUCUUUCCAUCCUUGCAUGCAUUGGAAAGGUCUUCGCCUGUUGUCUUCAUCAAGAGCAUAAGAGACUUCCUGUUGUACAAACUUUAACAGUCUCUGCUCUGAGCUUCAUCUGGGAACACUUCUUCUCCUUGCACCUAUUGUCUCAUUACAGUACCUCGUUGGAUCCUACGGGUACUCCUGCACAAUCUCCGUGUGCCCUCGUGCAAUUUCUGUUCUCCAGAUUUCUCCCUAUUUCUUGCUUAUGUUUGACAGCAGCUCAUCCUGUCACAACACCUGUCCAAGUCAAAAAUAUGGUGCCAAUCUUUAUCCCCUUGCUGUAUUCCUCUUCCAUUAUCAGGGUCUUCAUCAGUUCUCCCCUCGAGAAAUCACAGUCACCGAAUCUAACUUCUUUGGAGAAAUCACCACUCCAUCAGAUCCUUGAACCUUUGGAACCCAACUAUUCCCUUGUGCCGUCAUCCUGCUAGCCUUCAACUGUUUCAUUACAAACUGCUAUAUAUACAAAAAUAGUACCGUAUGGAUAAUCCUUCCACUAAGCAAGUUCCCAGGAAAGAUUGGAGGGGUCACACUGGUCCCGCUUAAAACCCAAUCUCCUAGACAGAACUUCUUAGGACAUAUCUAUCCAUCGUACUGUCUUUUUGUAUAUACAACCAUUUGCUAGCUUUGUUGCGGCUUUCCUUUACAAGUGAUCUGGGGUAUCCCGAUUUUAUACCUGAUUUCUCAACAUCUGGCGAGACUACCAGUUCUUAGAUUCGUCAAGAUUGGUCUUUAUCAAUUUUCACUCUACACCUCUAAUUGUCCACUUGAUCGGGUGUCUAGAGUGUCCCAAUUUUGCCUUCCCUCAAGGCAGUUAAAUUUCUCCCAACUUAGCAGCUCAGCACAUGUAAUUGGGUAAACAUGUGCACCUUCUUCUUCUUCUCUUCAACGACCACCAUGAUAACCUUCAGAUGCCUCCUGAUCGGGCAAUCUCUUUUGUUAAUUCAUCACUACCACUUUCGGUCUCAAAUCUCAACGAUCGGACCAUACCAUUGCAUCCGAAACGAUCAAAUUAGCUGGAAACAAGUCUGAAAUCGUCCAAAUCGCACUUCAGACGGCUAAGAUUUGAUCAAAACAAUUCUGGCCUGAUCAAUGGCUCAGAUUCAAUCUCAGAUCCGGUUGCACGUAGGAUCAGCUACACUGGAUCCUGUCCCUCGGCUCGCGGCUCGGCUCCAAUUAGGCUCGGCUCGGCUUGGCUCGGCUCGUGGCUAAUGACGUGGUUGGUGGGUCCCACUUUGCUGACGUGUCAGUGACUGUACGCUGACAUGGCAUGCCAACUGUGCAUGCUGACAUCACACUUACAUCAGGCUGAUGUCAUCCCUGGCAUGCCUACUAUGCAUGUUGACAUCACAAUUAUGUCAUACUGACGUCAUUCAUAUCCGGGUCAGCCAUGUGGGUCGGGUCAACUGGUAUUUGGGUCGGGUCAGCCCAUCCGGGCGAAGAAGACGCGUGGGGUGCGUCUGCGCGCGUGGGCAGACGCCUUGCCGGAGAGUGAUGGAGAGUACGGCCAUGUCCGACGUCCGAUUUUGACGCCGUUUUCACCAGUGGCUUCGUCUCGGCCUCCUCUACACGGUGGUAUAGUCAAAACACCAUUUUGAGAACUUUCAUUUUUGAGCAAAAAUCAAACACCCCUUUAAACCAUGUGCUCUGAUACCAGUUGUUGGGGAUUCCGGCUCCCCCAUGCGCGGACCGGGGGUGUACUGAUAGUUGCUCAACGGAGGGUAAAGCACACUGAUACAAUAUUUUACGUGGUUCGGCAAAACCGCCUACAUCCACGGGAGAGUCCAUAUUAUUAGAGAUAUAUAGAGAAAGGAUUACAACAUACAUGGAGGAGGAGGAUCACUUCACUCAAACUCAAUUCCCAGCUCUUUUGCUACACUUACAGCUGCUGCAAUGGCAGCAGCCAUUGCAGCUCUCUCUUUCUCUCCACUCUCUUGCACACACUCACGUUCUCUCUCUCUCAUUUUUCUCUCAAAUAUAAGCCUCCUUUAUAGGCAUUUCAUGGUCAACAUGGAGGGGCCAAUAGCCUUAAAGCAUGGCAUGAAUUGUGGCACAAUUCAUGCUUCCACUUGCUUAGUGGUGGGGUAUUGCCACAAAUGACAAUAUCCUAACAAACUUCAAUUCCAGACUCUAUUCAUAGGACAUUUGAUUGAGGUCUCCACAAACAUUGAAACACCGCAAUUUUUCAUGAUAAAAUCCAAAGGAUUGGUACUUUGGUGUUUGAGGGGCUGGUAAAUGAAAGAACAGAUCAAGAGAUGACAUCCCUCUAUACCGCUGUUAUUCCUUUCAAGGUGCGUAUCAGGUGUUUGAAAAACUUCCUCAACUUAAAAAUAAAAAGGUCCUGUUUACAAUGUUUUUUAGUCCUUUACAAAUCUUCCAAUGUGUUGCGUUUACUGAAUAUGAUAGUGGGAACUUAUUUAUCAAGAAUUAACUACUCAGAAGAAAAUGUAAAGACGCAAUAAUGAUUUUUUUAUUUUAGAUUCCAUAGUCUACAAACUUGGAAGCAUACGGACCAGUCAGAAGACAACAUGUUUAUUGUAUAUGAUAAACAAUAAUAAACAUCUCAUUCUUAAAAUGAUGGUAAAUCAGAAACAACCAUCCAAUACUUGAAGAUCUGUUGAAGAUAUUUGGCCUUUGGAAAUUUUGAAGAGAACUGGAGCAGUUGCAUAUGGAUUAGCUCUUCCAUCCAAUCUUUUCAUCUAACCAUCCAGUUUUCUAUGUAUCCAUGCUUUAAAAGUAUCUUCGUGCUCCAUCACAUGUAUUGGAGCCAUAAACAGUAGCAUUUCAAGGAGAUAUGUCAUGUGAAAUCCGUUCUAAUGAGAUUGCUUCAGUGAAAGUAAUGUGAGAAGGUCAUCCAAGUGAUGAAGCAACACGAGAACCUGAGAAGAUGAUACGUAAUAAAUAUCGUUAUUUCUUCAUUCAAUCAAGCUAACAAGUUUUCUACUUAAAUUCGAGGAUGAAUUUAUUUUAACAGGGGAGGUGGAAAUGUAAACCCACCCCAUAAUAUAUAACUCAUUAUUGUUUUAUAUGUUGGCCCGUUAAUUCAAGUCAUUUUCUUCUAUCUCUCUUAUAGGAAUGUUCCUCCUUCUCCCUUUUACUGCAAAUAUUCCCCCACGAUCCCAAACCAUCAAUUGACCCUAUAACUCUCUUGUUUUGAGUAGGUUUACUUCAACUUUAUCAAGUGUUUAUAAUAUUGUUUUAUGUUUAUUUAUUUAUAUAAAAUUGUUGAAUUCUAGGCGUUAUAUGAUAUUAGUUGAUGUUAUAUGGAAUUAUUUAAAUUAAUUUGUGUGUGGGUAGUAAUAAGUGUAUAUGAAUAUGAAUUGGAGUAAGGUCAUAGAUGGGUUGGUGUGAAGCUUUGAUUAAUUGAUAUAUUUUGAUGUAAUGAGUAAAUACCUUAAGAAAUUUGAAUAUUUGAAAGAUAAUAGGUAAAUAUUGAAGAAUUGUAUAGAAAGAAUCAUAUUGAAAUUAUGAAAAAUAUGUUUUGGGGUUGAUGAUGGAAGAAUUACAGUUUGGUCCUUGCUUUUGAGAAAUUAAGAUUUUGUCCCUAAAUUCUAAAACAAUUAUAGUUUAGUCACUGGUUGUAAAUAACAAUUUUUAAGAUAUUUUCCUGAUAAAUAUCUGAGAAAUAAUGAUCAUCUAUUAUCAAUUUUUAUUGUUAUCAUUUAAAUUUAAAAUUAAUUGUAUUAUCUACGAGCACAAGUGGUACAGUUAUCAAUCGAAUUUUAGCAAAAUCAAGGAUCCAAGAAUUGGCCUCUGUAACAUAUUAGGAAACUGGCAUGCAAACCCGACAAGAUAAAAGGCAAGGGACAAGAUAAAAUGAGAAAUAAGACACAAGAAUUUACGUGGUUCACCCAAUUUGGCUACGUCCACGGGCAAGUAUAGAAGGAUUUUACUAAGUAAUGUGGGAAUUACAACCUCUCUCUACUAAUAGGAGAACAACUGAAAUCUCUCUAUUAAUAGGAGAAAACACCUCACUUACUCUCUCACAAAUACCUCACAAUUUUGUGGGAUUACUUUCCCUCUCUCACUCUUCUCUUCCUCUCUUAUGAUGUGCAAAAUAAGCUUGGAUGCACUGCCUAUUUAUAGGCAAGCAUCCAAGCAAAGGACAAAAAGGCACCAAUUGGUGCUGCAAGUGGCACCGAAUUGGUGCCCAACAUUGUUGAAUUUGCAGCACAAAUUUGGUGCCUAACAUUGUUGACUUUGCCAACAAUGCAGCUGGCUUCACAUUCUCCCACUUGAAGACUUUGAUGAGUGAAUCAAGUCUUCACACUUAAUCAUCUGUGAUUCUUCUAUCCUUUCUAUACUUGUCAUCUUCAUGCUGCUUACAUUUCUGUUAGGCCAUAAGAGGAUCUGCACCAUAUGUACUUGUCAGUGUUGACUGGUUUGGUUAAAGCAUCUGCUGGGUUUUCCUUCGUGUGAACCUUUUGAAAAUCUACACUUCCAUCUUCCACUACUUCGCGAACAAAGUGAUACUAAACAUCUAUGUGUUUUGUUCUUGAAUGAAACGCGGGAUUCCUUGCAAUAUGCAAAGCACUCUGACUAUCACAAUACAAAAGAAUGUUCUCUUGUUUGUGCCCGAGCUCCUCCAUAAGUUUCUUCAUCCAUAUUGCUUCUUUACAAGCUUGUGUAGCUGCCAUGUACUCAGCUUCUGUUGUGGAUAAAGCUACAACAGUCUGAAGUUUAGAGACCCAGCUCACAGCUCCUCCUGCAAUUAUGAACACAUAGCCUGUAGUGGAUUUUCUUUUCUCAAGGUCGCCAGCAAAAUCUGAAUCAACAUAACCUCUGACGGUAAAUUCUGAUCCUCCAUAUCAUAAUGCAACAUCUGAGGUGCCCUUGAUGUAUCUCAAGAUCCUCUUAAUAGUAUUCCAAUGCUCUCUACCAGGAUUUGCCAUGUAUCGACUAGCUACUCCCACUGCUUGUGCAAUGUCUGGUCUUGUACAUAUCAUGGCAAACAUUAAGCUUCCCACUGCUGAUGCAUACGGUACUCGAGACAUCUCCAUCCUCUCUGCUUCAUUGCUAGGAGACAUACUUGAGGAUAAUUUGAAGUUAAUAGGAAGUGGGGUGGAAAUUGGCUUACAAUCUUGCAUGUUGAAGUGUCGUAAGAUCUUAUUCAAAUAAUUCUUCUGAGAAAGCCAAAUCUUCCUCUUACUUCUGUCUCGGUGAAUUUGCAUCCCUAGAAUCUUGUUUGCUGGUCCCAAGUCCUUCAUAUCAAACUCCCUAGCCAACUGUGCCUUCAAUUCUUGGACUCGAUCUUUGUUGGAGCCUAUUACCAACAUGUCAUCCACGUACAACAACAAAAUGAUGAAAACAUCAUUUUCUUCAAACCUCUUGUAAUACGUACAAUGGUCUGAACUGAGUCUGUUGUACCCAAGGCUAAUUAUGAAGGAAUCAAAUCUCUUGUACCAACAUCUCGGCGCCUGUUUGAGACCAUAUAGAGAUUUGUUCAACCUGCAAACCAAGUUCUCCUUGCCUACUUCAGCAAAACCCUCUGGUUGGAGCAUAUAAAUUUCUUCUUCAAGUUCUCCAUGAAGAAAUGCAGUUUUCACAUCUAACUGCUCUAAGUGAAGAUCAAAUAUAGCACACAUCGCCAAGACUACUCUGAUUGUAGUAAGUCAUACCACUGGAGAAAAUAUCUCAUUAAAAUCUAUUCCUUCUUUCUGAGCAUAUCCUUUCACCACCAAUCUUGCACGAUACCGCUCCACUUGAUUAUUGCCAUCAUGCUUUAUCUUGUAAACCCAUUUGUUGCCAAUGGCCUUCCUUCCUUGUGGUAGCGGAACAAGAUCCCAAGUGUUGUUCUUGUGUAGAGCUUCAAUCUCCUCUUGCAUCGCUGUCAUCCACAUAGAUACAUCUGUGCUUUUGAUAGCCUCAUGGAAAGUUGAUGGCUCUCCAUCCUCUGUUAGAAGACAGUAUGCAAUGUUGCUCUCAGUAACAUAUUCUGAGUGCCAAGCCGAUGGUCUUCUUUCACGAGUUGACCGUCGAACUUCAGGAGUUUCAGAUUCUAUUUGUUCUUGUUCUUCAUGCUCUGGUACAGCUUCAGAAGAAGUAUGAUUCUGAGUAUUUUCCAUCUGGACUGCUGUAGUCUCCUUUGGAAUGCUAUUAUGUUCUUCCAUUUGUAUUUUACCUUCUGCAAAUAUAACAUCUCUGCUGAUGACUAGCUUGUGGGAUUGGGCAGUGGGAUCCCACAAGCGAUACCCCUUCACUCCAUCAGCAUAUCCCAAGAAUACACAUUUUCUGGAUUUUGAAUCCAGCUUGUUGACUUCUUGAGUAUUGUACAUCACGUACACAGGACUUCCAAAUAUAUGUAAUUGAGAAUAAUCAGCUGACUUUCCAGUCCACAUCUCCAUCGGUGUCUUCAGCUCAAUUGCAGUUGAUGGAGAUCGAUUUAUCACAUAACAGGCGGUAUUGACUGCUUCUGCCUAGAAUGACUUUCCUAGACCUGCAGCCUUCAACAUUGCUCUCGUUCUUUCUAAUAGAGUUCUGUUCAUCCGCUCUGCCACUCCAUUUUGCUGUGGAGUGUAUGCCGUUGUGAACUGCCUUUUGAUACCUUCAUGUUGACAGAAGUUAUCAAAUUCAUCACUGGUAUAUUCUCCUCCAUUGUCAGUCCUCAAACACUUGAUCUUCUUUUCAGAUUCAAGUUCCACCCGCGCUUUGAAAGUUUUAAAGAUUGCGAACACAUCUGCCUUCCUUCUAAUUGGAUGCACCCAACAUCUCCUGGAGAAGUCAUCUAUGAAUGAUACAAAGUAUCUUGCUCCUCCCAAGGAUACAACCGGUGCUUGCCAAACAUCAGAGUGAAUCAAGUCUAAGAUGCAUUUGCUCUUAGUUGUUGAUGUGCCAAACUUCAACCUGUGUUGUUUACUUGUAACACAGUGCUCCCAAAAAGGUAAAGUAACCUUUGUAAGCCCAGGGAGUAACUUCUGAUCAAAGAGAACUUUCAAACCUUUCUCUGACAUGUGGCCUAGUUUUUGAUGCCACAUCAUCGUCUUCUUUUCUGCAGGACUGGCUGAUGCGAUUGACGCUUCUGCCCUAUGAUGUGUUUCUCCCAUUAAUACAAACAUGUUUGCAACUAUUUUUCUCGCCUUUAAAACUACCAACGCUCCUUUGACAAUUUUCAUUAUUCCAUUGUCUGUUCGGAUCUUAUAGCCAAGACUAUCAAAUUGUCCCACAGACAAAAGAUUUUUCUUUAAGUCUUUCACAUGACGCACUCCUGUAAUAGUACGAAUUAAGCCAUCAUACAUCUUCAAUUUGAUGGUGCCAAUGCCAGCAAUCUCUAAAGCAUGAUUAUCACCCAUGAACACUUUGCCUCCAGAGAUGGGUUCAUAUGUAUGGAACCAAUCUCGAUUAGGAGUCAUAUGCCAUGUUGCUCCUGAAUCCAUUAGCCAGACCUCAGUAAGCUCUUCUCUAUCUGUAGAGAUUGUCGCUGCUUCACUAUAUAAAACCUCCCCAUCUUCUGAGGUGCUCGCAACACAUCCUUGAGGUUUUGAUGACUCUGCAGUAUUCUCUAUACCCCUUUUAAACCAACAAUCCUUUUUGAAGUGCCCUUUUCUGCCACAGUUGUAGCAUUUCACAAUCUUCUUACUUCUUGAUUUGGACCUCCCUUGCCUUUGACUCCCACUGGAGCCACGCUCCGUUGAUCUCCCUCUUGACAUCAACAAUGCCUCUGCUUGGUUUGAACUAUUUCUGUCUCCUUUAUUUUUGCGCCUAUUUUCUUCUUCCAAGAUAGCGGCUGCAACAUCAUCAAAGACUAAAUAGUCUGUGAGGAUAUUAUUGGUCAAGUUGAUAAUGAGCUGAUCAUACGAAUCUGGGAGACUUCGAAGUAGAAGUUCUGCACGUUCACUUUCCUCUAUUUGUUGACCCAACGUAGUGAGUUGUGAAAAUAGAGUUCUUAUUGUGUUGAUGUGGUCAGUCACUGCCGUGGUUUCUGCCAUUCGAAGGGUAUAAAGUCUCCGCUUUAAGAAAAUCUUAUUGUGCAAAGACUUGGACUCAUAUAGCUUUGUUAGAGUCUCUCAUAUCUCCUUAGCUGUUUUCUUCUCCGCUACACUUGAUAAUACUUCAUCGGCUAAUGCUAAAUGUAUGUUAGCAAUAGCAUUGCCAUCCAUCUCAUUCCAUUUUGCAUUAUCAGUGAUCUCCGCGGGCCGAUCCCCAAUUGCUGCCAAGCAAUUGUCUUUCCUUAAGAUUGCUUUGAUUCUCAUUUUCCAGAGUGAGAAAUUGCUCCCAUUGAACCUCUCAAUCUCAUACUUUGCUGCCAUUUUAUUCACCGUGAUCUAUUCAGCUAUCACUGUUUCACAGAUCUGUAACGUAUAUAGAAAUAGUAUCGUGUGAAUAAUACUUCACUAAGUAAGUUCCCAGGAAAGAUUGGAGGGGUCACAAAUGGUCCCGCUUAAAACCCAAUCUCCUUAGACAGAACUUCCUAGACUGUAUUUAAUCACCGCACUGACUUUCUAUAUACGCCAACAGUAACGUAUGUGAAUAGUGCCGUAGACGUGAAUAGUAACCGUAUACACGAAUAACUUUUGUGUAUUAACAACACCAACCAAAAGGCUCUGAUACCACUAUUAGGAAACUGGCAUGCAAACCCGACAAGAUAAAAGGCAAGGGACAAGAUAAAAUGAGAAAUGAGACACACAAGAAUUUACGUGGUUCAACCAAUUUGGCUACGUCCACGGGCAAGUAUAGAAGGAUUUUACUAAGUAAUGUGGGAAUUACAACCUCUCUCUACUAAUAGGAGAAAACACCUCACUUACUCUCUCACAAAUACCUCACAAUUUUGUGGGAUUACUUUCCCUCUCUCACUCUUCUCUUCCUCUCUUAUGAUGUGCAAAAUAAGCUUGGAUGCACUGCCUAUUUAUAGGCAAGCAUCCAAGCAAAGGACAAAGGGGCACCAAUUGGUGCUGCAAGUGGCACCGAAUUGGUGCCCAACAUUGUUGAAUUUGCAGCACCAAUUUGGUGCCUAACAUUGUUGACUUUGCCAACAAUGCAGCUGGCUUCACAUAACAUAGUUUGUAUUCUGAGCCAAUCUGGGGUGGGACUUGAAACAAAUGUUGUAUAUUGUUUGCACUGUCACUUUGCUUACCCUCUUAGGUUUUUAUUGAGAUUAGGGAUUCUAUUGUAGCUCUUUUUUCUCCUUUUAUUAUAAUAAAAUAAUAUCUAUGGAUUAAUUUUGGUAUAAUUUAAGAAAGUAAGUCCUUUAAUCAAAUUUUAGAUUGACCAUCCUCUAUGUGUUAAAAGUAAAUGUUAAUUUAUAAAAUAAUAACUAUGUUUAAGUCUUGAUUAACUCAGAAGAUGUCUUCUAAGACGCAUCUCUGUCUUCUCUUCUCUUCUCUUCUUCUCUAUAAAAUUCCUUUUUAGCUCUCUGAUGUACUUAAUGUCCCGGAGGUGUGGCUUCUUCAUAUGAAGAAAAUGUUAAGAUUCAAUUAUGAUUUUAGAUUUUAGAUUCCAUUGUCUACAAAUUUGAACCAUGAUGAUGAAGCAUACGGACCAGUCAGUAGACAACAUGUUUAUUAUAUAUGAUAGAGGUCCUCAAUGUAUUUCACGUUUCUAUGAGAAAUUUCACGAGACUAUGAGUACUCGAAUUGAUCUUAGUACAACAUUUCAUUCUCAAAAUAAUGGUUAAUAAAAAAGAACCAUUCAAAUACUUGAAGAUAUGUUGAUAGCAUGCAUACUUAAGUGGAGUUUGCUGGAACAAAUAUGUACCAUUGGUGGAGUUCGUUAAGAGGGGGGAACUAAUUCCUCGAUAUAUUAGGCCUUUGGAAAUUUUGAAGAGAAUUGGUGCACUUGCUUAUGGAUUAGCUCUUCCACCCAGCUUUUUCAUCUAAACAUCCAGUAUUCCAUGUAUCCAUGCUUUAGAAGUAUAUUUGUGCUCCAUCACAUGUAUUGGAGCCAUAAACCGUAGCAUUUGAAGAAGAUAUGUCAUGUAAAAUUCGACUGGAGAGAAUUGAAGAUAGACAAAUUAGAAAACUUCGUUCUAAAGAUUGCUUUAGUGAAAGUAAUGUGAGAAGGUCAUACCUGAGAAGAUGAUACGUAAUAAAUAUCGUGAUUUCUUCAUUCAAUCAAGCUAGCAAGUUUUCUAAUUAAAUUUCGAGGGUGAAUUUAUUUUAACAGGGGAGGAAAUGUCAACCCCACCCAUAAUAUAUAACCCAUUAUUGUUUUAUUGGUCCAUUUAGGUAGCCCAUUUGUUAUAUACAGAAGGAGAGAGGUAAGGACAUUGUUAGUCAUUUUCUUCUUUCUCUCUUACGGGGAAUGUUCUUCCUUCUCCCUUUUACUGCAAAUAUUCCCCCACAAUCCUAAACCACCAAUUGACCAUAUAACUCCCUUGUUUUGAGUAGGUUUACUUCAACUUUAUCUAAGUGUUUAUAAUAUUGUUUUAGGUUUAUUUCUUUAUAUAAGCUUGUUGAAUUCUAGGCCUUAUAUGAUAUUAGUUGAUGUGAUUUGGAUUUAUUCUUAAGUUAAUUUGUGUGUGGGUAGUAACAAGUGUAUAUGAAUAUGAAUUGAAGUAAGUACCUUAACAAAUGUGAUGGGUUGGUGUGAAGCUUUGAUUAAUUGCUAUAUUUUGAUGUAAUGAGCAAAUACCUUAAGAAAUUUGAAUAUUUGAAAGAUAAUAGGUAAAUAUUGAAGAAUUGUAUAGAAAGAAUCGUAUUGAAAUUAUGGAAAAUAUGAUUUUGUCCCUAAAUUCUAAAAAACAAUUAUAGUUUGGUCACUGGUUGUAAAAACAAUUAUAUUUUCAAACUUUCAAUAUAGAGAGAGAAAUAAAAAUAAAAAGGAAAAGGAAAAGGAAACAACCCCCAGCUUUCUUGUGCCCUUUCCCUUCUUUACAUGGCUUCCUCGAUCGAUGUAAAAAAGCAAACGCCCCAUUUGAUUUUCAAGCAGUAUGAGUGAGAAAGAUAGAGAGGACAAGAGAGGACAAGGGGGUCCUCUCUCUCUUUCCUUGCUUUUUUUAACGCGUGGACCCAGCAGUUGUUGCCACCAAAUUCCUUCCUCAAUAUUUACCAGUGCUACACGCUUGAGAAAUUUCCUUGUUAUUUUUUUUAUUAAUGAAAUAUUACUUUUACCGUAUAGCCAUUGAAUUCUAGAUCAAUUUAUCGGGUAUUGGGCCGGUUUGGAUUUAAUAAUUAUGAUUCACAGACAUACAACUAGUACUUGCAACUAUUAAUAUUUAUUAUUUUCAUUAAGUUUUUCAAACUUUCAAUAUAGAGAGAAAAAUAAAAAUAAAAAGGAAAAGGAAACAACCCCCAUCUUUCUUGUGCCUCUUCCUUUUUUUUUAAGUUUAAUGUUGGUGUUUGGGUCAACUUGCACGCAUCUCGACUAAUUUCAUGGGCUCUGAAGUUAACAACUAUGUAAGUCUCCAAUGACCAUCAUAUAAACAACCACGGGGCUCGAAUUUAAAACUAUAAAAAAAACAAAUCUCUUAAUCACAUGAUCUUAUUAAUGUACCACCAUUUAGGUAGUUGCCCUUUCCCUUCUUUACAUGGCUUACCCGAUGAAAAAAGCAAACACCCCAUUUUGAUUUUCAUUCCGUACGAGUGAGAAAGAAAGACAGGACAAGGUUUGUUGAGGCUUUUUUUUUGGAACCUCGCUCUGGGAUUAAUUAGCGAGAAUAAGAAAAUUCUAUGCAAAUUAUACAAAAUUUAUUAUUAAUCAUCAAUAUUUAUUCUUAUCAUCAAUAUUGAAUAAUGGUUUAUUUUCUAGUAUAAACUAUGAUGGGUUCGUUUAUAAAAAUAAAUAAAUUGAGGUUUUUCAAUUUCCUUUAAACAUAUCAUAGUUUUAAUACCAUUUAUUUUUACAUUUUAAAAAUAAUUUUUAAAAAAAUUAAAAAUAAAUUUUAUUUUUUAUUUCAAAAUAAUAUUUUUUUAAAUAUUUUUAAAUUAUCUUGAUAUAUUGAUAUUAAAAUUAAUUUUUAAAAGAUAAAUUUUUUCAAACAUAAAGUUUAGCCUGCAGAUCUUCCGCUGAUCCCAUCUCAUUGUUGUAUGCAUCCAAGCUAAGCCAAUUCAAGAAAGAAGAUUUGAAGAAUACCACCAGCAGCAGGAGUAAUACAUUAACAUAACAGCAUUAUGGCAGAAGGAGGGACGACCUCACUGCAAGGGCGAAGGCAUGUUAAAGACUUGGGCGUGCUAUAAUUUAGAUUAAAACUUUAUUAAUAUUUUUUGAUUAGUUUUAUUUAAAAAAAUUGUAAUUCUUGAUUGAAUUAUUAAAAAAAUUUAAAAUUUAUGUGGAGCUUUCUAGAAUAACGUUUUAACUUGGAUUAAAAUUUCAGAAUAUUUUGAGAAAUUCAAAAAUUUGAUGAAAAAUCAUAAUUUAACUAAUUUUAUGUUAAUUGAUGUAAUUUUCAAUCCAACUAUCAAAUUGAGCUGAAAUUUUACGAGAAAUCUUAAAAUAUAUUAAAUAAAAUAUAAUUAAAAUUUUAUGAUGAGUGGAGCUUGAUAAUACUAACAAAAAAAAUCAUCAAAUAAAAACAAAUCAAGAAUAAAAUGAUUAUUUCCAUUAAAAAGUAAAAUAAAUCAACUAUUUAUAUAAUAGCUAAAUCUAUUAAGAUAAAUCGAAAAUAACUAGUAAAAUCAAUGACUUGUAUUGACGAGUGUGUCUAUAUAUACAUAUAGGAACUGCUGAUUCGAUUUGAAUAUGUUAUUUGAUUAGUCUAAUUCAUGAUUUGCAUUGACUCAAAAUUACCACUAGAAAUUCCUAGUUUCGUGGUGCUUUCUCAGCCUGCAAAUGAAUAUAAAGCAUAUCCUUUUAUCCUAUAUAAAGAAUACAAUUAACCUUUUUAUCUUUUAUAAUUAUAAUUAUUGCAUUGCUAAUAAUUUGCACGAAAGAAUAUUGUUUCUCUGAAAAGGGCUUGAGAAAACCCUAAGCAUAGUAUAUAAUCUCUUAUAGGAAUCUCUUUAUUAAAUUAUCAAAAUAUCAAAGUCUGUUUCCAAAGACUAUGACUACAGUUUAUAUAUAGAAACAACCAAAUAUAAAAAUUAUUAAUUUUUAAAUAGAAAAACCAGAGAGCUUGAUAAUAUUUAAUAAAAAAAAUAAAAUAGAAAAAUUAUUCCUUUUUAAGUAGAAAAAAAUUAUAAAGAUUUAAUAAUACUAAAUAAGAAAAAUUAAAAUUUCUACACUAAAUUAAAAAAACAAAAAAAAAACUGAGAAAAUAUUUAUUAUCCCAAUAGUUCUUAUAUUAAAAUCUCAUUUAUCAUAUGUUAUAUCUAUCAAAAUAAUAAUAAUAAUAACUUGUGACUUGAACUAAAGCUACAUGCGAAAACUAGAAAAACCCGGUAGAGACCCGUUCUGUUUUUUCAAAUAUGUUUUUUCUUCUAGCUAGAGACCUUUUUUUUUAAUAUAUUUUUCUAUUGGUUACUAAACCAUUUCAAAGUUCACUAUAUAAAUACUAGAAGAAUAUUUUAUUUUUUCAAUAUGGAAUAAAAAAAAUCAUUUUUGUUUACAUACCUCAAUUUAAAAGAAUUAGAUAAUAUUUUUUUAAUAUGAGAUAAAAAAACCUUUUGAAAUAAUCUUUUAAACUUUAUUAUAUGCAACAUGUAUAAUCUAUAUUCAUAUAAAUUAUUUCUUUAAUUUUUUUCAUUCUCAUAUUCAAACUUCCAAUAUUGAGAGAGAAAUUAAAAGGAGCAAAAGGAAACAACCAGUGAGGACAAUAUCCUCCAGCUCAUCAUCAGAUCCCACGAAAGGAACGCAGAAAGACAUUCCCUUUCUUGUCAUCAAGUUUUGAAUCAAAAAGUACUUUCGUGCAUUAUUGUCAUAAAGUUUUUCAAACUUCCAAUAUAGAGAGAGAAAUUAAAAGUAAAAAUAAAAAGAGCAAAAGGAAACAACCCCCACCCCAUCUUUCUUGUUCCCUUUUCCUUCAAUGAAAAAGCAAGCACUAAUGCACCUUCUCCACAAACUACCCCCCAAUUUCGCCACUAUAUAAAUAUAUUAUGGAAAACAAGAUAAAAAGAAAUCUUUCGGUACAUCUAUAUAUAUAUAUAUAUAUAUAUAUUAUGGCUAUGAAAAUAGGUUUGUGGAAAUUUACAUGGUUUGAUUUUGACAGUGUCAGAUUAGACAAUUGCAUGGAAAUGGUCUUCUUAGUUUGCCGUGUGGAAAAUCAUGUCAUUUACGGGACUGCUGGAGAGAGUUUCUAUUGAUAAUUUCACUCGAAAAGUUUUAGUAAUUUACAAAGGAAAUUUCUCCUUUAUAUGAAUUGAAAAACUAUUAUUGACUGACUUCUUGCAAAGUAUUUGCAAGAAAGCUAAAGAAUUAAAGUUUUUCAAUUUUGAAAAUUAUAAUUUAAAAUUUUUAGAAAAAAAUCAAUUAUUUUUAAAAUUGUUUUCAAAAAUACACUACCAGAAAUUCAUCUAAUACCAACGGACUUACCGACAGAAUUAUUCUGUCGGUAAAUUGCGGUGAUAAUUACUGACGGAUACUAAUCCGUCUGUAAUUCAGUUGGUAUAUACCGACGGAAUUAUUCCGUCGGUAUAUACCGACUGAAUUACAGAAGAAAGAUAUAGAAUUAAAAAAAAGCGGGGAUGUUGACGUGACAGUUUUUGCGGGCGAUUUUACCGACGGAAUCAACGAGGGAUUCAAACCCUGAUUUUGUUUAUGAGCAAUUUUGACUAUCUUAGAGGUAGAACUAGGUUCUCUUUAAUCAUAGAACUUGUAGCCUCAUGUCUUAGCUUUCUAACAAGACUAAUCUUGCUUAAAUCGGAGUUUUAUAACUCCAGAUAUAGUUAAAAAUAUGAGGAGAGGUCAGACAGUAACAGUUCAAUGUUUAGACAGUAACAGUUCAAAAAUGAGACAGUAAUAGUUGGACAGUAACAGUUCAAGAACGAGACAGUAACAGUUAAAAAAUGAGACAGUAACAGUUCAAAAAUGAGACAAUAAUAGUUGGACAGUAACAGUUCAAAAAAGGAGACAGUAACAGUUAAAAAACGAGACAGUAACAGUUCAAUGUCUAGACAGUGACAGUUCGGGAUUUAAACAGAAACGGUUCAAAUAUAUAUAUAUAUAUAUAUAUAUGUGUGUGUGUGUGUGUGUGUGUGUGUGUGUGUGUGUGUGUGUGUGAAAUGAGAAAAAUGUAAAAUAUUAAGAAAUGACUGAAAGAAAGACUUAUUGGUUGUUGAUAUGGUUAUAAUAAAACAUAUCCUUGAGUGAGGAAGUAGAGCUUCUAUUGCAGGUAGGUAAUCCGUACCUAUACUUUCUAGUUUAAUUCUAUGAUUUAAUAAGUUAUUGAUGUGAGAUGUGAAUUACCGAAUAUGGGAUAUUAGGAUAAAGGAGGAAAGUUUGCGUAAUGAUGCCGAUAUUUGGAAAGUAUUCUUAAUGUAUGUGUAUUCAAGGUGAACGGUUGUUCUGUGAAUUGCCAAGUGAUGAAAUUAUAAUUGAUAAAGAAAAUAUGAGAAGUGUGAUUUGGGGCGUGAACUAGCAUACAUUUAGUGUAUGUUAGGAUCCCGGGUAAGGGGAUCAAGAUGUAUUGGCUAGCAUACAUUUAGUGUAUGUUAGGAUCCCGGGUAAGGGGAUCACCAUGUAUUGGCUAGCAUACAUUUAGUGUAUGUUAGGAUCCCGGGUAAGGGGAUCACCUUGCAUCGACUCCUACAUGAUGAUGAUGAUGAUAACAGUGAAAUUGGUAUCGGUAAUGUGUUAAGCGGAAAUAAUCAUGGGUGGUUUUAUGAGAUCUUGAAUGGAGGUUGAUAAUAGAAGAGGAAAUGGUUUUUAGUAGUUGAAGGAGAAAAAGUCUCCAAUAAGAACCAAAAGGGAGAAGUGAAUAAAAUAUGAAUGUAUGUUGCCUUUUUAAAUUGCUGGAUAUUUGUAUUGCUAUAUUAUUGUGAUAUUCAUAUUUCAAUAAUAUGUAUUUUAUUUUCAGGACCAUCGCAUGCAUGACAGGAGUAGAUUUUGGCUUAGGUUCUUUUUUUGUAAUUUAGGUUCUAAGGAGUAUACCCUUGUAUUUGGUAAUAUUACAACUUUUAUUUAACUUAAUUUGUAUAAUUGAUGUUUAAACUUGAAUAGAUGAACUUAAUUCGGUAGUUUGUAUAACUAUGUUCCAUUAAGCAUGUUUAUAUCUUUAACCAUCCAUAAUGAUAAUUGUUGUACAAUGUAUAUCAUCAACAUUGUGGUUGAUAUGAAUGGUGAUGUUUGUGGGAUUGAGACCUAAGAUGAUUAGGCUGAAUUGAGUUGGAGAUGCGGUAUAUUAGAAGUGUAAACAGGACGUAUGUCGAUAACUUGGGACCUCCCGGUAUAGGGGAUACUCUGUUAAAAUUUCACUAGACUUUAAUGCAAAUACCAUGAAUAGAUAUAUAUAUAUAAAAUUUAGUCACUCUGUUUAUCAGCUAACAUGAGAUCGUUGCUUUAUCCCUGAUAUGGGAAUGUUACAGGUUCGAUAGAAGUCAUGGAUGAUUGUUCAUGGAUGUAUCGAGAUCCAUGUGUUAAUUUUGACAACAUGUAUUAAUUAAGAUGACAACAUGUAUUAAUUAACUAACAUAGUUAACUAAUACAUGUUUUCAUCAUAAUUUUAUAGAGGUUCGAUAAAAGUCAUGGAUGAUUGUUCAUGGAUGUAUCGAGAUGCACCCCAUGGAUUGCAGAGGAUUCUUUGAAGAAAAUUCAAAUUUUCAUGUUUUCGAUAAUAGUCUUGUUGAUGUUGACGCAGAGGAGUUGAAUGUUGUUUUGAGCUCUAACGGACAAGCAAAUAUCGAUGAAGAUGAUGAUUAUGAUGACAUCCAUAUUGAAGAUUGCGAUGGAGCUGAUGACUAUUCAAUUGAUGACGAAGAAGAAGAAAAUUCUGACUAACUAGCAGAAUCAAGGAAAGUGCAAAGCAUUUUUCUAAAAUGUAAUAUGUAUUAUCGAUGAUAUUUUGUAACAUGAAAUAUUUAUUUGAUAAGUGUUUAAGUGUUUUUGUGUGAUGGGCAGUUUGUAAUUUAAGUGUUUGUAGGAAGGUAAAUAGGCAAUACAAACAAAAGUUUUCAUGCACAGUGCACGAUCACCAACGUCCAUACCGAUGGAUUACAUUUCGUCGGUAUUGCACAGAGAGCUGUAAAAUAUUUAUUGGAAAUGCCACAAUCACCGACGACUUUGCAGAUGGAUUACCGUCCGUCGGCAUUCAACAGAGAGGUUCACUGGAAAUGCCACAAUCACUCACCGACGACUUUGUAGACAGAUUAAAGUCUGUCAGCAUUCCACAGAGAGGUUCACUGGAAAUGCCACAAUCACCGACGACUUUGCUGAUGGAGUAGAGUCUGUCGGCAUUCCACAGAGAGUGGUGGAAAUGCCACAAUCACCGAUGACUUUGCAAACGGAUUACAGUCCGUCGGCAUUGUGUCGGCAGCUCACAAUUAUCGAUAAAUUCACCAACGAACGGUGUGAAUUCCAAAGGACGGGUAAUAAAUGCAUAUCUGAUAGCGUGCAGCUGCCGACGGAAUUACCAACGAACUGCGAAAAAUAUGGAGGGUAAUUAAAAAAUUCUGGAGCAAAAUUCAAAAUUUACCGACGGAGUUAAAUGUUCGUCAGUGAAUCCGUCGGUAAAAUUACGAUAUAAAUGCCAGCGACCGCCCUUUGAGUUCAUUUUUUCAUCUCCUUUGUUUUUAGAGCUUAACUUUUUGUUUUUUUUCCCUCUCAUUUCCUUCAAAUCUCUUGUUUUUUCUUGUAAUCUCUAGUUAUAUCUUCAGCAAAUUAAAAGGUAUGUAUUUCCUCUACUUAAUUUGCUUUAAGAUUUUACUUUUUUAUUUGUUCUUUGUUUAGCAAUUGUUAUUUUUGUUAUGUUUUUUGUUUUGGUGUAUUUUCAUAAUGUAGAUAAAGUCUUACAAUAAACACAUUAUUAAGGUAAGCAUUUUUCAUUCUUAAAGUCUAUAGUUUUUUUUUUAACUUGUUCAAUAUAUUUUGUUGUUUGUUUUGCCAUAAUAAUUAGGGGUGAGCAAAUUCGGUUCGGUUCGGUUUUUAUCUAAAAAACUAACCAAAAUCAAAUUUUGAAAAACUUAAAAAUUCAAACCGGACCCAAACCGGAACCGGUUCAAACCGACCGGUUUCGGUUCGGUUCGGUUCGGUUUUUUUAUCAGGAAAACCGGAAAACCUGUAUUAUUGUUUUUUUGGGCUUUUUCGGGCUUUUUAAUGGGCUUUCUGAUGGGUUUUCUGAUGGGCUUGUAAUUAAUGUAAAUAUCAUCUAAUUUUGUUACAAAAUUCUAUAAUAUAUUUAAUAUUUUUUAUCACUAAAUAUUCAUUUAUAUUAAAUUAUUAGUGCUAAUAUUAUGUUUAAUAUGUUGCACAUCUUUCUAAUAUUUAUAUUUAGGAGUUUGGACUCCUCAUGCAUCAAAAUUUAAAUAACACACACACCAAAUUAAAAUUAAAAUUACAAAGCAUUGCCUUCAAAAUGGGCUUAAAAAAACAACAAAUAACAUUGCCAUAAAAAAUAAAAUACUUCAUGCAAAAAAUAUAAAUCUUCAUUGUGCACAUCAUCUCAAUCAAAAAGCACAACAAGAUGACAAGAACAUUGCACUUUGAUUCCGUAAUACCAUUGACAUCAAAACCUGAAAAUCAAGAUCUAAAAUUAUAACAUGAUAAAAUAAAUUAGAAUAUGUAAAAAUAAAUAGUAGUAUUUUACCAUCAAAGUAACUUUUGAACUAAUUAUCAUUUGUUACUAAAUGUAACUUUCCACCAAAUUCUACAAAAUAAAAAAUUAGACAUGUUAGAUGAUUGCAAACAAUUUAAUUAAUAAAUAACAAAAUAAAAGGUGCAAAUUUCUAAAAACAAUUACCUGACUCAAGGUUUUCGUAGGUUUCAAGAUCAUUUAUCAAGCUUCUAAUAUCAGUUGGAAUUGAUCCAUGAUGAAACCAAUUUUGACAACAAAUGAGUGCUUGAACAGUUGCUGGAGAUAGAGAACUUCGAAAUUGAUCAAGUACACGACCACCUGUGCUAAAUGCUGAUUCAGAAGCCACUGUAGAUAUAGGAAUAGCCAGAACAUGUUGUGCAACCUUUGAAAGUGUCUUAUAUUUCAAAGCAUUACUUUUUCACCAACCCAAAAUAUCUAACUUAUCAUCAUUACGAUCCUCACAACCUUCAAUCAAAUACCUCUCAACCUCAUUUUUAUUUUCCACACUAUCCACCUUCAGCAAAUGUCUUUUGAAUCGAGCCAAAGUGUUAACAUCUACCUCCACAUCAUCAAUAGCAUUAACAUCCUGUUUAUGCCUAUUAUUAUCCACCACUUCAUCAAUUUUCAAAUAAAACUCAUACAAGCUCACCAAAGUAUCUUUCACCUUAUUUGUUAGCAAUUGUGCUUUGUCAUAAUCAUACAAAUCACCAAAACAAAAUUCCACAUAUUUCAACUUCAAACAUGGAUCUAAGACAUUAGCCACAUAUAACAAAAAAUUCUGAUUUACUUCACAACCCCAAUACUUCUCAAACUUUAACAUCAUCUUCAUCGCCAUUCCACUUUAACAAGUUUGUAUGCAUGUAAAUCAAUUCAUUGAAGAAAGAAUUUGAUGUGACAUGCAAUGAGCCAGAAAAUAUCAAUGUAACCAUAUAAAAGAUCUUUAAGAACUUAACCAAAGUUCUUGCAUUUUCCCAAUCCUCCAAACUAGGUGGCCCUAUGUUUUUUUUAUUCCCCUUUGAAUCAACCUCCAAAAAGUAACUCAUAUACCUAAGUUCUCUUUCACCUAACCUCACAAAUACCUUUUCAAACUUUUCAGCAGCUUCUAGCAUAAGAUAAGUUGAAUUCCAUCGAGUUGCAACAUCUAAACACAAUGAUUUCUUACACUCUAUAUGCAACUUUUCAGCACACUUCUUAAAUGCAAGAUGCCUCAACGGUGAAGAUCUCACAAACCUAAUGGCAUUUCGAAUCUUAACAACUGAAUCAUUAAUCUCUUUCAAGCCAUCACACACAAUGAGGUUUACAAUGUGUGCACAACAUCUAACAUGCAGGUGCUCAUUUGACAAUAUAUUAGUUGGCCAAUCUUUCAUCACAUUCUUUAAAUAUGAAAUGGUCACAUUAUUAGAGCUUGCAUUGUCUAAUGUAAUAGUCAACAGUUUAUCAAUCCCCCACUCCAACAAACAAUUCUCAAUAACUUGGCCAAUUGUCUCACCCAUAUGAUUGGAAACUUGACAAAAAUUAAGAAUUCUUUUAUGCAAAUUCCAGUCAUUAUCAAUCCAAUGAGCUGUUAAACAAAUAUAGUUAAUAUUUUGGAUUGAUGUCCAUGUAUCUGUUGUCAAGCACAAUCGUUGACCCCUAAGAGCUGUCCUCAAUCUAUCCUUCUCUUCAACAUAAAGUUUCAAACAAUCUCUCAUAAUUGUAAAACGAGAAGGAAUGUCAAAUCUAGGUUGUAUAGUCCUAGCAAACAAUUUAAAUCCCCGACCCUCCACAAAAUUAAAAAGCAACUCAUCAAUUAUAACCAUCUUUGCUAGUGCUUGUCUACAUUCAUCAUAAUUAUAACCUAUUGCCUUAAGACUUCCCACAUUUUGUUCUCCCAAUUCACCCUUCUCUAUCUUAGGUUCUAAUACCAAAACCUUUUGUUUCUUAUCAAUCACAAAAGGGAACUUCUUGUACACUUUUAAAUGACUCCACAUAUUACUUGUGCCAUUAACAAUAGUAUGACAUGCAUAAUGUUUUCCACAAUAAUUACAUUCAGCUCUAGGGGUUUUAGGAUCAACAUCAAGUUUUGUAAAGUGAUCCCAAGUUUGUGACUUCUUUUUAUCAUCAGCAUUUCUUUUCCUAGAUGAAAGGACUUGAGGUUGUUUACCUUGUGUAUCUGUGGUGGAUCCUGCAUUGGUUGAUUCUACAUUAGGUUUUGAAGUUGGAGAAGUAGUUGAUGUUGGUGUAGUGCCUGUGGAUGAAGCAUUUUGAAUUUGAGUAGUUUCCAUCUGUUAUUAUAUAUGAAAACAUGUUAAAAACCAAUAAUUUAUAAUAGAUUAACAACAGUAUGACAUGCAUAAGUUCAACUGUAAUUUUAAAGAUUAUUUUCACAAGUUAAGUUCUUUUAUUUUGGUUGAUAUGUUGUAAAAACAAUUAUGUUGCUGAGUGCUGAGAUUGUAUUUUGUAAUUUCAAUAGACAAUAAUACAAUACAAUAUAUAUAUAUAUAAACAUUAUUCUCUUUUCAAUAAAUAAAAAAAAUUCAGUUUUCAGAAUUGAUAAAUUACAAUCCACCGAAUCCCCCCUCUUUUUUUUAACACAGAUAAUAAACAUUAUUCUCUGUUUUUUUAGCACACAGCAUUGACAGCACACCAUAAUAAUGGAUUAGCAAUAAUAUUUAAAACAAAUGCCUCUCGGGGAAACUGUAUUUUCCCAUUUUUCUCCCUAAUGUAAUAUCAGGCUCAUAAUACCAAUUCACCGCAUUGGUAUUGCAAGUUUUUAUCAUUUGUUUAGUAUCAUUUUCUUCUUCAGUCAUUUGGCUAUUGACAUAAUGAGAUAAUUUUUCUAAUCUUUUACCAGUACUCCACCUUAGAGUAUGAGUGGAAUUCAAUCUCUAAUGUCUAGCUAAAAGCCUAAAACGGCACAAAGAGGUUUCUUUAGUAAUGAUCAAGUUUUACCACUACCAGUGCCAAUUAUUCCCAUUUCUUUCAGUGAUGUGCUGUUAGCUUUAGCAUUUGGAACAAUCAUAACAUAUUGUCUUUCUCAUGACCAGUGCCAUUUCUACCAGUGCCAAUUAUCUGUGUUUUGUAUAUUAAAUUAACAUGCAAGAGUUUGUAUAUUAAAUUAACCCUCAUUCCGAUAUUAAUCUAGAUUCCAUUAUUUUUUCAUUGCUACUCAUGACCUUAAUAAAACACGAAUUCAUUAACAUAUUGUCUUUCUCAGCAAAGAAAAAACGCAUUGUCUCUGUCAUAAAUCUCUUCUUAAGAAGUUUAUUAAAAAAUAAACAGAAUCACAGAGCAAUAGAGCAUAUGUUCAAAAAAAAAACAGAGACAAAAAAAAAAUCAUACCUGGUGUGACACGAUUCAAGGUCGGGUGUGAGAGAGGGAGGUGACUGCCUCACUGGUUCGCUAAAUCUGGAGUUGGACUCUGGAGGUUCGGUGAGCCGGUGUGGUGUGUGUCCUACGAUUCAAGAUCAGGUGUGACCGUGUGAGAGAGGGACGUGGCUGACUGGGGUUUGAAGAUGAAGAUGGUGGCCGGUGGGAGAGGGAUGUGGCUGACUGGCGUUUGAAGAUGAAGAUGGUGGGAGAGGGAUGUGGCUGACCGGCGUUUGAAGAUGAAGAUGAAGAUGGUGGGAGAGGGAUGUGGCUGGUUGUGGUCCAGUAGAUGAAGAUGGAUUGAUUUCUUACAUAUGUGAAAUUGUGAGUUGUGAGUUGAGGGAGCGGCUUAGGAGAAAGGAGAAGGACGGCUGGAGCAGGAGUAUGGAUGCUAGGGUUAAGAAAAACAACGCGAUUUUUUUUGUAGCUAUUUAUAGUACCCCUUAAACCGAACCGGUUCGGUUCGAUUGGGGUUUUUCCGGUUUCAGGUUUCUAAAACCGAAACCGAACCGAACCAAACCAAAAAUUUUUACAAAAAAUUUAAUCGGUUUUUUUGGUUAUUUUUUUUUCGGUUUUCUCGGUUUAUUCGGUGUCUCGGUUUUUUUUCUCACCCCUAAUAAUAAUUGAACACUUUGUUGAAUUUUAAUUGUUAUUGUUGAAUUUACCUUGCAAUUAGUAAUUGAAUACACUGGAAUGAAUUUAAUUAUUUUAUCUCAAUUUUACUGUAUUUUUGCAUGAUAUGUGUUUAAUUAUUUUGUUGAAUUUUAAUUGUUAUUGUUGAAUUUACCUUGUAAUUAGUAAUUAAAUAUAUUGGAAUAAAUUUAAUUAUUUUAUUUCAAUUUUACUGUAUUUUUGCAUGAUAUGUGUUUAAUUAUUUUGUUGAAUUUUAAUUCUUAUUGUUGAAUUUACCUUGUAAUUAGUAAUUGAAUAUAUUGGAAUGAAUUUAAUUAUUUUAUCUCAAUUUUACUGUAUUUUUGCAUGAUAUGUGUUUAAUUAUUUAGUUGAAUUUUAAUUGUUAUUGUUGAAUUUACCAUGUAAUUACUAAUUGAAUAUAUAAGAAUAAAUUUAAUUAUUUUAUCUCAAUUUUACUCUAUUAUUACAUGAUAUGUGUUUAAUUAUUUCCAUUAAUUUUAAUUGUUAUUUGUAUAGAUGUUAGGUUAUAUGUAAGAUUUUUGAAUGGGGGUCAAUUGGUUGUGGCUAUUGUUAAUAUUUGAAGGUUUGAAAACUUUGGGUAGUCUCCAGUAUAGAAGAGACGCUGCUGAAUUUUUUUUAACAAUCGAAUUUAAUUAUAUAAUUAUUCUUAUAAAAUUGCGUAGAUGUGUAUAAUGAAAUCAACUGUUCGUCGCUCACAUAUGGUCGCAGCUAGUUCUUCUAGCAGCAAGAAUGACAUUUCCUUAGGUGUCAAUCAAGAAGAGGUACCUGCACCACCUACCGAUGCUGCCUCUUGCAGCACGGUUUCACAGCGCAGAGACGGCGUGCCUUCACAGUGGAAUCAAUUUACUUACAAGUACGAGGCACAAUGGAAGAACGAUGUUUCAAUGUAAGUUUGUUUUGAUUUUAGUUUUUUUUUUAAUUAUAACAUAAUUUAUGAACAACUAAUCAAUAUUUCAUUAAUUUAAUUUAUUUUCAGGUUCACAAACAUUGAGACCGUCCGAGUAAUAUCAUCGGCGUUUAAAUCGUCGAUGGAGAUUCCAUUAUUUCAAUGGAGUUAGGUAUCCAGACAUCCUGAAUGGAUACCUAAUAUCGAUGCAUGGUUUGAUAAAUUUGAGGUUGGUGUUAAUUUCUAAUUUCCAGCUUAUUUUUAAUAAAUUAUUAAUAUAAUUAUAAAUAAAUUAUUAUUUUUAUUUUAAAUAAAUUAUGUAUACGUGGCACAAAUUCGAGUAGGACAGCACACAUGAUAAUAUUGUGAGGAGGGUGUGGGAAAAUCAUGCGGCAACUAAGUAACAUCGAAAACAAUAUGAUAUUUUUUAAAAAAAAAAUAUGUUUUAAAAUCUAAUUUGUUACUAUGGAAGUAGGUUGUGUGAUUUUUGGUAUGAAGCACAAAAAAAGGUAAAAAAAAAAAAAACACGAGAGAUAGAGGUCUCCAAGGCUAGAACGACGUGGCGGUUUGGGGGGAUUUCAAACCGCUACACAUCCCGGAAAAUAUUUGGCCGGAAUAUAUUGAGCACGUGACGUCUGAGCGGUUCACACGACGCUCAAAGUCUGGUGCUGACAACCGGAACAGGCAAAUUCAUGGUUCACUGACAACGCACAUCGACGGCUCCGUAUCGUUUGCUACACAUGCAAAACGGAUAUAAGAUUAAUUUAAAUGAAAUAUAUCGUUAAAUAAUUUGUUGUUACUUAAUUAAUUUUUUUUCUUACAGGCUACGUCUCUUGGACGUGAGCCGAGCCCAAUGGAGCUGUUUGUAGAGACGCACAUGCGGAGUCAAGACCGCCAAAAGGGGGUGCAACAGUUCGUUGACAACCGCGCUCAACACUUUGUGGUAUGUUCGUUCAACCAUUUUAUUUCGUAAGUUAUUAUUUUUAUUGAAUUGAAUAUGAUGAUUUUUUUUUAUUUUCAGGAUACCUAUAAUAGUCGUUGAGGGAGAGAUAUAGGGACGAUCCUUCAAUCCAUCCGGAUUUCAAUCCGGAUUUGUGGAUGGCGGUAGGAUCGUCCGGUGGACUCGAUAAAAAUCAGGUGUAUGGGCUCUCCAACACCACGGCCGAGAACUUGCGAGCGGCCAGUAGUGCCUCAACCGUUGGGAGCUCCCAAUCUAAGGAGUCCGUGGCCUUGCAGCAACACACGAGUCAUCUCACCGAGAAAUACGAGCAACUCUCGACGAAUUAUGAACUUCGCCAAAUUAUCAUGAACAUGACAUCACAGAGUGACUUUAUGGUCUCGGGAAAAACCAGCCUCCUCCUCCUCCUCCUCCUCCAGCCCCGCCAUUCUGCUAAUUUAAUAUUUUUUUGGAAACACAUUCAAUUUGUAAUGAAUAUUAUUUAACUUUAUUUUUUUAUUUUUGAUGUUUAAUAAAAUUUUAUUUGCAUAAUAGUUUUUUUUACUAUUAAUUUACAUAUUUUUAUAUUAUUUAUUCUAAAUAAUUUUUUAAAAAACAAAUUUAAAAAACCCCACCAACAGAAUUCAUCCGUCGGCAUUUUACAGAAAGUUGAAAGAUAUUUACUAAAAAAGGCCACAAUCACUGAUGUCUUCACAGACGGAUAGUGUCCGUUGGCAUUUUACUUAGAAUCAAAAAAUAUUUACUGGAAAUACUAUAUUCACUGAUAUUUUCACAGACAGAUUUAUUUCGUUGGUAAAUACCGAGAGUUCAAACAAUGACUUGCAUUGACGAGUGUAAUAAUCUGGAACCACUCGCAAUAAAUAAAGCCACAAAAGGCAGACGAGAGUGUCUAUAUAUAUACAUAUAGGAACUGCUGAUUCGUGGUGCUUUCUCCUGCAAAUGAAUAGAAGACGAGUGUGUCUAUAUAUAUACAAAUAGGAACUGCUGAUUCGUGGUGCUUUCUCCUGCAAAUGAAUAGAAAGCAUAUCCUUUUAUCCUAUAUAAAGAAUACAAUUAACCUCAUUUCAAUAUCCUUGCUUUACUCUUCAGCUAACUUCUCUCUCCCAUUGCUGAAAUUUCAUAGCUAACUCUUUGUUAUAUAGAGGUAUAUAUGGCUAACUCUUCUUUGCUUCUUUCGUGUUUUAAUUUCAUGUCUUUACCAUUAACAAUAAUGUGAAAGCUUUGUUUGUUUCAUGUUUAACUUCAGUUGCUAUUGUCUUAUGCUCUCUCAUUAUUAAGCUUAAACUGUUGUAUCAUCUUCGAUGAUCUUGACAUGUAUCUCUUACUUGUAUUAGCAAGAGAGUAGAUACCUUCUGCAAUUGCUCCAUUGCUAAUUGACUGUGCCUUGAUUUCUGCAGCUGCCAUGACAGAGCCGGAGUCUUCUCGAUCUAUAUCACUAGGGGCCUAUGAUGUCUUCUUGAGUUUUAGAGGAGAAGACACUCGCAAGACAUUUACAGAUCAUCUCUAUACUGCCUUGGUCCAAGCAGGAAUCCACACUUUUCGAGAUGAUGAUGAACUUCCGAGGGGAGAAGAAAUCUCCGAUCAUCUCCUCAGGGCAGUUCAAGAAUCGAAGAUAUCCAUAGUUGUCUUCUCAAAAGGAUAUGCUUCUUCUAGAUGGUGUCUCAAUGAACUUGUAGAGAUUCUGAAGUGCAAAAAUAGGAAAACCGGUCAGAUUGUUCUUCCUAUAUUCUAUGACAUUGAUCCUUCAGAUGUGAGAAAACAGAAUGGCAGUUUUGCAGAAGCAUUUGUUAAACAUGAAGAGCGUUCUGAAGAGAAGUUGGUGAAGGAGUGGAGAAAAGCUCUUGAGGAGGCUGGAAAUCUAUCUGGACGGAAUCUCAAUGAUAUGGCAAAUGGGUAUGCCUUUUUCCCAAAUUUAUGGAGUCAAUAUACUUUACAUUUUUCAAUGUGAAACAAUAAAAUGCUUAAUUGACUCGCUAUCAAUGACUGCCUUUUGUCUAUGAGCAGGCAUGAAGCAAAAUUUAUCAAAGAGAUUAUCAAGGAUGUGUUGAAUAAAUUAGAUCCCAAGUACUUGUAUGUUCCUGAGCACCUAGUAGGUAUGGAUCGGCUUGCUCACAAUAUUUUUGACUUUCUAAGUACUGCAACCGAUGAUGUACGCAUUGUGGGCAUACAUGGGAUGCCAGGAAUCGGAAAGACAACUAUAGCAAAAGUUGUAUUUAAUCAACUCUGCUAUGGAUUCGAGGGAAGCUGUUUUCUUUCGAAUAUCAAUGAAACACCAAAAAAACUUACAGGUCUUGUUCGUUUACAAACGCAACUUCUUCGUGAUAUUUUAAAACAAGAUGUUGCAAACUUCGAAUGUGUUGAUAGAGGAAAGGUUCUGAUCAACGAACGAAUUCGUCGCAAAAGAGUUCUUUUUGUUGCUGAUGAUGUGGCUCGUCAGGACCAGCUAAAUGCUUUGAUGGGAGAGCGAAGUUGGUUCGGUCCGGGAAGUAGAGUAAUUAUUACAACAAGAGAUUCAAAUCUUCUUCGUAAAGCGGAUCAAACAUAUCAAAUUGAAGAAUUGACACGAGAUCAGUCCCUUCAGCUUUUCAGCUGGCAUGCCUUUAAGCACUCCAAGCCAGCAGAAGAUUAUAUUGAGCUUUCGAAGGAUGUAGUUGAUUACUGUGGAGGACUUCCUUUGGCUCUUGAGGUUAUGGGUGCUUGUCUGUACGGGAAAAACAGAGGUGGUUGGAAAUCUGUAAUUGACAAAUUGAGAAGAAUUCCAAACCACGAUAUUCAAGGAAAGCUUAGAAUAAGUUAUGACUCACUGGACGGUGAAGAACUACGAAAUGCAUUCCUUGAUAUCGCUUGCUUCUUUAUUGAUAGAAAGAAAAGGUACGUCGCAAAAGUGCUAGGAGCCCGUUGCGGUUACAAUCCAGAAGUUGAUUUGGAAACUCUCCGUGGAAGGUCUCUGAUUAAAGUUAAUGCCAUUGGAAAGAUAACCAUGCAUGAUCUAUUACGAGACAUGGGAAGGGAGGUUGUUCGUGAAACGUCUCCAAAAGAACCUGGAAAGAGGACCAGAAUUUGGAACCAAGAGGAUGCAUGGAAUGUACUUGAGCAGCAGAAGGUACGUAAGAGCGCAAUGCAUACAUGAAAGCAUAGUCAUGCGUAUUUUCUAGUCAAACUUAUUACAAAUAAUUGUAUGAAAGUUGGAUUGAUUUUUUUUUAGGGUACGGAUGUUGUAGAGGGUCUUGCACUGGAUGUAAGAGCAUCAGAAGCUAAAUCACUGAGCACAAGAUCAUUUGCAAAAAUGAAACGCUUAAAUUUACUCCAAAUCAAUGGAGCACAUCUCACCGGAUCCUUCAAACUGCUUUCUAAAGAGUUGAUGUGGAUUUGUUGGCUUCAAUGUCCUUUGAAAUAUUUUUCAUCUGAUUUUACCUUGGAUAAUCUGGCUGUUCUUGAUAUGCAAUACAGUAACCUCAAAGAACUAUGGAAGGGACAAAAGGUGUGAAACAUUCUACAAUCCCCAAAAUUUCUCCAGUAUGUAAUUUAUAUUUACAUGUUAUGACUUUCUAUGAUUAAUUUUCAUUAUUUUGCCCUCUAUUAAGACAGAUUCUCAACAGGUUAAAAAUCCUCAAUCUCAAUCAUUCUAAGAACCUUAUUAAAACACCAAACUUGCACAGUUCAAGUCUAGAGAAACUAAAGUUGAAAGGUUGCUCGAGUUUAGUUGAGGUGCAUCAAUCAAUUGAAAAUUUGACAAGCCUUGUUUUCUUGAAUCUGGAGGGAUGUUGGAAUCUGAAGAUUCUUCCUGAAAGCAUUGGCAAUGUAAAGUCUCUUGAAACUUUGAAUAUUUCUGGGUGUUCACAACUUGAGAAAUUGCCAGAAUGCAUGGGUGAUAUGGAAUCCUUAACCGAGCUGCUAGCAGAUGGGAUUGAAAAUGAGCAAUUUCUCACUUCAAUUGGACAAUUAAAGCAUGUCAGAAGGUUAUCGUUGUGUGGAUACAGUUCGGCUCCACCAAGUUCUUCUUUGAAUUCAGCAGGUGUUUUGAAUUGGAAACAGUGGCUGCCAACAUCUUUUGGAUGGAGAUUAGUGAAUCAUCUUGAGCUUUCUAAUGGUGGUUUGUCUGAUCGCACAACUAACUGUGUUGAUUUCAGUGGUUUGUCCGCUCUAGAAGUAUUGGAUCUAACAAGAAACAAAUUCUCUAGCCUGCCUUCUGGGAUCGGCUUCCUUCCCAAGCUAAGGCGGUUGUUUGUUCUGGCAUGCGAAUAUCUUGUAUCAAUCCUAGAUCUUCCCUCAAGUUUAGAUUGUUUGGUUGCAUCUCAUUGCAAAUCAUUGAAAAGAGUAAGAAUACCAAUCGAGCAAAAAAAAGAUCUAUAUAUAGAACUACAUGAAAGUCAUUCGUUAGAAGAGAUUCAGGGCAUCGAAGGUCGAAGUAAUAGUUUCUGGUAUAUUUGUUCUAAUCAGUUCAGUCAUUCACCAAAGAAAUUACAGAAAAGCGUUGUUGAGGUACUAUUUCUUUCAGUCUCUUUUGCACACGAAGAAACACACAAUUGGUACAUACAUUGAUUAAUGUCUAAAAUCUCAGCAUUUCUUGAAAUCAAUAUGUAUACAGGCAAUAAUCAUCAUUAUUAUUAUUUUAUUUUAAAAAAUAAAUAUGUUUAAUAAUAUUUUUUAUUUUUCUUAUUUAAUCUAAAAAAUUAAAUAUUAUCUUUAAUAAUAUGUUUUUAUUAAAUAUUUAAAGUCUGAUUGGUUUUAUUUUUUAAUUAUUUCUUGAUUUUAUGAUAAUAUACAGGUAAUGUGCAACGGUCGUCACCCGUAUCGUAUUUCCCCCAUUCGUGGUGAGAUGCCAAAUUGGAUGAGCUGCAGUGGAGAAGGAUGUUCAUUGUCAUUCCAUAUACCUUCAGUCUUCCAAGGCUUAGUUGUUUGGUUUAUCUGUCCACUUGAACCCGUGACAAUUGAAUUCGAUUCUCGCAUUAUUAUUAUUAUAAGAAAUAAAAGCAAUGGUAUUCAAUUGUUUGAAGAUAAACGAACACCAGGAACUGACAUGUUUUUUAUUGAGGGAUUCAUAAGAUACAUAAGUAUAAGUGAAAUGGGAAUGGAAGAUUACUGUGGAGAUGACGAAUUGGAACUCUGCAUUUAUUCAGAGCCAACAGAGCAUGCGGUGCGCCGUCUUCCAUUCUACCCCGUACACAUUAAAGAAUGUGGGGCCCAUGUGAUCGCAAAGAAGUUAAAUUCAUUUGAAGAGUCGGCAAUGGGAAGAGCUACAGUGAUGCCUUCACCAUCGCUGUAUCAUCUGCUUCCUCAUCCCCAUUGUGGUUCAAUUACAGCAUCUACACCUAAGCAAUGGAGUAAUUAUUUAUUUGCGAAGCUGCAAGAAUAUAACCUCAGUUUAACAUUUCAUGGUAAGAACAAAUAUUUCCUUUAGUUAUUUUUAUUCUAUUAUAUUUAAUUUAUGAGAUUAAAUAUUAUCUUUAAUUAUUUCAUUAUUAUUAUUUAAUCUAAAACAUUAAAUAUCAUCUUUAAUUAAAAAAUAUAUAUAUAUUUAAGGCUUUUUGGUAAGAAUACAUAUUUCCUUUAGUUAUUUCUAUUUAAUUUAAGAGAUUAAAUAUCAUCUUUAAUUGUUACAAUAUUUUUCUUAUUUAAUCUAAAAUUUUAAAUAUUUUCUUUAACAAUAUUUUUUAUUAAAUAUUUAGAGUCUACUUGGUUUUAUUUUUUUUCUUGAUUUUAUGAUAAUAUUUUUCUUAUUUAGUAUAAAAAAUAAAUAUUAUCUUUAAUAAUUAGAUCUAUCGAAUAUCACUUAAAAAAUAAAUUAUAACUUUAAUAAUUAUUUUUUGAAAAACAAAAAGCCAACAAUCACUAACAUAUUUUAUUAAAAUCACUUUAGUUUAUUUAGAAAAUAUUGAAAAUUGAUUAUUUUUUUUACAUUAAAAUAAAAAAAUUAAAAAAUGUUUUUAUAUUUUAUUUCAAAGUCGAUAUUUUAAAACAAAAAUGAAAAAGAUGUGAUAUUAACCUUUUUUAUUAUAAAGUAAGUUUUUUAAUUAAAAGUGAUGAGAAUUUGUUCGUAAUAACAAAAUGCAUGUUUAAUUUUCUUUUCAAACUUGGAAUAUAUUUCUAUUGAAUUUGAUGGUUUUUUUAUCUUAAAACACUUGCCAGCAAUCUUGUUUUUUCAAUGCUGCCAUUUAGCAAGUGGAGUACUGUAGCUUUUCCACAUACAUUGAAUAAUAACAGUUUGAAUAAAUAACAAGAAAAUAGAAAUUAGUUUUAUUAAUUUGAACGGUACAUCAUUCAUCGAAUAAAUUACAAAAAAGUAUUAUUGAGAUACUAUUUUUUUCAGUUUCUAUUGCACCAAAAUAAACACAUAUAUUUGUCACAUAUAUUAAUUAAUAUCAAAAAUCUCUGUAUUCCUUGAAAUCAAUAUGUAUACAAGUAAUAAUCAUUAUUAUUUUAUUUUAUUUUAAAAAAUAAAUAUCAUAUUAAAUAAUAUUUUUUAUUUUUCUUAUUUAAUUUAAAAAAUUAAAUAUUAUCUUUAAUAAUAUUUUUUAUUAAAUAUUUAAAGUCUGAUUGGUUUUAUUCUUUAUUUCUUGAUUUUAUGAUAAUAUAUUUAUACAGGCAAUGUGCAACGGUCGUCACCCGUAACGUAUUGCUUCAUUUCGUGGUGAGAUGCCAAAUUGGAUGAGCUACGGUGGAGAAGGAUGCUCCUUGUCAUUCCAUAUACCUCCAGUCUUCCAAGGCUUAGUUGUUUGGUUUGUCUAUCCACUUGAGAAGGAUUGUCAUAACCUAUUUUUAGGUUAUUUUUCAAUAUAUAUAUUUUUUUUUCUUCAAAAAAAUUACAAAAAAAAUCUAAAAAUAUUAUAAAAAAUAUAACAGUAAAAAGAGGAUGUCAGAACGCUCAGAAAAUAGUUAAAAUUUGGUUGAGGAGGUUUAAAAAUAUAAAAAUUAAAAUUUGGUAGUAUUUUAUUAACUGAUGAUAGCCCUGUUGACAAAGAAAAUUCAAUUUGAGAAAAAAAAAGUCUAAAAUCAGAUGUUGAGGGACUCAAUUAAAUUAUAUUGAAAGUUUAAUUGAAUUUAUGGAGGGUUUGAUUGUAAGAAAAAUUGAUUUUGGAGUUAAUUUGGGCUUUAAUUGGAAGAAAUUAAAGUUCUGGGGUCAGAUUAUAUUUUUUUUUAGAGUUGAUUUGGUCAAAUUGGGGGCUUAAUUGCAUAAAUAUUAAAGUUUGAUGGCCAAUCGGGGACUUAAUUGAAGAAAUCUGAGACCAAGGACCAAAAUGCAAAACGCGCGCAAAUUGAAGGAUUGAAUUGAAAUCUAGCGCUUUGGCUCCAAUUUUCAUUUAAAUGAAACAGUGCGUUUUAAGCAAAACGACGUCGUUUCAUGCACUUUCCAAAAAAAAAAAAGAGGACGAAACGGUGCCGUUUUGAGGCGGCACUGUUUCUUCUUCUUCUUCCCCUGGACAUGCAGCAGGGGAAGAGGCGUUUUUGUUUUCUUCUCUUUGUUUCUUCCUCUCCCUCCCCAUGUGCUCUGUUACAACCAAAACCGGUCGCCACUUGCCUCAUGAUGAGAUGCCAAAGCAGUCGUGCCCCGCAAGCGACGCCUCCAUUGGCCACCUCUGUCGGCGCCGUGACAGAGCAGGAGACGUGCGACGCAUGCAUGGGCAACGAUGGGACGGGGCAGGGUCGACCCCGCUCCCCUUGCCCCUAUAAAUAGUGACCCGAAAGGAGAAAAAAAGGAACACGGGAGAAAACAGGGAGGGAAACCGAGAGAGAGAAAUCGAUAGUGUUGAGAGAGAAAUGACUGAAACAGUAGAAACCAAAAAAACCGGGGAUAUCGAUAGGGAGACCGAGAGAGACAGACGGGGAGAAGGAAGAAAAAGGACAAAAGAGGUAAACCGAUGGGGAAGAAGACACUGACUGGUGUCUCUACACAGCGGAGAAGAAGCGCCGCUGCUGGCAUUGGGCUUCACAGUCACCGCCACCGCAACACCACCGAGAACGUUCACCAGCAUCACCGUCAGCUCAGCCAUCCGAGAUCACCACCUCAGGUAAAUUCUCUUCCCCUCACGCCGAUAAUUAUUCAUCUUCUUGCUUGUAGAACGUGCACUGUGCACGUUCUGCAUGCAAGAAGAAAUAAUUAGUCGGUUACCGUGCAUGCGCACAGUAACCGGCUAAUUAAUUAACUAGUUACUGUGCUCAUGCAUAGUAACUAGUCAUUGGUUUCUUCUUCUGCGAGUUGGAACAUCAGCCCAGCCCACGCGACUGGGCUGAGUCCAACCCCCUUUUUUUUAUGCGGGCUGGAACAUCAGCCCAGCCCACGCGGCUGGGCUGAGUCCAGCCCUGUUAACUGCGGCCUGGAACAUCAACCCAGCCCAUGCAGCUGGGCUGAGUCCAGCCUUGUUGCUGGGCCAAUACAGGCCCAACCCAGUUCAUUUCAUUUUUUCUUUUUUCCUUUUUGUUUUGUGUUUUAUAUAUAUAUAUUGUGAUUUUCCCACGGAUUUUUCUACGUCAUUUUAACUAAUAUUGGUCUAUAUUUUUUACUCGGUUUUCAAAAAAAAAAACUUUUGCUUUCAUGCAUACGGCCAAGUCUCUCAAAGCUAAAAAAUCAUAUUGUAUUUUUAUACAACAAAGAAAACUAAAAAAAUAUAUAUUAUUUUAGCAUGCAUUUUAGCUUUAAUAACCAGUUUAUUAAAGUCAUGAUAACUUGGCCAAUAUUUCAAAAAAUCAAAAAAAAUAUUUUGUUUUGUUUUAAUGUCUGGGAUUACGAAUUUAUACGUAAAACGUAUUCCCGAUAUUAAAAAGGUAGUUCUUUUAUAGACAUUAGGCCGGUUAGAUUUUUACCCCAUAAGAUAAGAACCUCCUUACUGAGGAGGGCUUUUCUUGAACCCUAGACAGACCAACAUGAUAAGACCUUAGAUUUUUUAUUAGACAAUAAAACAAUGCAGCUUACCUUAGGUAGGGUGUAUUUGAGGUGCUAAUACCUUCCCUUUGCGCAACCAGUCUCCGUACCCGAUCUCUAAGACCAGUUAGGGUUCCUAGUGAUCAGAAUACUAGGUGGCGACUCUCAUUCCAUUUUUUCACCGCUAAGAGACAAAGAAUUCCUUGUUUUACCAUAUUUUCCAGAAUAGAUAGACAUACCACAUUUGAUGAUGAGGGUGGUGGAUGAUCGCCGCACACGUGCGAUAGAAUGGUGACUCCACUGGGGACCCAUCAAAUCAAUCAACAGAAAAAAAAAUCACCAAGCCGAUGCCGCGCGGGUGACAUGCGACAAGGAUGAUCAUUAUUACUCACGGUCUGGCACUAUUAUUAUUAUUAUUAUUAUUAUUAUUAUUAUAAGAAAUAAAAGCAAUGGUAUUCAAUUGAUUAAAGAUAAACGAAUAGUAGGACCUUUCCUACCAAAAACUGCGGGAUGGAUAAGAUACAUAAGUAGAAGUGAAAUGGAAAAUGGAAGAUUACUGUGGAGAUGACGAAUUGGAACUAUACGUAUAUUCAGAGCCAAGAGGAGAUACAGUGCGCAUCAUUAAAAAAUGUGGGGUUCAUGUGAUCGCAGGGAAGUUAGAUUCAUUUGAAGAGUCGGAAGUGGAAAGAGAUAUAAUGAUGCCUUCACCACCGUUGUAUCAUCUGCUUCCUCAUCUCCAUUGUGGUUCAAUUACAGCGUCUACACCUAAGCAAUGGAGUGACUAUUUAUUUGCGAAGCUGAGUAAAUAUAACCUCAGUUGAACGCUUCAUGGUAAGAACAAAUAUUUCAUUUAGUUAUUUCUAUUUUAUUCUAUUUAAUUUAAGAGAUUAAAUAUUACCUUUAAUUAUUUCAUUAUUAUUAUUUAAUCUAAGAAAUUAAAUAUCAUCUUUAAUAAAAAAAAUUAUUAAAUAUUUAAGGCUUUUUGCUAAGAAUACAUGUUUCCUUCAGUUAUUUCUAUUUUAUUCUAUUUAAUUUAAGAUAUUAAAUAUAAUCUUUAAUUAUUUUAUUUUUCUUAUUUAAUUAAUCUAAAAAAUUAAAUAUGUUCUUUAAUAAUAUUUUUUAAAAAAUAUUUAGAGUCUGAUUGGUUUUAUUUUUUAUUUCUUGAUUUUAUAAUAAUAUUUUUCUUAUUUAAUUUAAAAAAUAAAUAUUAUCUUUAAUAAUUAGAUCUAUCAAAUAUCACGUAAUUAAUUAUAUCAUUAUUUUAUUGGUAGCAACUUAGGAGUCUUUUAAGCCAAAAGAAUAAUAGCUAGGAAGAGCUAAAAUUAGCAAGGAAUAUUUAGAGUCUGUUUGAUUUUAUUGUUUUUCUUUGAUUUCUUAAUAAAAAAAAUCAAAUUCUUGAAAACAAAAAUUGAAAACUUAUACGUUUUGAUUUUGAUUUUAUUUUUGAAAAUGAAAAGCCACCAAUCAAUAGCAUAAUCUAUUAAAAUCACUUUGUUUUAUUUAGAAAAUAUUGAAAACUGAUUUUUUUUACAUUAAAAUAAAAAAUUGAACAAUAUUUUUAUAUUUUAUUUCAAAUUUGAUAUUUUAAAACAAAAAUGAAAACGAUGUGAUAUUAACCUUUUUUUUAUUAUAAAGUAAGUUUCUUAAUUAAAAGUGAAGGUGAUUUGUUUGUAAUAACAAAAUGCAUAUACAAUCAUGCAAAAGUUGUAUUUAAUCAACUCUGCUAUUGAAUUUAAUGGUUUUUUAGGGAACAAAUGAUAUGGAUGAAUGUGAGAGCACAAGAUCAUUUUACAAAGAGAUUGAUUGGUACUUAAAAAUAUAUUUUUAUUAAGGUUUUAUAUCAUCAUAUUGCAUUUAAAGUAUAAUUAAAUUCUCUAAUUUAAGCAUAUUUUAUAAUAACAAGUCUGAUAACAUAAAAUAUAUUUAAUUUAUGGUAAAUGCUCAUUUUGAAUGCAGGCAUAUCUCACAAUUUAAAGGAUUGAUUGAUGUGUUUAACUAUUAAAAGUGAAAAGACAAAAAGAAGGCUAAGCUUAAAGAAGAAAUGUUGGUUCAAUUCAAACUGGAAUAUCAUUAUGUUAUUGAAUCAUAACUAUAGCUAUAGAACAUGGAUUUAGGUUUGGUUUAUAUGGAUGGAAAGCUAAGACAUAGGCCUAAAACUUUCAUGAAGAGUUCAAGAUUCAAAACGGCCCUUUUCAAGUUCAAAUUAUAGCAACAAAAGAGAAGUCGAAAUAUGACUUGUAACCUAGACACUGUUCAGUGUUCAGCCCAUAUCUCGAGUUCUAGAAGUUCAAAUAAUCUCAUUCUUGUUUUGUUGGAAAACUGAGACAAAUGCCCAGAAGUUUCAUGAAGACUAUCUGUUCAAAUUUUGAUGUUAGCAUGUUGUGUUCAGACAAGAAGAUAAUGGUUGUCACCAAGUCAAUAGGUGGCCACCCACUUAAUAAUUAGUCAUUAAAUCAAUAGUUCUGAAUUUUGGACUCUAAAAGAAGGCAUUUGCCAUACAUUUAGACAUCUUGGUGUUCAGAUCAAGAUCUUGCUCUCACUCUCUCUAUUUGUAUUUUGUAAUGUUCAAGUUUUAUUUUAUGUUAUAUUAAUCUCUUAUUUAUGCUUUUCAUUUCUUUUACUAUACUUAGUUAACUUAUAUCAUGUUUAUGUUAUUAUGUUGUUUAUUUAUGUUUUUCUUCUUCAUGAUGUUUAUCUAAGUUAAUUUUGUCAAGGUGAAAAGGGUACACUAAUGGUGUAAGAAUAAGUAUAAUACAAACUCCACAUAGACUUUAAUGUUUAAUACUAACAUGUUUUGUAUUUGUUAUCUUACUCACUCUUUAUACCUUACUUGUUAAAUGGUUAAUCUAAAUUUAUGUUGUACAACCCUUGGCAUAACAAAUACUUGACACUUUCAUAACCUACUGUAUGGUAUAAUCAACACUUGUGCUAUGAAAGGAACUUGAUUUAUUGUUAACAUAAAUUAUCAUCAUGAAUACCUGACCACAUUUACAAGUAUUGGCAUUACUCAAAUAAGAUAAUUAAUAUAAUCAUGUAUGUGGUUUCUAGUUGAGUAAUAAAAAGAGUUUAUACUAUACUUAUUUGAAAUACCUCUAACUUUAACAAUUGUUUUAUCCUUGUUUAAUCCUUACAUCAAUAUCACAUUUCAAAAGUUCUCUUCAACUCCUUUUUAAUUGUUGUUUAUAAUUUUAUAUAAUUCAUCUCCCUGUGUUUCAACCCCGGUCUUGCCGGGUUAUUUAUUACUUUGACACUCCUGCACUUGAUAUAAGACAUCAAUCUCUUGAUCGUGUUAGAGAUGCUUGAAGUUACUCUUUAUUGGUAUGGUAGUUGUUUCUAACGAGUUGAUAAGUAUUUGUUAGCUUGAAGAUUAUUUUCCAAACUUGGAAGUUAUAUUGAAUGCUUUUUGAAAUCUUUUCCAUCCGAUUUGAAAUUGGACAACCUAAUUGUUAUUAUCCAUUAUGUAAUUUAUAUUUUCAAGUUUCAACUUUUGAUGAAUAUUGUAUUGAAUGCUCUUUGAAAUCUUUUCCAUCCGAUUUGAAAUUGAAAAACCUAGUUGUUAUUAUCCAUGACGUAAUUUAUAUUUUCAAGUUACAACUUUUGAUGAAUAUUGUUUCCUUUUUUUCUCACUUCUUGGAAGUAUUCUCAAAAAGAUGAAAAUCCUCGAUCUUAGUUAUAAAUAAAUUGGUUUUCUAGGAAGAGAUUAUUAGGUGGGAUAUAUUAUUUGAGUUGGUUCUUCAUCAUUUAAUGUUAUGAUUUAAGAUAAUUGAUGAAAACUACCAAUACACAAGAAUGUUUAGAAAGCAUCUUUAAUUGGUCUAAUAAGUAAAGUCUUGUUAGUUUUGGCCAUAAGCUAUGUAUUAUUGCUUGUUUUUUACUAUUUUUUUACCUUUUUUGUUUUUUGUAUAUACAACUUUUGUUUUUCUUGCGAGUUUCUCAUUAGCUUUAUGGCACUAACAUCAAUUAAUAAUAAAUCUUGGACUAUUAUUAAAUAAAAAAAAACAUAAACAUUGUUAAAACACCAAACUUGCAUAGUUCAAACCUAGAGAAACCCUAUGCCAAUAAUCUAAUUUAAAAAAAUAAUUAAUUUAUCCUUGUAGUCUUAGAAAAUAGUAUUUAAUCCUUAUGUUUUUACAUUUAUCUUUGAUUUAACCUUUUACAUCUAUUUCAUCUUAUUAUUUUGGUUUACUAAGUAAAGUCUUAGAAACCUAUUUAUGGUCUUAAACAACUUAAAAAGGCUCAAAAACCUAAAAUGAACUCAAACCUGAAAAUCUUCAUGCUGAGAGGUCUGUUUCAUCAAGCAAGGAAAAAGAAAAAAAAAACAUAGGUGAAACUUCCCUCAUCAAAUAAAAUCCAAUGACACUAGGAUUGACUAUUUUGGUGGCUAGAAUAGAAGUCAACGAUAACAUUUUCUUUCCACGUCGGAAUCUAGCAAGUUUCUCUCUUCUCUCACAAAAAAAAACUAAAAAAUAAGGAAAAUAAAGUUUGGUAUUAAAAUCAAAUUUCCGACAACUAAAGAGACCAAUCACCUAUUAACUAAAAACAAUUGGGGACCGAACUAAGUUUUUCAUAUGAAAUAUGAAGUUGACAUCUAUUUUCUCCAUGUUUUUUACUUUGGUUAUCUAUCUUUCAAUCCAACCCUUUCUUCAUAAAAAUAGAAGUAACUUUGUAUUAAUUUGGACUAAAAAAGGUACAAUAGUGCAAAAACAAAUUGAGGAUCAAAUUGAGAAUUAAAAAAUAAUUGAUUAUUUUAAUCUAUAAUGAUAUGUGAGAGAGUGCACAUUAUAAAGUGAAGAGAAAAAACUCCACAUGACUUUGAAACACCUUUGAUGGUUGAUUGAAAUUGGUAAGUGAGUUUCCUCACAUGUUGUUUUUUCGGUUUUGAGUCCAAAUAUGGAGAUUUUAUGAUUUAAGGUAUUUUUCAUGAAUGCAACCCUUCAUGUAUUCAAUAACUUAUUUUCUAGUAUAAACUACGUUUGAAAUAAAAUUGAUAAAAGACAUGUGGUACACAAUUAAUGAUGGCAUGUAUAUAAAAAUAAUUAAAUUGAAAAUUUUCAAUUAUCUUUAAAGAUAUCAUGGUUUUAGUCGGUUAAAUUAUAAAAAAAAUAUUUAAUUUUUUGAUAUAAAUAAUAAUAACAAAUUAGAUAAUAGUAACAAGAAAAUAGGAAUUAGUUUGAAUAAAUGGUACCAGUUCCUAUUAUGAUAUAUCUAGAGAAGAAGUUUGAAGAAUAAAAUGAAGUGAAAUAUUCUUAAUAAAAAAAGAAAAACACAAAAAGAAAUAAAAAAAUAUUCUUAAUAAAUAUAAAAGAUGGGUGAAAUUAGAGAACAAGAAAGAGAUAUAGAAUCUCUUUGUAAGAUUUCUAAAAACUUAAUUACAAUUAUAUUAUAAUUUCUUCCCUAAAAUUAUUUAAAAUAUAGUAUUAGAAUUACAUAAUGCUAGGUUUUAAUAUAUAAUUAAAGAGUUUCUCCUUAACCAAAUAUAAAAAUAUUUUAUAAUUCUUUUGAAUGAAUUAUUAACGGAGGGACUGUUUUGGGUCCCUAUUUAGCUGAUUUUAUUUGAAUAUAUUAUUUGACUAGUCCAUUUAUAGGUUUACUCUACUAUUCUUGCCUUACUGGAACCGGAAAAUUCACUCGAAAUUUCUAGUAGUUUACACAGAAAUUUCCUGUGCUAAACUUCAAAGAAUUUCUUUUCUUUUCAUUUUGUAUUUUCUCAUUUUCUUGGCAUGCGCGCAGCUGCAUCAAGGAAAAAACGUUUCAGAUGCGUGUAAUAAAUCCAAUCGAUGAAUGAGAAAGGGACGCAAAAUAAAGAUAAAAGUGGAAUAUUCUCAUUAAUUGGUCAUCAUUUAAACGUUGGACACAGCCAUCUAUAUGUUGUUUAAAGAAUUUAAAUGGUUAGUCAGAAAGGAUUGCUUUUUAAUUAAAAAUAUAUUAAAAUAAUAUUUUUAAUGCCAAGUAUUUGUUCAACCUCAUUAAUGCUAACGAGUGGACCCAGUUGUUGUGGAAACUUUGCUAGGGAUCUGGAGUGUCAUAAUCCAAAAUUAUUCCUUAAAAUUUAUAUUUUUUCAAAAUAAAAAUCAAAAAAAUAAAAUAAAGGCUGGCAACGUGGAGAAAGCAGGCCGGAAAAUCAAGCUGUAAUUUUUGGAGGAAAUUCAAGGCGUAAUUGUACCCCACUAUGCCCCAAAAUAGAGAGAAAAUAUAAAUUCAAGGUCAAAUUAAAUGAUUAUUUGACAAAUUUGCAUAAACAUUAAGUCCGAUGACAUAAUUAAAUUUUUAAUAGGCCAAUUUGAUUUAAUCACGGGCCAAAUUAAAUUUUAAUUAUGUUUAAGAAUUAAUUUGCGUCCAAUUGAAGGAUUUAAUUAAGUGCAAGGACUUAAUUAUACUUUAAAUGGGUCAAAUUAAUUUUAUUUUGGGCUUAAUUGGUGAAAACUUAAGUUUGGGAGCUUAAUUGAGAAGAUUGGAAUUUUAAGAGACCAAAUUUAAUUCUUACCAAGUUAAUUGAUUGAAAUUAGGGGCCCAAUUGCAAGAACAUUGAAGUUUUGGGGUCAAUUGGGGGUUAAAUUGAAGAAAUUGACAGCUAAGGACCACUCUGCAAAAGGCGAAAACAUUUGGGGACUUAAUUGACAACCACCGGGGCAAAAUUGAAGAAAUUGAAAGUAUAAUGGUCAAUUAGAGGUUAAUUUGACAAAAUUCGAGACCAAGGACCAUAUUGCAAUAGGCGCGUAACUUUGGGGUUUCAAUUGAAGUUUAUCAGGGGCUUAAUUGCAUUAAAUCCAAAGUUAAGGGUUAAUUAGGGGUUCAAUUGAAACCAAUUGAAAGAUGGAGGACUAAGAUGAAAAUAUGUUAAAAUCCCUAAUUCAACUCAAAAUGGCGCCGUUUUAUAUUAAAAAAGAGAGAGAGAGAGGGGACCAGACGACGCGUUGUCGGGUCACUGUUCAUUGUCUUCUUCUUUUACCCGAAAGAAACUGCUUGGGAGCCUUAUUUGCAGGUGCAUUUAAUGCUUGAUUUCUCCAUAAAAUUGAACAAAACUUGCACGAAAAGGAUCCCCUGCAAUUCCUCUACAAACCCAUGUGAACUUUUCAGGAUUAAUGACAGCACAGCUACGCCGGAGAUGGCGUGAAGAGGUCAACUCAGGCAGCCUUUUCCUGCAGAUUUGACAACUCAGGGAGGCUACUUUGAGCCAACAGUUGGGAUCCUUCCCAACAGAAUCAAGAGCUAAAAUUUUACCCCAGUGCAAAAGAGAUUACCCUCUUCGACCGCCUAUAAAUAGAGGCUGAUUUGAUGGCCUGAGGGAGGAAAAAAAAUCGGGUCCAAAAUUUGAAAAAAACAAGCUCCCACUGCCCCCGUUUCUGCAAUUUCUCUCUCUCUCUCCGUCGCUUCAACCACCACCAACCUCAUCACCAGCUUCUCCACCACCAGCUCCAUCACAGUAAGCCACCAACCGACCACCGAGAGCCACCGUGAACCUUUCUCUCUCCUCUGCAAACCGGUUUCUUCUUUCUCCCACAGCGACUCCACCGGCCAAAACUCUCCACCAACGCCGCCAUCAGCCUCUUUUCUUCCACGACCAGACCACCGCCAACUUCACGCCAGGCCAGAGACAGCAGCUUCUUCUCCUCCGCAAGGUCGCCUCCCACUUCACUCCGCCGUCUGCGCAAAGUUGCAUGCAGAACAUGAACUUACUGUUCACGUUCUACAAUUAAUUCAUCCCUCACUUGGGCCGGGCCAUAAAUGUUUGGCUGGGUCUGGCCCGGCCUCAAAAGAAAAGGAGAAAGAAAAUAUGUUGGGCCGAUAUCGGCCCAACCUUUUUGGACCGAGAUCGGCCCAACUGUUUCUGGGUUUCUGCUUGGUCCAGUUACUUGGGCCAUCCCGGCCCACCUGUUUUAAUAAUAUUUAAUUAAUAUAUUAUAUUAUAUUAUAUAUUUCCUUUUAAAAAAAACAAAAAAAUCCAAAAAAAAUUUCAAAAAUCAUUUUUAAAAAAUUACGAUUUUCUCAAAUAUUUUUCUACCACUUUUGUAUAAUAUCGGGUUGUAUAUUUACACUGUAAAAUACAAACCUGGUAUUAAAAUACCCGGUUUUCUCCUAAAUAUUUCAAAAACAAAAUUCAAAACAUUUUCAAAGAGAAAAAAAAUAUUUUGUUGCAUACGGCCAAAUCUUAAAAUUUUUCCAAGCAUAUUUUUCAAUAAAAAAACAAAAAUUGCAUCUUUCUCCAGUUUUGAAAAUAAAAAAAAUGGAUAUCAUAACCAGUUUGUGAAUAUCCAUUAGAAUUUGGCCAACAUGUCAAAACCUUUUUCCAAUCUUUUUAGGGUUCAGAUGCAGACUUUAGUAUUUGUGGAGUGUAAAAUUACACGAUAAAGUACACCCUCAGGUAUUAAAGAUACAAGGUGUAAAUAAAUGCGAUGCUAAAAUUCAGACUUUAGAAUGGUUAGGAUUUAACCUGAUAAAGUAAAGACUUUCUCAUGAAGAGAGAUCUGCCUUAAACCUUAAAAAAGACCAACGAAUAGAAACCCGAUUUAGAAAAAAACAAUCAAACAACAAUGUAGCUUACCUUAGGUAGGGUGCACUGGGGGUGAUGCGUCUUCCCCUUGCACAACCAGUCUCUUACCCAGACUCUCGCAGACCAUAGGUUUCUAGUGAUCAUAAUACUAGGUGGCGACUCCUAAACAUUAAUCAUAAUUUUAUAAUUAAAUCCAAAAAACCUUCCCAACACACAACACCUCACACAGGAGGCACGACAAGAAGCCUUUGCCGUCGCCAGACGACGUCGCGCCCCUUGCGACAUGGAGGAAGAAAAAUGAUUGCAUUGCUAAUAAUUUGCAAGAGAGAAUUCUUUUUCUGAAUAGAAAAAACUAUUAUUUUUAAAAUAAAAACAACUAAAUAGAAAAAUUAUUAUUUUUUAAAUAGAAAAACUAGAAAAGCCUUGUAAUAUUGAAUAAAAAAUAAAAUAGAAAAAUUAUUCUUUUAAAGUAGAAAAAAUUAUGACAAUUUAAUAAUACUGAAUAGAAAUAAAUCAAAUUUUUAAACUAAAUAAAAAUAAUAGAGAAAAAUAUUUAUUAUCCUAAACUUUUUUAUAUUAAAAUCUUAAUUUAUAACAUGAACUGAGUCUACAUGCUAAAAUUAGAAGAACAAAAAAAAAAUGUAACAAAAAAAUUCCAUACAACACAAUUAAUGAUGGGAUCAUAUAUUUUGAGACUAAAAUGAGGUUUUCGAAUUACCUUUAAACAUAACAUAACAUGAUUUUAAUAGAUGUACUGUACAUCAUUUGAAUUUAUUAGAAAAAACAUAUAAUGUAAAGUAUGAACCACUUACCAUUAACUAGAUUUUUCAAUUGGAUUUUUUAUUUAAAUGAAAAGGAAAAUUUAUUUUAUUAUGAAAAAUAUUUUUUAUAUAUAUCUAGUAAUAAUAAAUUAAAGGAUAAUAACAAGAAAAUAACAAUUAGAUCGAAUAAAUGGUACCAAUUUCUAUUCUGAUAUAUCUAGCCAAAGAAUAGAAUGAAUCAAAAUAUUCUUAAUAAAAAAAAUAGAAAACACAGAAAGAAAUAAAAAAAUGUUCUUAAUUAAUAUAAAACUAUUAAUUUACAAAAGAAAUUUUCUGGUACUUUAUACUGUAUAUAAUUUGAAAAAUUGUGACUGACCGACUUACUUGCAAAGUAUUUGCAAGAAAGUUAAAGAAUUAGAGUUUUUUAAUAUUCAAAAUUAUAAUUUUAAAUUCUACGAAAAAAAUCAAUUAUUUUUAAAACUGUUUUCAAAAAUAAAACAUCAACUAUUUAUAUAAUAGCUAAAUAAAACAAUUAAAAUAAAUAAAAAAAUAACUAGUAAAAUCAAGUGAAUAAUCCAAAAAUAACAAGAAAAUAGAGAUAUUUCCUAAAUAUGAUUUCAGUUUGUUGUAUUGAUCAAUUUGCUAACAUAAAUAGCAUAAACGAACUUUAUUCUAAUAGUAUGUUUGAUAUUUAAAAAAAAAAAAAACUUAUAGAUAUUAUAUGGGUUGGCAACCCAUUUUUUAUUAAAUUUUAAAUUUUAUUUGUUUAAAAAUAUUUGUUUAUGUUUUUUAAUUAUUUUAAUAUGAUAAUAUCAAAAAUAAAUAAAUAAAAUUUUUCUAAGUUUUACUACUUCUGACUUGCUUUGACUCGAAAUUAGUGGUGCUUUCUCCUGCGAAUGAAUAGAAAGCAUAUCAUAAAGGUGUGUUUGACAUUGUGUUUUGGAAGUAUUUUUUAAAAAAAUAAAUUUUUUUAUUUUUUUUCUUCAAAUUAUUUUUUUUGUUGAUGUUUUCAUAUUAUUUUGAUAUGCUGAUGUCACAAAUAAUUUUUAAAAAAUAAAAAAAUAUAUUAUUUUGAUGUGUUUUGAAAUGAAAAAACUUUAAAAAGCAACCGCUACCACACUCUCAAACUCCUUUGUUUAUUGAGUCUUACUGUGAAACCUCGUUUUGGGAUGAAUUGAUUGUAAGAAUAAGAAAUUAUGUGCAAAUUAUACAAAAUUUAUUAUUCAUCAUCAAGAUUUAUUAUUUAUUAUCACUAUUGAAUAAUGAUUUAUUUUAUAAUAUAAAUUAUGUUUAAAAUAAAAUUGAUAAAAUUAAAAUACAUGAAACGAGGUCGUAUAUUUUGAAACUAAAUUAAAAUUAUUUUCUUUUUCAAUGAUAUCAUUUGUUAGUUUGCAAGUCCACAUGUCACGAGUCUCCACUGCAUGAAAUUUGCAAAAUCAUAUGGCCCAUUGAUAGAAGGUGUGUUGAAGCAAAAUCUGUUUUAUUGAUUAUCAAUAUUGAAUAAUAGCUUAUUUUCUAGUAGAAACUAUGUUUGAAAUAAAAUUGAUAAAAGACAUGAUAUACAAUUAAUAAUAGGAUCGUAUAUAAAAAUAGGAAAUUUCCUGGUAAUAAAGUCCCAACUUUCGUAGGCGAGCACUAAAGUCCCAAACUUCAAGAAUUUCUCUUCUUUUCCUUUUGUAUCUUCUCAUUUUCUUGGCAUGCGCGCAGCUGCCUCGAGGAAAAAACGUUUCAGAUUCGGAAAAUAAAGAUAAAUGUGGAAAAAAAAAAUCCCAAAUAAAGAUAUCUUUUCGUCCCUUGGUGUCGUGUGAAUACCAUGUGGAUAUCAUUUCAGAAAAUCAAUUCAACCGUUCUCCAAAGAACACUCAUACUCCAAUAUCAGCAACUACCACGAAAGUUACCACUCUAAAUUCCAGCUCAAUAAUUAAGGUUCCAAGAUAAGCCUAAAAAAUAUUUAUUAGGCUUAUCUUAAAGCCUAAUAAAUAUCUAAAAAAAAACAAAAAAACAAAAUUCCACCCUAGGCUGUGAUUAACAGAUUAUCUGAUGGAAACAUGAUGAGCUUUUUUUUAGUGAAUUAAGUUCAAUUAAAAAAAAAUUAAGGUUAAAUUGAUGAUUAAUAAUGAAUUUUGUAUACUUUGCACAGGAUUUUCUUAUUCUCGUCAAUUAAUCUUAAAGCGAGGUUCCAAGAUAAGCCUAAAAAAUAUUUAUUAUUGAUCAACAAUAUUGAAUAAUGGCUUAUUUUCUAGUAUAAAUUAUGUUUGAAAUAAAAUUGAUCAUAAGAGUAGAUGAUAUACAAUUAAUGAUGAAAUCGUAUAUUUUGAGACUAAAUUAAGAUUUUUCAAUUAUCUUUAAAUAUUAUGGUUUUAAUAGGUGGACAAUGCAUUCUUUGAAUUUAUUACAAGUAAUGUGUAAUUUAAAUUAUAAAAAAAUAUUUAUUUUUCUGAUAUACAUGAUAAUAAUAAAUUUGAUGAUAGCAACAAGAAAAUAGAAAUUAGUUUGAAUUAGUACGUUUCUCAUUAACAUUAAUGAUGGAAUCAAAAUCUUUGUUAGCGGUCACCUGUUCGACCUCAGUAAUGUUAACGCGUGGACCCAGCUGUUGUAGAAACUUUGCAAAGGAUCUCGAGGAAGAAAAAUGAUUGCAGUGUAAGACUUAAUUACCGAUUCUAUGAUGGGGAAUAAAUAUGUUUAUAACAGAAUUGUAAGUUAUAAUAUGUAAAAUUUAAUUAACGAUUCUAUUAUACGAAAUAAAUAUGUUUAUAACGUAAUCGUAAGCCUUAAUAAUAAGAAAUCAAUAUCUCCAUCUAUUAAUGUUCCUCAUGUAUUUAUUAUUCUUUUUUAUAUAUAUUUGAUACUUUCAAACUCUACUCACUUUAUAUAGAUUGUGUAAAACUUAAGAGAACUCAGUAAGUGAGUAUAGAGAUCAAAUAACAUUAUUUAUAGCCAAAGCUUCCCUCAAGCUUUAAUGGCUAUAUGUCCCACAUAUUUAUUAUAUCAUGGGUAGUUACAAGUGAAUCACUUUAAGAGCUUAUAAAUGUAAAUGUUACAACUUUAAAAUGAACGAUUUUAAGAGUUUAUAAAUAUAAAUAUUAUAAUUUUUAGAGUGGAUCACUUUUAGUGUGAAGGAGAGUUAGAGAAUCGAUUAUAAUGACUCUGUAAAAAACAGUCAACAUGCAUUGCUAAUAAUUUGCAACGGAGAAUUCUUUAUUGAGAUUUAUUGUUAAACCUCGCUUUGGAAUGAAUUGAUCACGAGAAUAAAAAAUAAUCACUACAUACACCCUUUAACUAUUUUACUUGAAAGUUUCGAUUAUUUCCUAAGCUCCUUUGUUCAUUUUCUUUUUUAUUACCCCUUCAUGCACGACACUUUAUGCCACUUCAUGAUACCCUUGUUUUCAACGUUUUACACUACUUUAAAAGCGUGUUUGGUAGUGUGGUUGCGGGUGCUUUUCAAAUAACUUUUCGUGUCAAAAUACAUGCCAAUGAUAUUUUUUUUAUUUUUUAAAAAUUAUUUUUGACAUCAGCACAUCAAAACGAUCCAAAACAUAUAAACCUUAUUAAAUUUUAAUUUAAAAAAUAUUCAAUUUUUUUGGGAACGCAGCCGCAUCCGCGUUCACAAACGAGUCCUCAAGUCAAUUGUUAGAUACUAAAAACAGCAAGAACUGUACUCAAUCAGCAACCACUGUGAAAUUACCACUCAAAAUCCCAUGAAUAUAUAUAAAAAAGAAUUUUGUCUAGAAAAAUUCUAUCAAAUUCUCUACUUUAUUACUCUUCAAUGUUUUACACUGCUUUAGUUCUAAAAAAACUCCUAGAUGUUAUAAAGCAAGAUAUAUACAACUAUAUAUAUAUAUAUAUAUAUAUAUAUAUAUAUGAAAGUGUAAUAAAUAUUAUAUUUUAAAGUAUUUUUUAAAUAUAUUAAAAUAAUAUUUUUUUAAAAAUAAUUUUGAUAUUAGUAUAUUAGAAUAAUAAAAAAAUAAUUUAAAACAAUAAAAAAUAUUGAAAUUUUUAAAAAAUAUGAUUUGACUGAACUCCAAAACACACGCAUGCUCCCUCAGCAGCCACCACGAAAUUACCACUCUAAAUUCCAGCUCAAUAAUUUAUUCUUUAGCAAUUAUUGCUUGCUCUUUGACAAGUACUGCUUUGCUAAUAAUUUGCAAGAAACUUUCUCAAUUUCCUUCUAUUUUCUUUUUAUCAUGGAAACUUUAAGUCACAUACCACUAAAUUACCGAUAAUUAAAUUUCAAUGUGUAAUUGUGUAGGUUUCAAUUAAAAAUGUUUUAAUUUGAGAAAAUUUGUUAAAAAAAUAGUAUAAAUUAUAUUUUAGAGUUUAUUUUAAUAGUUUAAAUUUUUAGAUGAAUAGUUUUCUAACAAAUAAAGACAUAGUUUUACGAUAAAAUGCAUUUUUUAAAAUGAAAUUAUAUUAAAUUAAGCAUGGUCGAGAUUAUUCAAAUUAUUAAUUAAUUAUAAUUAACUUUAUGUCUUUAGAGGAAACAAAAGGAAAGGACAAAAUGAUUAAUUAAAUUUUUAGAUGAAUUAAUAAAUCUUUACAAAUAAAAGAUAUAGUUUUUCAUUUUUUGAAAUGAAAUUAUAUUAAAUUAAGCAUGCUCGACAUUGUUCAAAUUAUUAAUUAAUUAUAAUUAACUUUAUGUCUUCAGAGUAAACAAAAGGGAAGGACAAAAUUAUCUUCCCCACAACGAUAAACCUAGCCCCCUUUCCAAACCAAUCCUCUAGUAAAUAGAAUGAUGGUCCCAUAAAUUGCUUUAUUCUUUCCAGCCCGCCAAGUAGUUUGGUCUCCCUCACAGGACCUCCUUAGCAUGGGAAUCAUAUGAAUUUCCUUGCUUUUCUUCCUCUACGCGUUACCUUUCACCUUUUAUAAUUAUUAUUAUUGCAUUGCUAAUAAUUUGCAAGAAAGAUUAUGAACAUUUUUUUUAGUGAAAUAAGCUCAUUUCAAAUUAACAAAAUAUAGUUUGUUGAGGCUUGUCUUGAAACCUCACUUUGGAUUAAUUGACAGGAAUAAUAAAAUUUUAUUCAAAUUAUAUAAAAUAUUAGGUGUGGAUGUGCCCUUGCCCAACAAGCUACCAUGACCUUAUCUAGAGUUGGGUGUUAACGAGACAAGCCCUUGUCCAACUCAGAGUUCGGCAUAGAUAUAUCAUGACCCAACAUAAAGUUUGGAUGCGGAAAAAAUAUAAUUUCAUUUUGAAUUAUGAUUUUUGUUGGAUAGUCUUUAAAUAAAUUUUUUUUUUAGAAAAUCAUGACCCAUAUCUGGUUAUCGGAAAAACAAUUAUGGUUGAUUUAGCCUCAUCUUCUCUGCUUGUAAAAUUGGGGCAGAUUAUGGACUUAACCGAGCAAUUACCGCUCAAAAUUCCUAGCAAUUUACAAAGGAAUUUUCCUUGCUUUUUCUCAGUAUAUUAUUAGAAAAACCGUCAUUGACUGAUUUAAUUGUAAAGUCUUUGCAAGAAAGUAAAAAAAUUAGUUUUUUAAAAUAAAAAAUAUAGAGAGAGAAAUAAAAAAUAAAAAAUAAAAAAAGGAGCGAAAGGAAACAACCGCCAUCUUUCUUGUUCCUUUUCCCUUCUUUACACGGCGUCCUCGAUGAAAAUAGCAAACACCCCAUUUGAAUAUAUAAUUAAAGAAAGAAAGAAAGAGAGGAAAAUUCCUUCCUCAAUACUUACCGCUACACGCUUCAGAAAUUCCUUGCUUUUUUUUUUUUUUUUUUCAUCUCUACUUACGUGUUACCUUUUACCUUUUAUAAUUAUGAUUAUUGCAUUGCUAAUAAUUUCCUUGCAUUUCUUUAAUAUAUAAUUAAAGAAAGAAAGAUGUUGAACACUUUUUUAGUGAAUUCAAAAUAACAAAAUAAGGUUGUUGAGGCUUUUCUUGGAACCUAGCUCAGGGAUUAAAUUAUAAAAAAAUAUAUUUAUUUUUCUGAUUAUAUAGCAAUAACAAAUUAAAUAAUAGCAACAAGUAAAUAGGAAUUAGUUUGAAUAAAUGGUACCAGUUCCUAUUAUAAUAUAUCUAGAGAAGAAGUUCGAAGAAUAGAAUGAAGUCAAAUAUCCUUACAUAAUGCUAGGUUUUAAUAUAUAAUUAAAAAGUUUUCCAUGAACCAAAUAAUAAAAAUAUUGUACAACUUUUUUGAAUGAAUUAUUAACAUAGAGGCUUAUUUGAUUUGAAUAUAUUAUUUGAUUAGUCCAUUUAUAGGUUGUCUCUAUUAUUCCUGCCUUGCAUUGCCAGGAAAUUUCACUAGAAAUUUCUAGUAAUUUAAACAGGAAAUUUGCUGGUGAUAAACCUGGAAUAUGAUUUUCAACUUUCGUAGGCGAGCACUGAAGUCCCAAACUUCAAGAAUUUCUUUUCUUUUCCUUUUGUAUCUUCUCAUUUUCUUUCUAGGAAUGUUAUGAGAAGCAGCAGAGUCAAGAGGCCAUUUUUGAUCCUGUGGACCGGAAGUAGUUGCAUAGUUAGUCGUAACCUCUGAUCAAUGGAGUCGUGGGUAAGACUUGGCUAAAUGGCCUAUCUGAUCAGGAAAUUGGCAUUUCGGUUGAUAAUGCAUUUGAGUGGUACCGAUUGGUUGAAGACUUGCAGUUGUCUUUGAAUGGACCGACCUUGAGGGAUUUUAUUGUGGCCUGGAGACCGAGAAGAUCCAUUAGUCUUAUUUGAACCCUUCGGGUGAGACCCACCAUAUGAACUAUUUAAGUUCUGUUUGUGAAGAUAAGAAUAAUUGGCAGAGGCCACAAGCUGCUGAGUUGAAGAUUCCAAACGCCGCAGGUAACUGUCAUGCCCCUCAAGAAUAUCUUGAAGCUCUUCAAAUUAUCCCAAUAGUUCUUAUAUUAAAAUCUCAUUUAUCAUAUGUUACAUCUAUCAAAAAAAAAAAAAUAAUUUGUGACGUGAACUAAAGCUAUAUGUGAAAACUAGAAAUAACAAAUGUAUGAAAAAAAAAUCAGCUGUGAUUAACAGAUUAACGAUGGAAAUUAAGAUGAUGAAUAUUUUUUUGUAAAUUAAUUUCAAUUUAAAAUAACUACAAAGAAGUUAAUUAGGAUUCCUUCCUUGAAAUUAUUAAAAAUAUAGUAUUAGAAUUAUAGAAUGCUAGGUUUUAAUAUAUAAUUUUUAAUAUUAAUUGUUAAAGAGUCUCUCUCGAACCAAAUAAUAAAGAUAUUAUAUAACUCUUUUGUAUGAAUUGUAAAUCUAGGGAUAGUUUUGGGUUUUCCAAUCACAACUUUGGACUAAAAUUAAUAACAAAAUAAAGACCAAAGAUAACGGUAUGUAAAUCUAGGGACCAAAAAUAAUACAACUGCAUUUACUGUAGAUUUCACUUAGAAUUUCUAGUAAAUUACAAAGGAAAUUUCUUGUGCUUUUUAACGUACAUGAAUUGAAAAACUACCAUUGACUGACUUGCAUUGACUGACUUGCUAAGCAUUUGCUGCUCGAAAUUUUCUCCCUAAAAAUUUUCAAGCAAUUUACGGAGCAAAUUUCCUUAUGCUCUCUCUUGUAUAUUAUUAGAAAAAUUGUUUUUAAAAAUCAAUUUUUUUUUAUUUUCCUGAGAUUCUAUUUUUUAGUCGAGUCAAUUUCAAGUUGGGUUCAAUAAUUAUGAUUAAAUUUACUGAAAAAAAAAUAAUUUUAUGUCACUUCAUGAUACCCAUGUUUUCAACGCUUUACACUGCUUUAAUAAAUUGUUACAGUAAUAGCACAGAGAGGAGCGGUUCCAGAAAAAACAAUAAUGGAGAUGAAGCAAAAUCUGUGUUUGAUUUUUUCUUUUUUGUGUUUUCGGUACAUUGGUCAACAAUAGCUUGGAAGAGUUUGGAAUCAGUAACACGUGGACCCAGUUGUUGUGGAAACUUUGCAGAGGAUCUUCACUCUGCAGGAAGAAAAAUGAUUUUAAUAGAUGUACUGUACAUCAUUUGAAUUUAUUAAAAGUAACGUGUAAUGUAAAGUAUGAUUCACUUACCAUUAACUAGUUGGACAAAAAAACUAAACUUUCUCAAUUUCCUUCUAUUUUCUUUUUAUCAUGGAAACUUUAAGUCACAUCUGCGCCUACCACGAAAUUACCGAUAAGUAAAUUUCAAUGCGUAAUUGUGUAGGUUUCAAUUAAAAAUGCUUUAAUUUGAAAAAUUAUGUUAACAAUAAUAUAAAUUAAUUUUUCUUCAAAAUAAAAAGUAAUUGGGUAUUAAUUUAGGCUAUAAAGAUAAAAUAAUAAUAAUAAAAAAGAGUUCGAGGGUAUUCAUUUUAUUAUUUGUUAUGUAACUAUAUAAUCUAAUUUGUUGAUGUGGAAAAUAGCACAAAGUUUUUGACAUGGAUAUUGGUGAGAAGCAAAAGCAGUAUCCACUAUGAGAGCUUUUGUAAACGCGUGGACCCAGUUGUUGUGGAAACUUUGCAAAGGAUCUGCAGGAAGAAAAAUGAAAUUUGCAAAGUAUUUGUGUGUAUUAUAUAAUUGUGUUAAUUUAAGGAUUAUUUUUUAGUUGUAUUAAUUUAGAAAAUAUUUUGUCUCACCGGAAAACUCUAAUUACGUUCGUAUAUUUGUUUUUGGUAACAGAUGCAAUAUGCUUUUUAAUUCAAGAUAUAUUAAAAUAAUAAUUUUUAAAAAAAAAUUAUUUUUUUUAUUUUAGUAUAUUAAAAAUAAAAAAUUUAAAAAUAGUAAUUUAAUAUUUUCUUAAAAAUAUAUUUAAAAAACACUUUUAAUUUUGUUUUUCAACUGUACUAUUCCUUGAAAAAACUCAAACUCUAAAUAAUAUCUUCUACUACAUACUUUCUAAGACUAAAAAUUAAUCUAAAUGUUUUUGAAAAGUAGUUCAACCAAAGUACCAAAUAUGUUUAUAUACUCCAUCUUCAACCACUGUAAAAUUACCACUCUAAAUUACAACUCGGUAUCGAUUACCUUUUAUCUUUGACAAUUAUUGCAUUGCUAAUAAUUUGCAAGAAAAAAUACAUUCUCAAUUUCCUUCUAUUUUUUUUUUAACAUGAAAAACUUUAAGUCACUCAAUCUGCAACCACCAUGAAAUUACCGGUCCGAAUUCCAGCUCAAUAUUUACCGGUACGACACGCUUGAGGAAUUUCCUUGCUUUUCUUCCUCUACGCGUUACCUUUCACCUUUUAUAAUUAUUAUUAUUGCAUUGCUAAUAAUUUGCAAGAAAGAUUAUGAACAUUUUUUUAGUGAAAUAAGCUCAUUUCAAAUUAACAAAAUAUAGUUUGUUGAGGCUCGUCUUGGAACCUCGCUUUGGAUUAAUUGACAGGAAUAGUAAAAUUUUAUUCAAAUUAUAUAAAAUAUUGGGUGCUGAUGUGCCUUUAUCCAACUUAGAAUUGCGACAAGCUACCAUGACCUUAUCUAGAGUUGGGUGUUAAUGAGACGAGUCCUUGCCCAACUCAGAGUUUGGCAUGGAUAUAUCAUGACCCAACAUAAAGUUUGGAUGCAGAAAAAAUAUGACUUUAUUUUGAAUUAUGAUUUUUGUUGGAUGGUCUCUAAAUAAAUUUUUUUUAUAGAAAAUCAUGACCCAUAUCUGGGUAUCGGAAAAACAAUUAUGGUUGAUUUAGCCUCAUCUUCUCUGCUUGUAAAAUUGGGGCAGAUUAUGGACUUAACCGAGCAAUUACCGCUCGAAAUUCCUAGCAAUUUACAAAGGAAUUUUCCUUGUUUUUUCUCAGUUCAUUAUUAGAAAAACUGUCAUUGACUGAUUUAAUUGUAAAGUCUUUGCAAGAAAGCUAAAAAAAUUAGAGUUUUUUAAAAUAAGAAAUAUAGAGAGAAAAAUAAAAAAUAAAAAUAAAAAAAGGAGCAAAAGGAAACAACCCCCAUCUUUCUUGUUCCUUUUCCCUUCUUUACAUGGCGUCCUCGAUGAAAAUAGCAAACACCCCAUUUGAAUAUAUAAUUAAAGAAAGAAAGAAAGAGAGGAAAAUUCCUUCCUCAAUACUUACCAGUACUACACGCUUGAGAAAUUCCUUUCUUGUUACCUUUUACCUUUUAUAAUUAUGAUUAUUGCAUUGCUAAUAAUUUCCUUGCAUUUCUUUAAUAUAUAAUUAAAGAAAGAAAGAUGUUGAACACUUUUUUAGUGAAUUCAAAAUAACAAAAUAAGGUUGUUGAGGCUUUUCUUGGAACCUCGCUCAGGGAUUAAUUAACAAGAAUAAAAAAAUCCCCUGCAAAUUAAACAAAAUUUAUUAUUAAUCAUUGAUAUUUAUUAUUGAUCAUCAAUAUUGAAUAAUGGCUUAUUUUCUAGCAUAAAUAAAAUUGUUAAAAAACAUGAUUACACAAUUAAUGAUGAGAUCGGUUAUAAAAAUGACUAAAUUGAGGUUUUUCAAUUACCUUUAAACGUAUCAUGGUUUUAAUAGGUGGACAGUACAUCCUAUUAUGUAAAUUAUAAAAAAUUAUAUUUAUUUUUCUGAUAUAUAUAGCAAUAACAAAUUAAAUAAUAGCAACAAGUAAAUAGGAAUUAGUUUGAAUAAAUGAUACCAGUUCCUAUUAUUAUAUAUCUGGAGAAGAAGUUCGAACAAUAGAAUGAAGUCAAAUAUCUUUACAUAAUGCAAGGUUUUAAUAUAUAAUUAAAAAGUUUUCCAUGAACCAAAUAAUAAAAAUAUUGUAUAACUUUUUUGAAUGAAUUAUUAACGUAGAGGCUUAUUUGAUUUGAAUAUAUUAUUUGAUUAGUCUAUUUAUAGGUUGACUCUACUAUUCCUGCCUUGCAUUGCCAGGAAAUUUCACUAGAAAUUUCUAGUAAACGAAAUUUGCUGGUGAUAAACCUGGAAUAUGAUUUUCAACUUUCGUAGGCGAGCACUAAAGUCCCAAACUUCAAGAAUUUCUUUUCUUUUCCUUUUGUAUCUUCUCAUUUUCUUGGCAUGCGCGCAGCUGCCUCGAGGAAAAAACGUUUCAGAUGCGGAAAAUAAAGAUGAAAGUGGAAAAUAGAAGCGGGGAAAAAAAUCCCAAAUAUCGACAAACAUCACAAGAGAAGCUUGAUAUCUCUUCGUCCCUUGGUAUCGUGUGAAUGUGGAUAUUAUUUCAGAAUAUCAAUUCAACCGUACUCCAAAGAACACUCAUACUCCAAUAUCAGCAACCACCACGAAAGUUACCACUCUAAAUUCCAGCUCAAUAAUUUAUUCUUUGACAAUUUUACUUCUAAAAAAAAUGAAUUUUUUUUUAUAAUUAUACGCCAUCAGCAACUACCAUUACGACUCCAAAUUCCAGCUCAAUAUCGAUCAACACGUGGCUAAAGAAUUUGUUUCCUUUUUUUUCCUGCACGUGUUACCUUUUUAUCUUUUAUAAUUAUAAGUAUUGCGUUGCUAAUAAUUUGCAAGAAAUAAUAUUCUUUCUCUAAAAAGGGCUUGAGAAAACCCUAAGCAUAGUAUAUAGUCUCUUAUAGGAAUCUCUUUAUUAAAUCAUCAAAAUAUCAAAGUCUGUUUCCAAAGACUAUGACUACAGUUUAUAUAUAGAAACAACCAAAUAUAAAAAUUAUUUUUUAAAAAUAGAAAAAACAGAAGAGCUUGAUAAUAUUUAAUUAAAAAAUAAAAUAGAAAAAUUAUUCCUUUUUAAGUAGGAAAAAAAAAUAUAAAGAUUUAAUAAUACUGAAUAAGAAAAAUUAAAAUAUUCUUUCUCUGAAAAGGGCUUAAGAAAACCCUAAGCAUUGUAGAUAAUCUCUUAUAUGAAUCUCAUCAAAAUAUCAUAGUAUAUUUCCAAAUACUAUUACGUACUACAUUUAUAUAUAUAUAUAUAUAUAUAUAUAUAGAGAGAGAGAGAAAGAGAGAGAGAGAUAGAGAGAGAAACAACUAAGUAGGUAAAGCUUAUGUUUCUUUGUUCUUGUUCCUUUAUAUAUAUACAUUCUCAAUUUCAUAAAAAAAAUUAAUUAGUCCUUGAAAUCUUAAAAAAUAGUAUUUAAUCCUUAUGUUAUUAUAUUCAUCUCUAAUUUAAUUUUUUUCAUCCAUUCAUCUUUUUAUUUAUUUAAUAGCUUAAGUUUUUAGUUAAAAGAUAAAUAGUUUUACUAUUAAAAGCAUUUUUUCGAAAUAAAAAUAAUAUUAAAUUAGGCAUCCUCAACAUUGUUCAAAUUAUUAAUUAAUUAUAAUUAACUUGAGGUUUAGAAGAAACAAAAGGGAAGGACAAAAUUAUCUUCCCCACAACCAUAGACCUAACCCCUUUCCAGACCAGUCCCCUGGUAAAUGGAAUAAUGGUCCCAUAAACAGCUUUUUUUCUUUCCAGCCCGCCAAGCAGACUAAGGCCUGUUUGUUUCUGUGUUUUAAAAGUGUUUUUGAUAAAAUUUAAAAUUUUUUUGUUUUUUUUAUUAACUUCAAAUUAAUAUGUUUUUAGUGUUUUUAAAUCAUUUUGAUGUGCUGAUGUCAAAAAUAAUUUUUAAAAAAUAAAAAAACAUCAUUAGCAUGUAUUUUGACACGAAAAACUAUUUGAAAAGCAACCGCAACCACACUACCAAACACACUCUAAGCAGUUCGGUCUUCCUCGCUGGACCACCUUAGCAUGAGAAUCACACUAGUUGGAAGUAUCUUUAAACCUCAUAAAAAUGAAUAACUGAUAAUAAUAUAAUUGGGAUUUAAAAAAAAUUCAUAAAAAAAUUUCUUAAAAAAAUCCAAAAAAUUAAACCGGACAAAAAUAAACAACCAAUAAUAAUAUAGUUAAAAUGAUAAAAAAGUGUUUAAAAAGCAAUUUGAAACCAAUUAAUCUUAAAAAAAAAAAACCAAAAAGAAACAUGCGAUGAAAACCAAUUCAUGAAAAAGUAAUUGGAUAUUAAUUUAGACUAAAAGGAUGAAAUAAUAAAAACAAAAGGAGAGUUUGAGGGUAUUCAUUGUUCAAAGGAACGCAAAAAUGCAUUCCAAGUAUGAAGUGUUUUAUUGUUAUAAAGUUUUUCAAACUUACAAUAUGGAGAGAGAAAUAAAUAAAAAGAAAAAAUAGCAAAAGGAAACAGCCCCCAUCUUUCUUGUUCCCUUUCCCACGGCCUACUCAAUGAAAAAGCAAACACCCCAUUGGAUUUCCCACGGCCGCCCACGAAAUCCCUUUAUCCUCUGCUGUUAAUUUUUUAAUGACGCAUAUCAGGUGUUUGAUAAAAUUCCUUAGCUGGGAAAGGAAAAAAAACCAUGUUAAGAAUGCUUUAGUCCUUUUCGAGUGGAAAGUGGUGUGAAAGUGAGAAGUACUGUGAGAGCUUUAUACCACUUUCUAUCUUAGACGUAAUGGCUUUGGCAAAAAGAAACCAAUAAAAGUUAGUGUUCGCACUGCUUUAGUCCAAGAGUCUUUCAUGGUUGCAUUGAUUGACUGGAAAAAAUCUCAAAGUUUUUAGAAAGAAACAGCCUUCAUUGCUUUUCGAAACCAAUCUCAGUAAUGUUAACGCGUGGACCCAGUUAUUGUGGAAACUUUGCAAAGGACCUCGAGGAAGAAAAAUGAUUGCAUUGCUAAUAAUUUGCAAGAGAGAAUUCUUUCACUGAAUAGAAAAAAGUAUUAUUUUUAAAAUAACAACAAGUAAAUUUAAAAAUUAGUAUUUUUUAAAUAAAAAACUAAAAAUUCCUGAUAAUAUUGAAUAAAAAAUAAAAUAUAAAAAUUAUUCUUUUUAAGUAUAAAAAAAUAUAAAAGUUUAAUAAUACGGAAUAGAAAUAAAUAAAAAUUCUAAACUAAAUAAAAAUAUUUUCUAUCCCAAAAAUUCUUAUAUCAAAAUCUCAUUUAUCAUAUUUUAUAUCUAUAAAAAACUAAUUUGUCAUGUGGAAUAAGUCUAUAUGCUAAAAUCAGAAAAAAAAUGUUACAAAAACAAAUUCCACAAAAGGCUGUGAUUAAAAAGAUGAUAGAUAUUUUUUAGUAAAUUAAUUUCAAUUCAAAAUAACAAAAUAAGGUUUAUUGAGGCUUACCGUUAAACCUUGCUUUGGGAUGAAUUGAUCACGAGAAUAAGAAAUCAUGUGCAAAUUAUACAAGAUUUAUUAUUAAUCAUCAAGAUUUAUUAUUUAUUAUCAAUAUUGAAUAAUGAUUUAUUUUAUAAUAUAAAUUAUGUUUAAAAUAAAAUUGAUAAAAUUAAAAUACAUGAAACGAGGUUGUAUAUUUUGAAACUAAAUUAAAAUCAUUUUCUUUUUCUAUUAUAUCCUUCAAAAUUAUUUAUUUUAUAAAAAACAAAACUUGUUAGUUUGCAAGUACACAUGUCAUGAGUCUCCACUGCAUCACUUUUGCAAAAUCAUAUGGCCCACUGUAUAUUUUGAAACUUGUUGAAGCAAAAUCUGUUUUAUUGAUCAUCAUCAAUAUUGAAGAAUGAUUUAUUUUCUAGUAUAAACUAUGUUUGAAAUAAAAUUGAUAAAAGACAUGACAUAUACAAUUAAUGAUGGGAUGGUAUCUAAAAAUGAUUAAAUUGGCAUUUUUCAAUUACCUUUAAACAUGCAUAUCAUGAUUUUAAUUGGUGGACAAUACUGUUAAAUAAUAUAUUUAUUUUGUUUUAUUUAUUAAGAUUAAAAUAAUAUUUUUAGCUUAAUCUAUAUAUAAACUCUUUAUAUUUAGAUUAAGCAAAAAUAAUAAUAUAUAUCAGAAUUCUAGUCUCAUUCCUUUUCGUAUUUAUUUUUAUGUUAAUUAAAUUGUUUUAACAAUACAUCAUGUAAAUUAUAUAAAAAUAUAUUUAUUUUUCUGAUAUAUAAAUACCUCUCUGUCCCAUUGCUGCCAUUUCAUAGCUAACUCUUUGUUAUAUUUAACUUCCUCUUCUUUGCUUCUUGCUCAUAACGAUAACUUGAAAGCCUUACGUUCAGAUAGAUAAUCAUUGACUAGCUCAUCCUAUAUCAUUCUAUUCAAUUUAUAUAUGCAGAAAGAAAAACGCAAGCAAUCCAAAGAUGAAGAAAACGCUUCAUCCUCGCGAAAGAGAAGAAAAGCUGACCUCAGUAAGCCUAUAUAAAGAAUACAAUUAACCUCAUUUCAACAUCAUAGUUAACCUCAUUUCAAUAUCAUAGCUUUGGAAUUUCAUAGCUAACUCUUUGUUAUAUUGCUCCAUUGGUAAUUGAUUGUGCCUUGAUUUCUGCAGCUGCCAUGACAGAGCCAGAGUCUUCUCGAUCUAUACCAGAAGGGGCCUAUGAUGUCUUCUUGAGUUUUAGAGGAGAAGAUACUCGCAAGACGUUUACUGAUCAUCUAUAUGCUGCCUUAGAUCAAGCAGGAAUCCACACUUUUCGAGAUGAUGAUGAACUUCCUAGAGGAGAAGAAAUCUCCGAGCAUCUUCUCAAGGCAAUUCGAGAAUCAAAGAUAUCCAUAGUUGUCUUCUCAAAAGGAUAUGCUUCUUCUAGAUGGUGUCUCAAUGAACUUGUAGAGAUUCUUAAGUGCAAAAGGAAGAAAACCGGUCAGAUUGUUCUUCCUAUAUUCUAUGACAUUGAUCCUUCAGAUGUGAGAAAACAGACUGGCAGUUUUGCAGAGGCAUUUGAUAAGCAUGAAGAGCGUUUUGAAGAGAAGUUGGUGAAGGAGUGGAGAAAAGCUCUUGAGGAUGCCGGAAACCUAUCUGGAUGGAGUCUCAAUGAUAUGGCAAAUGGGUAUGCCUUUUUUCCAAAUUUAUGGAGUCAAUAUACUUUACAUUUUUUAAUGUGAAACAAUAAAAUACUUAAUUGACUCGCUAUCAAUGACUUGCUUUUGUCUAUGAGCAGGCAUGAAGCAAAAUUUAUCAAAGAGAUUAUCAAGGAUGUGUUGAAUAAAUUAGAUUCCAAGUACUUCUAUGUUCCUGAGCACCUAGUAGGUAUGGAUCGGCUUUCUCGCAAUAUUUUUGACUUUGUAAGUACUGCAACAGAUGAUGUACGCAUNNNNNNNNNNNNNNNNNNNNNNNNNNNNNNNNNNNNNNNNNNNNNNNNNNNNNNNNNNNNNNNNNNNNNNNNNNNNNNNNNNNNNNNNNNNNNNNNNNNNNNNNNNNNNNNNNNNNNNNNNNNNNNNNNNNNNNNNNNNNNNNNNNNNNNNNNNNNNNNNNNNNNNNNNNNNNNNNNNNNNNNNNNNNNNNNNNNNNNNGAUGAUAGAGGAAAAGUUCUGAUCAAAGAACGACUUCGUCGCAAAAGAGUUCUUGUUGUUGCUGAUGAUGUGGCUUAUCUGGACCAGCUAAAUGCUUUGAUGGGAGAGCGAAGUUGGUUUGGUCCCGGAAGUAGAGUAAUUAUUACAACAAGAGAUUCAAAUCUUCUUCGUGAAGCAGAUCAAACAUAUCGGAUCAAAGAGCGACUUUGUCGCAAAAGAAUCUUGUUGUUGCUGAUGAUGUGGCUCAUCAGGAGCAGCUAAAUGCAUUGAUGGGAGAUCGAAGAUGGUUUGGUCCCGGAAGUAGAGUAAUUAUUACAACAAGAGACUCAGAUCUUCUUCGUGACGCAGAUAAAACAUGUCAGAUCGAAGAAUUGAAACUAGAUGAGUCCCUUCAGCUUUUCAGCAGGCAUGCCUUUAAGGACACCAAGCCAGCAGAAGAUUACAUUGAGCUUUCGAAGAAAGCCGUUGGUUACUGUGGAGGACUUCCUUUAGCUCUCAAGGUUAUAGGAGCUCUUCUGUACGGGAAAGAAAAAGAUAGAUGGGAAAGUGAAAUUGACGACUUGAGCAGAAUUCCAAACCAAGAUAUUCAAAGAAAGCUUCUAAUAAGUUAUGACGCACUUGAUGGUGAACUACAAAGAGCAUUCCUUGAUAUUGCAUGCUUCUUUGUUGGUAUAGAGAAAGAAUACGUCGCACAAGUGCUAGGAGCCCGUUGCCGUCGCAAUCCAGAAGUUGUUUUGGAAACUCUCCGUGAAAGGUCUCUGAUUCAAUUUCAUGAGUGUAUAAUUGAAGAUGAAAGGCAGUUAUCUGGAAGGACGGUAGCCAUGCAUGAUCUAUUACGAGACAUGGGAAGGGAGGUCGUUUGUAAAGAGUCUCCCUUGCAUCCUGAAGCAAGGACCAGAAUUUGGAAUAAAGACGAUGCAUGGAAUGUACUUGAGCAGCACAAGGUAAGUAAGAGCUCAAUGCAUACACGAAAGCAUAGUCAUGCGUAUUUUCUAGUCAAGCUUAUUACAAAUAAUUGAAUGAAAGUUGUAUUGAUUUUUUUUUUAGGGUACGGAUAAAGUUGAGGGUCUUGCACUGGAUGUCAGAGCAUCAGAAACUAAAUCACUUAGCGCAGGAUCAUUUGCAGAAAUGAAAUGUUUAAAUUUACUCAAAAUCAACGGAGCACAUCUCACCGGAUCCUUCAAAUUGCUUUCUAAAGAGUUGAUGUGGAUUUGUUGGCAUGAAUUUCCUUUGAAAUAUUUUCCAUCUUAUUUUACUUUGGACAAUCUAGCUGUUCUUGAUAUGCCGUACAGUAACCUCAAAGAACUAUGGAAGGGAAAAAAGGUGCGAAACAUGCUACAAUCCCUAAAAUUUCUCCAGUAUGUAAUUUAUAUUUACAUGUUAUGACUUUCUAUGAUUAAUUUUCAUUAUUUUUCUCUCUAUUAUAACAGAUUCUCGACAAGCUUAAAAUUCUUAAUCUCAGUCAUUCUCAGCACCUUAUUAAAACACCAGACUUGCACAGUUCAAGUCUAGAGAAACUAAUUCUGGAAGGUUGCUCGAGUUUAGUUGAGGUGCAUCAAUCAAUUGAAAAUUUGACGAGCCUUGUUUUCUUAAAUCUGAAGGGAUGUUGGAGUCUGAAGACUCUCCCUGAAAGCAUUGACAAUGUAAAAUCUCUUGAAACUCUGAAUAUUUCUGGGUGUUCACAAGUUGAGAAAUUGCCGGAACGCAUGGGUGAUAUGGAAUUCUUAACCGAGCUGCUAGCUGAUGGGAUUGAAAAUGAGCAAUUUCUCUCUUCAAUUGGACAAUUAAAGCAUUGCAGAAGGUUAUCAUUGUGUGGAGACAGUUCGACGCCACCAAGUUCUUCUUUGAUUUCAACAGGUGUUUUGAAUUGGAAACGUUGGCUGCCAGCAUCUUUCAUUGAAUGGAUAUCAGUGAAACAUCUUGAGCUUUCUAAUAGUGGUUUGUCUGAUCGCGCAACUAACUGUGUUGAUUUCAGUGGUUUGUCCGCUCUAGAAAAAUUGACUCUAGAUGGAAACAAAUUCUCUAGCCUGCCUUCUGGGAUCGGCUUCCUUUCCGAGCUAAGGGAGUUGUCUGUUAAGGGAUGCAAAUAUCUUGUAUCAAUCCCAGAUCUUCCCUCAAGUUUAAAGAGUGUGUUUGCAUGUGAUUGCAAAUCAUUGAAAAGAGUAAGAAUACCAAGCGAGCCAAAAAAAAGACUAUUUAUAAAGCUAGAUGAAAGUCAUUCGUUAGAAGAGUUUCAGGGCAUUGAAGAUCUAAGUAAUUGUUUCUGGUAUAUUCGUGUUGAUGACCGCAGGCAUUCAACAAGUAAAUUACUGGAGCGUUGUUGAGGUACUAUUUCUUUCCGUCUCUCUUUCGCACAAAAAGAAACACACACAAUUGACACAUACAUUGAUUAAUGUCUAAAAUCUCAGCAUUCCUUGAAAUCAAUAUGUAUAUAGGCAAUAAUCAUUAUUAUUAUUAUUAUAUUUAAAAAAACAAAUAUCAUCUUUAAUAAUAUUUUUUUAUUAAAUAUUUAAAGUCUGAUUGGUUUUAUUUUUUAUUUCUUGAUUUUAUGAUAAUAUAUUUAUACAGGCAAUGUGCAACGGUCGUCACGGGUAUUUUAUUCGCCACACUCCUGGUCAGAUGCCAAAUUGGAUGAGCUACAGGGGAGAAGGACGCUCAUUGUCAUUCCAUAUACCUCCAGUCUUCCAAGGCUUAGUUGUUUGGGUUGAUAAGGAUGAUAAGGAUGCUCACAUUAUUAUUAUUAUAAGAAAUAAUAGAAAUGGUAAUCUCUUGUUUCAAUGUACGAAAUGGUAUUAUCAUCCAAAAACUGGAAGUAUAAGAUACAUAAGAAGAAGUGAAAUGGCAAUGGAAGAUUACUGUGCAGAUGACGAAUUGGAACUAUACAUUUAUUCAAAGCCAUCACCGUUGGCAAUGGCAAUGGCAAUGAAGGAUGCUGUGAUGCCUUCAUUUGAACCGUCUACACCUAAGCAAUGUGGGGUCCAUGUGAUCGUAGGAAAGUCAGAUUCAUUUGAAGAGUUGGCAGUGGGAAGAGAUGCAGUGAUGCUUCCUCAUCCUCGUUGUGGUUCGAUUACAGCGUCUACACCUAAGCAAUGGAUUGACUUUUUAUUUGCGAAGCUGCAAAACCAUAACCUCAAUUUAAGGCUUUUUGGUAAGAAUACAUAUUUCCUUUAGUUAUUUCUAUUUUAAUAUUCUAUUUAAUUUAAGAGAUUAAAUAUCAUCUUUAAUUAUUACAUUUUUCUUAUUUAAUCUAAAAAAAUAAAUAUUAUCUUUAACAAUAUUUUUUAUUAAAUAUUUAGAGUCUGCUUGGUUUUAAUUAUUUCUUUUCUUGAUUUUAUGAUAAUAUUUUUCUUAUUUAAUAUAAAAAAUAAAUAUUAUCUUUAAUAAUUAGAUCUAUCGAAUAUCACUUAAAAAAUAAAUUAUAGCUUUAAUAAUUAUUUUUUGAAAAACAAAAGCCAACAAUCACUAACAUAUUUUAUUAAAAUCACUUUAGUUUAUUUAGAAAAUAUUGAAAAUUGAUUUUUGUUUUUUUACUUCAAAAUAAAAAAAAUUGAAUAAUGUUUUUAUAUUUUAUUUCGAACUCGAUAUUUUAAAACAAAAAUGAAAAAGAUGUGAUAUUAACCUUUUUUAUUAUAAAGUAAGUUUCUUAAUUAAAAGUGAUGGGAAUUUGUUUGUAAAAACAAUCUUGCACAUCUAACUUUCUUUUCAAAUUUGAAAAUUUUAUUAACUUUGAUGGUUUUAUAUGUAUGAAGGAUCUGGAUGGACGUAAUAGCACAAGAUCAUUUGACAUAGAGAUGCUUGAAGUUACUCCAAAUUAGUACGGUACUUUUAUCUAAUGUAUUGAUAUGUAUUUGUUGGCUUGAAGAUCAUUUUCCAAGCUUGGAAUUUUUAUUGAAUGCUCUUUGAAAUCUUUUCCAUUUGCUUUUAUAGUGGACAACCUAGUUGUUAAUUAUUAUCCAUGAUCUAAUUUAUAUUUUCAAGUUAAAAAUUUUGAUGAAUAUUAUUUCAUUUUUUUCCUCACUUCAAAAGAUGAAAAUCCUUGAUGUUAGUUAGUAAUAAAUUGGAGAGAAUAAUAAUAAUUUGUGUGUAUAAGCUGAUUGAAAUGAAGAUUAAAAUAAAGAAGUAAAAAAAAAGAGACUCGUAAAGAUUUUAUGUUAGUACUCAACAUGUCCUUUCUUGUUUUUUUUUUAAUUGGAUUACCUUUGUCUUUGGUUAAACUGCACUUCUUAAAAUAUUUUUGGAUUGUUCUGAUAUCAAAAAUAAUUUUUUUUAAAUAUUAUUUUAAUACAUUUUCAAUUAAAAAAUAUUUUGAAAAACAAUAUCUAACACACUCUCAAACAAGUUAAAACGUUAGUAAUAAAAUAACUUUUACAUAUUUUUCAAGUUUAGUAGAAUAGUAGUGGAAUAAUAUUUUUAAUAUUUAAAAAUUAAAAUUUUUUGUGUAACUGUUUUGUUAAAUUAUAAAGUUAAGGACUCUUUUGUAGUUUACCUUACACUAAAGUUAAUAAAUAAUAACACAAGAAAGGACCAAAGUUAACUACAAUACGAGGAAGUUUCAUACUAAAGUUAAAAUACCUCACACUUUUCAAUGAAACAUUACCUCUCCUGUACAUGAAUAUAAAUAAUUUCGUUGACCGACUCUUAUUUCAUUAAUUAUUGAUUAUUUGGAAGAAGAAAGCGUAUCCCUUCUCACUUUUAGAGCGUAUUUAGGGUAUUUAAGAGCGCAUUAUAAAUCCAGGGACAAUUUUGGGUUUUCUAAUCAGAACUUUGGACUAAAAUUAAUAGCAAAUUAAAUAAGGACCAAAUAUAACAGUGUGUAAAUCUAGAAACCAAAGAUAAUACAGCUGCAUUGACCGGAGAUUUCACUCGAAUUUUGACUAAAAAUUAAAAUUUUAUCAAAUUCUCUACUUUAUUAGUGUUCAUUUUCUUCUUUUUUUUUACCUAUCUUUUCCAACUGUUUAGAAAAUUUUUAUGGAUAAAAUUAGAGGAUAAGAAAGAGAUAUAGAAUCACUUUGUAAGAUUUCUAAAAACUUAAUUAUAUUAUAAUUUCUUCCUUAAAAUUAUUCAAAAUAUAGUAUUAGAAUUACAUAAUGCUAGGUUUUAAUAUAUAAUUAAAGAGUCUCUUCUAAAAGAAAUAAUGAAAAUAUUGUAUAACUCUUUUAGAAUGAAUUGUAAAUCCAGGGACAGUCUUCCUGGUGGUUUUUACUGUAUAUGAAUUGAAGAACUAUCAUUUGCUGAUUUACUUGUAAAGUAUUUGUAAGAAAGCUAAAAAUUAGAGUUUUAAAAUUUCUAAAAUAAAUAAUCUUCUCUAAAAUAAGUUUUUUUUAAUUAUACUUAUAAAAUUAAUUAAAUCUCAGGAUAAUAAGAUAUGUCCGGAUAUUUGGCGACUGANNNNNNNNNNNNNNNNNNNNNNNNNNNNNNNNNNNNNNNNNNNNNNNNNNNNNNNNNNNNNNNNNNNNNNNNNNNNNNNNNNNNNNNNNNNNNNNNNNNNGUAUGUUACAAAUUAAAUAUUAGUAUAUUUUUUUCAAGGUGAUAUCUCUUAUUAAAUCAGAGAUUCUCUCUAUUUUUUACAUGCAAUAUAAUCACGGAAUAAUUAAAUAAUUUGAAAAAUAAAUAAAUUUUUAUUGUGGAAUAAGUAAAUACUAAUAUCUAUAACUAGAAGUAACUAUAAUUAUAAUAUUAAAAAAAAGCAUAAUAAAAUGAAUUUAUUUAUAAAUUAGAUAAGAUUCAAACCAAGGGAAUUAAAGUGUAAAAUAAGGAAAACACCCUUGCCAGUCUAAAAUAAUUGAAGUAAUGAGUAAAUGCAUGAAGCAAGAUAAUUAGUUGAUAUUGUGACUAUUCAAGAUAAUUAUAAUCUAUAGGUAAUUGUAUACUAUAAAUUAAUAUCAACAAAAUAAUUGUAUUUAAUUGUUUGAAGUUAAACAAAAAAACAUACAUUCUCCCUUUCCCUUCUUUACAUGGCUUACUCAAUGAAAAAGCAAGCACUAACGCACCUUCUCCACAAACUACCAUAAAUAUAUAAAUAUAUUAUGAAAACAAGAUAAAAAGAAAUCUUUUGGUACAUAUAUAAAUAUAUUAUGGCUAUGAAAAUAGGUUUGUGGAAAUUUACAUCAUUUGAUCUUGACAGUGUCAGAUUAGACAAUUGAUUGCAUGGAAAUGGUCUUCUUAGUUUGCCGUGUGGAAAAUCAUCUCAUUUACGGGACUGCUGGAGAGAGUGUCUAUUGAUAAUUUUACCUUCUUUUCAAAUCUUUGACACUGCUUGGAUUGACCGGUAAUUUCACUCGAAAAUUUCUAGUAAUUUAUAAAGGAAAUUUCUACUGACUAUUAUUGACUGACUUCUUGCAAAGUAUUUGUAAGAAAGCUAAAGAAUUAAAGUUUUUUAAUUUUUAAAAUUGUAAGAAAAAAAUCAAUUAUUUUUAAAAUUGUUUUCAAAAAUAAAACAUCAACUAUUUAUAUAAUUGCUAAAUCUAUUAAGAUAAAUCCAAAAUAACUAGUAAAAUCAGUGACUUGCAUUGACGAGUGUAAUGAUCUUGACAGCAUCAGAUUAGACAAUUGCAUGGAAAUGGUCUUCUUAGUUUGCCGUGUGGAAAAUCAUGUGAUUUACGGGACUGCUGGAGAGAGUGUCUAUUGAUAAUUUUACCUUCUUUUCAAAUCUUUGACACUGCUUGGAUUGACCGGUAAUUUCGCUCGAAAAUUUCUAGUAAUUUAUAAAGGAAAUUUCUACUGACUAUUAUUGACUGACUUCUUGCAAAGUAUUUGUAAGAAAGCUAAAGAAUUAAAGUUUUUUAAUUUUUAAAAUUGUAAGAAAAAAAUCAAUUAUUUUUAAAAUUGUUUUCAAAAAUAAAACACCAACUAUUUAUAUAAUAGCUAAAUCUAUUAAGAUAAAUCCAAAAUAACUAGUAAAAUCAGUGACUUGCAUUGACGAGUGUAAUGAUCCGGAACCACUCGCAAUAAAUAAAGCCAAAAAAGGCAGACGAGUGUGUCUAUAUAUACAUAUAGGAACCGCUGAUUCGAUUUGAAUAUGUUAUUUGAUUAGUCUAAUUCAUGACUUGCAUUGACUCAAGAUUACCACUCAAGAUUUCGUGGUGCUUUCUCGGCCUGCAAAUGAAUAGAAAGCAUGUCCUUUUAACCUCAUUUCAAUAUCGUUGCUUUACUCUCCAGCUAGCCUGAUACAUAUGAGUCUCGAGACAUACGGCCAUUGAUAGAAAGGUGUGCUGAAGCAAAAUAUUUUUUUAUCUGUAGCGACCUCAAUAAUGUUAAAGCGUGGACCACCAUGAAAUUACCGCUCCAAAUUCCUUGUUCUUUCUAUAUUAUUAGAAAAAUUAUCAUUGACUAAUUUAAUUGGAAAUUAUUUGCGAGAAAGCUAAAAAGAAUUAAAGUUUUUUAAUUUAUAAAAUUAUAAUUUUAAAUUGUAAAAAAAUUCAAUUAUUUUAAAAAAUAAAACAUCAACUAUUUAUAUAAUAGCUAAAUAAAUCUAUUAAAAUAAAUUGAAAAUAACUAGUAAAAUCAAGCAAAUAAUCCAAAAAUAACAAGAAAAUAAAUAUAUUUCCUAGAUCUAAUUUGAUUAUAUUUUUUAUCUUGAUUGACUUACUUGCUAAGUCUUUGAACUUUAAUCUAAGAAUUUGUUUUAUAUUUCUUCAUUUAUUAAUGAAAUAUUACUUCUAUUGUAUAGUUUUUGGUUUCGAGUCGAUCCACCAGAUUAAUAGGUGAACAAUACAUUUUUUGAAUUUAUUAGAAGAAACGUGUAAUGUAAAUUAUAAAAUAAUAUUUAUUUUUCUGAUAUAUAUAAUAAUAAUAAAUUAGAUGACAGUUACAAGAAAAUAAAAAUUAAUUUGAAUAGAUGGUACGAGUUUCUAUUCUGAUAUAUCCAGGGAAGAAGUUCGAAGAAUAGAAUGAAGUUAAAUAUUCUUAAUAAAAAAAGAAAAAAAAAAGAAAAAAAAUAUAUUUUUAAUAAAUAUAAAAGAUGGAUAAAAUUAGAGAACAAGAAAGAGAUAUAUAAUCUCUUUGUAAGAACUUCUAAAAAUUUAAUUACAAUUGAGAAUUUCUUCCUUAAAAAAAUCCAAAAAAAUCCUAUUAUAUAUGAAUCAAGACAACAGUUGAAUAACUAUUACAUAUUUUUCAAGUUUACUUAGAAUAAUUAUUUUAAUAUUUAAAAAUUAAAAAAAUACUGUGUAGUUGUUUUGUAUAAAUUCUAAAGUUGAGAACUCUUUUGUGCUUGGUAAAAUGAAUAACUUUUACAUAUUCUUCAAUGUUUCACACUGCUUUAAUAGAUUGGUACAGUAAAUACCUCACACUACAGUUAAUAAAUAAUAACACAAGAAAGGACCAAAGUAUAUAAAUAAUAGCAUGUUUCACACUGCUUUAAUAGAUUGUUACAGUAAAAGCACAAAGAAGAACGGUUCAAGAUGUGGUAGAAUCACCUUCGAAGUGACUAAAUCUGCUUUAAUAUAUUUGAGAUUCACGCAAUGCCACUCUCAUCGGUAUUCUAAAAGCGAAGAGAAGAGUAGAAGCAAUGUGAUAGCUAUACAGGUGAGACUUAAUAAUUUACAGGUGAUAAUUGUUUUUUAAAAUAUUUUUUUUAUUUGAAAAUGUAUUAAUUUAAUGUAAAAUAAUAAAUAAAAUUUAAUUUUUUUUAAUUGUUUUUUAAAAUAUAAAAACAAAGAGGAUAUAAUCAACCUCUUGAUGUCACUAUUAAUUAUUGAUGUCGAUUGAUGCACAUGCUAACACCAGCGAAGAAUUAAGAGGCCAAUAUGCCAUUUGAUGCGAUAUUGCAAUUCAACAGCCAAGACACCACGGCUGAUAGAUGUAGACAGCGGUAAUGAACAGGAAAAGUUAAAAAAAUUAAAAUAUUUCAUGUCUUCACAGUCGUUUAGAAAAGAAACAAGAUCAAACCUUGGUUUCAUUUUGUCAGUUGACUCCAAGUCAAUGUCUAAAUCUCCUCUAAAUUCCAAACUGGGUCACCCAGCGAAUUAAGGUAUAGAUUUUAUUGGACGACAAUCAUAUUAAUAAAUAUGGGACGACAAAUCACAAACAUAAUCAAUUCAACCGUACUCCAAAGAACACUCAUACUCCAAUAUCAGCAACCACCACGAAGGUUGAAUUACACUACUUGUUAAAUUAAUAAAGUUACUAGUUGCUAUAAAGUAAGAGAUAAGAAAAUAUUGUGUUUUAAAAUAUUUUUGUUUUAAAAUAAUAUUUUUUUAUUUUUAAAAUUUAUUUUUAAUAUUAUUACAUCAAAACUAUAUAAAAAAAAUAUUUCAGAUUAUCAAUUCAACCGUUCUCCAAAGAACACUCAUACUCCAAUACCAGCAACCACUACGAAAGUUACCACUCUAAAUUCCAGCUCAAUAAUUUAUUCUUUGACAAUUAUUGCAUUGCUAAUAAUUUGCAAGGAAACAUACUUUUAACUAUAUUCAAUUCCAGAAUAUUUUUUUUUGAUAAAUAUUUGAGAAAUAUUGAUAAUCUUUUAUCAAGUUUUAUUUUUAUCAUUUUUAUUUGGAAUUAAUUCUAUUAUGUAUUUAAAUGUGUUUAGUUACCUUGUAAACUGUAUGUUAGAGUCCCUCAAAUAUUCUGGCCACAUCAACCACUAUAUUUUAUGCCAAGCAGUAUUUUGUCCUUGAACCCUUUGGCCCUCUAAAUUACCCAAAAAGGACAAUAAUUGAGCACAAGUGGUACAGGUCAGGGUUAAACUCAGCUUGCUAGAGCCAGUUCUCAAUUUUAGGCGCCAGUUCUCAAUUUUAGGCACCAGUUCUCAAUCGAAUUUUAGCAAAAUCUGGGCUAGGAUUUGAAACAAAUGUAGCUAUUUUUUCUCCUUUUAUUAUUAAAAAAUAAUAUUCAUGGAUUAAUUUUCGUAUAAUUUAAGAAAGUAAGUCCUUUAAUCAAAUUUUAGAGUGUUGCAAUUACUACGAAAGGAACGCAAAAAGACAUAAAGUUUUUCGAAGAGAGAAAUAAAAAGGAAAAGGAAAAGGAAACAACCCCCACUCCAUCUUUCCCUUCUUUCCAUGAAAAUCAAUUUUAGGAUUUUGAUUUUCAAUCAGUAUGAGUGAGAAAGAAAGAGAGGACAAGCCGACACUUCAAAGGUCCUCUUUCUCUUUCCUUGCUUUUUUUAACGCGUGGAGCCAGCAGUUGUUGCCACCAAAUUCCUUGCUCAGUAUUUGAAAAUUUUCCUAAUUUUUUUUCCUCUACGUGCUGUUACCUUUUACCUCUUUUAUAAUUAUUAUGAUUAUUGCAUUGCUAAUAAUUUGCAAUAAAGAUGAUGAACAUUUUUUAGUCAAUUCAAAAUAACAAGAUAAGGUUUGUUCAGGCUUUUCUUGGAACCUCGCUCAGGGAUUAGUUAGCGAGAAUAAGAAAAUGCUGUCCAAAUUAUACAAAAUUUAUUAUUAAUCAUCAAUAUUUAUUCUUGAUCAUCAAUAUUGAAUAAAGGCUUAUUUUCUAGUAUAAACUUUGAUGAGAUUGUUUAUAAAAAUAACCAAAUUGAGGUUUUUCAAUUACCUUUAAAUAUAUCAUAGUUUUAAUAGGCACACAGUAUAUUUUUUAAUUUAUUAGAAAAAACAUGUAAUGUAAAUUAUAAAAAAUAUUUAUUUUUCUGAUAUACAUAGUAAUAAUAAAUUAGAUGAUAGUAACUAGAAAAUAGAAAUUAGUUUAAAUAAGUGGUACCAAUUUCUAUUCUAUAUAUCUACGGAAGAAGUUCAAAGAAUAGAAUGAAAUCAAAUAUUCUUAAUAAAAGAGGAAAAAAAACACAAAAAGAAAUAAAAUAUGUUUUUAAUAAAUAUAAAAUAUGGAUAAAAUUAUAGAACAAGAAAGAGAAGUUAGAUACCUCAAAUUUUAGUAAGGAUCCAAUUGGAUUGUUUAAAAGAGGAGAAACUGUCAUUGACUGAUUUAAUUGGAAAGUAUUUACAAGAAAGCUAAAAGAAUUAAAGUUUUUUAAUUUUAAAAUUAUAAUUUAAAAUGGCAAGAAAAAAAUCAAUUAUUUUUAAAAUUGUUUUAAAAAAUAAAACAUCAACAAUUUUAUAAUAGCUAAAUAAAUCUAUUAAAAUAAAUUGAGAAUAACUAGUAAAAUCAAGCAAAUAAUUCAAAACCAACAAGAAAAUAAAUAUAUUUUCUAAAUCGGGUUUGAGUAUGUUUUCUAUCUUGAUUGACUGGCUAACUUGAUAAGUCUUUAUUAAGUGUAAAUCAACUUUAUUCUAAAAGUCUGUUUGAUAUUUUUUUAUUUAUUAAUGAAAUAUUAUUUUUACUAUACAGUUAUUAGAUCCCAGGCUAAUCUACUGGGUCGGUUUAAAUUUAAUAACUAUGGUUCAUAGUCAUAUAGCUAGUAGUUGCACUAAAGCUAAUAAUUUAAAAAAAAUUAAAUAUCAAUAAUUUUUGUUGGCAUCAAAUAAUUAAAAAUGAGAAUUUCAGAGCAGAGGGUUUAAGAAAUAUUAAAAUAGAAGGUUUUGUGUAAUUAUUAGAUAAUUGAAAUCAUCACUAAUCUCCUUUGUUCAUUUUCCUUUUUUAUUACCCUUACCAUGCACAAAACUUCAUGUCACUUAAUGAUACACUUGCUUUCAACGUUUAAACUGUUAAAGAAUAAUAUAAAUUAUAUUAUGAGAUCUUACCUAACAGCUUAAGUUAUUGGGUUGAGAUGGUUCUUUGAUAUGGUAUCAGAGCCUUGAUGAUCAAGCGGUCACGAGUUCGAAUCUCACCAUCUCUAUUUAUUUGAUAAAAAUUAAGCACAAAGUAAUGUGGAUUUGUGCAAGUUUUAAGCCCAAAUGGCUUUCACUUGAGGGAGUGUGUUAAAGAAUAAUAUAAAUCAUAUCCUGGGACCUUACCUAACAGCUUAAGUUAUUGGGUUGGGAUGGUUCUUUGAUAUAAUAGCAACCAUCAUGAAAUUACAACACUAAAUUUAUUCUUUAGCAAUUAUAUAAUGCUCGCUCUUUCACAGUUAUUGCAUUUCUAAUAAUUUGCAAGAAAAUUAACAUUCUUUGUCUCUCAAUCUGCACCUACCAUGAAAUUAACAUCCUUUCUCGACAUUUCCUAGCAAUUUAUGGAGGAAAUUUCCUUGUGCCCUCUCUUAUACAUUAUUACAAAAACUGUCAUUGAUUGAUUGACUUGCAAAAGUAUUUGCAAGAAACCUAAUGAAUUAGAGUUUUUAAAAUUUUUAAAUUAUUAAAAACAUCCAAUUGUUUUUUUUUUAAAUCAAGAAUAAAACAUCAACUAUUUAUAUAAUUACUAAAUAAAUCUAAUAAAAUAAAUUGGAAAUAACUAGUAAAUAAUUCAAAAAUAACUAGAAAAUAAAUAUAUUUUCUAUGAUUUGAGUAUGUUUUUGAUUCACUAAUUUGCUAAGUAUUUGCUAAGCAUAACCGAAAGAAAUUAUUUGCUAAUCACUCACUAAUUCAUCCAUGAUAUGUUCAAAAAAAUGGGUUAAAAAUUGGGUAACAACACCAUAUCUAUUUUAUUGAAAACCCGGGCCUGUAAUUGACCGGAAGAAAACCGAUCAACCCACUAAGUAGAUCUGGAACCUUGAUGACCCAACAAAACCUGGUAGAAAUUCAUUUUUUUUUCAAAUGUAUUUUUUCUUCUAGCUAGAGACCUCUAUUUUUUAUAUAUUUUUCAGUUGGUUACUAACCCAUUUCAAAGUUUACUAUAUAAAUAUUAGAAGAAUGUUUUAUUUUUUUAAUGUGGGAUUUGAAACCUUUUAGUAUAUAUACUCUUUGUUUACUAAAAAAAAAAUUAUGUUUUUUUAAUAUGAAAUAAAAAACCUUUUUGAUUUAAAUACUUCAACUCAAAAAAAUAAGAUAGUAUCUUUUUAAUGUGGAAUAAAAAAAACCAUUUGAAAUAAUCUUUUAAACUUCAUUAUUUAUAACAUGUAUAACUUAUAUCUUUCUUAAUUUUUUCAUAUGAAAUAUUAAAACCUUUAAUAUUUUUUUUUUCUUGGUUGACUUGGAUCAAUCCUUGUAACUCGAGACUCAGCUCCUUGAUUGAGUCGAUCUCGAGUCGGGUUUGAUAAUUAUGAAAAUAUUUAAUGAAAAAAUAUAUUUUUUUUGUAUAAAAAUGAAGGGUAAAAUAUUAAAUUAUGACAUAUAUCAUUAAUUAUUGACAUACUCUUGUAACAAGCAUGAAACUUUAUGUUAUUUCAUGAUACCCAUGUUUUUAACGCUUUACACCGCUUUAAUAAAUUGUUACAGUAAUAGCACAGAGAGAAGAACGGAUCAAGAGAAAAUAAUAAUGUAACCAUCUAGAAAGUGAUGCAAUGAUAAGAAUUUGGAACUAAAGAGUUUGUUUUUUUUUUUUUUUUCAGGUUCGAGUUUUGUGGUUGCUAAUAUAAUAGUUACUGGAGAUUUACAUGAUCGUUAACUUUAGGACUCGUAAGAUUAGUUUCGAGUUUUGUGGUUGCUAAUAUAAUAGUUACUGGAGAUUUACAUGAUCGUUAACUUUAGGACUCGUAAGAUUAGUCAAGAUGCAUGCAAACUGGACUGGAUACCUACAGGAAUCUAAAAAAAAAUAAUAAUGGAGAUGAAGCAAAAUCUCUGUUUGAUUUUUUCUUUUUUGUGUUUUUGGUACAUUGGUCAACAAUAGCUUGGAAGACUUUGGUAGCAGUAAGUAACCUGUUCUUCCUCAAUAAUGUUAACGCGUGGACCCUGUUGUUGUGGAAACUUUGCAGAGGAUCUUAAUAAAAACAAGUAAAUAGAAAAAUAUUAAUUUUUAAAUAUAAAAACUAGAAAACCUGAUAAUAUUGAAUAAAAAAUAAAAUAAAAAUUUAUUCUUUUCAAGUAGAAAAAAAAUAUAAAAGUUUAACAAUAUUGAAUAGAAAUAAAUAAAAUUUUUAAACUAAAUAAAAAUGAUAGAAAAAAAUAUUUAUUAUCUUAAAAAUUCUUAUAUUAAAAUCUUAAUUUAUCACAUGAACUGAGUCUAUAUGCUAAAAUCAGAAGAAAAAAAAAAACAAAUGUAACAAAAAAAAUUCUACACAACACAAUUAAUUAUAGGAUCGUAUAUUUCGAGACUAAAUUGAGGUUUUUGAAUUAUCUUUAAACAGAACAUGAUUUUAAUAGGUGCACUGUAUAUCCUUUGAAUUUAUUAGAAGUAACGUGUAAUGUAAAGUAUGAACCGCGUACCAUUAACUAGCCUUUUCAAUUGGAUUUUUUAUUUAAAUGAAAAGGAAAUUUUGUUUUAUUAUGAAAAUAAUAUUUAUUUUUUGAUAUAUCUAAUAAUAAUAAAAUAGAAAGUAGAUUGAAUAAAUGAUAUCAGUUCCUAUUAUGAUAUAUCUAGUAAAAGAAUAGAAUGAAUUAAAAUAUUCUUAAUAAAUAUAAAAGAUGGGGAAAUUACAUCACACGAAACUACCAAUAAGCAAAUUUUAAUCUGUAAUUAUGUAGGUCUUAAUUACAAGGGUUUUAAUUUAGGAAGUAUAUUAAAAAAUAAUAUAAAUUAUAUUCUAGAAUUUAUUUUAAUAGUUUAAAUUUUGAGAUGAAUUAAUAAGUCUUUACAAAUAAAAGAUAUAGUUUUACAAUAAAAUGCAUUUUUAGAAAUGAAAUUAUAUUAAAUUAAGCGUGCUCGAGAUUGUUCAAAUUAUUAAUUAAUUAUAAUUAACUUUAUGUCUUUAGAGGAAACAAAAGGGAAGGACAAAAUUAUUUUCCCCUCAACGAUAGACCUAGCCCACUUUCCAAACAAAAGGUAAAUAGAAUGAUGGUCUCAUAAAUUGCUUUUUUUCUUUCUAGCUCGUCAAGCAGUUUGGUCUCCCUCACUGGAAAAUCUCCUUUUUCCCUGCCUCUGUGCACGUAGGGGAAGAAGGAGAAUAGUAUCGUUCAAAAUAUCACUGUUUUGAAAUUUUUUUUGAAAAAAAUAAAAUGAAUUUAGGAAUAAUUUAAAAAUAGAUUAUGAUAUUUUCCAUCACUUUUUCUUAUCAUCAACUUCAAUAUGUUGCUUCUUUUUUAAAGGUUUAACACUAGAAAGCCUUUUUUUUGUUUCAUUCUUCAAAUCUUAAUAACAAACGUAUGUAAUAGACAAUUGAUAGUGAAAUGAAAAGGUUAAGGAAGAUGAAAUUGUAAGAAAAGAAAAUAAAUUUAAAAUAUUAUUAUGAAAAAAACAAAAAACAAUAAAAAAUAUGGACCAAAACUUAAAGAUAAAAAAAUUAAAGGUAAAAUUGAAAAAUAAUUCUAGUUUUAUAAAUUAUUAAAAAAAGAUUUCAAAUAUUUAAUGAUGAAAUCGAAAAAUAUUAACUUUAAAAAUUAGCCAGAAAAAUUCAAUAAAUAAUAAAAAAACAAACUCAAGAAAAUCUAAAUCAUUUAUAAAAUUAGUAAAAACUUCCACACUAAGUAAACAAAUAAAAACAAAACAAAUAGAAACAAGGAAGUAAAGUCUGUAAUUAAAUAUAUACGCGGAGACAAAAACAUGGGCAUGUGACAGGAGACAAAAGGGCAAAGGAAGGUCUCUAUCCAACUUCCUUUUCCUUUUUCUUAGAAAAAAAGUGACAAAAUCUGAUAGAACACAGAUUCCAUCUCUUUUUCAUUGGUUUUUUUGUUUUUUUAAUGUUUAUGCAUGUGGCUCAACCUUUCUCAGUAAUUGCAACAUGUUUCUUUGUUGAAUAAACUGCAAUACUGGUCUCCCUCACUGGACCCCUUUAUAAUGAGAAUCACACUAGGAAAUUUAAAAGUAAUUUGAAGUAUUAUUAAAGCCUAUAAAAAUAAAACUGAUAAUAAUAUAGUUGGGAUUUUAAAAAAAAAAUUGAUAAAAAACCAUAUAAAAAGAAAUUUGAAACAAAGUAAUCUUAAAAAACCAAAACAAACAUGCCAUGAAAACAAAUUUAAAAUAAACAAAAUACUUUAAAAAAAAAUAAUUCAACCAUUUCUUCAUAAAAAAAACAGUAAUUGGGUGUUACUUUAUGGUCAAAAAGUACAAUAAUGCAAAAAAAAAAAAAAAAAGAGUUUUAGGAUAUUGAUUUUAUUAUUUGUUAGGUAACUAUGUAAUCUAUACGUUGAUGUGGAAAAUAGGACUAAGUUUUUUUGUCAAAAGAGUAACUGUGUAAUCUAAUAUUCAUCUCUCAAAUCCCUAAUCCAAUUGAUCAUAUAAUUAAAUAAUUGUUUUAAUUAAUAACUAUAAGAAACAAACUCCCUUGUUAGUUCAUUACUUAAAUAAAAACUCAUGAUUGUCUAGCAAAGUAAAUAAAUUACUUAACCGGAUCACCAGAGGAGUUAUUUGCCAAAAUAAAAACUCAUGAUUGAGUUAUAUAACAGUUUAUAAAUCAUGCUAUCAUCUCCAUCACCAUAUAUAAAGCUAGACAAAAUAGGAUAAGACGGGAUUAAAUUUAAUUUUAGGAUAUAUUUGAGAAUAUGAUUGAAUCAUGCUUUUUAAAAUGUUUUUGAAUUAUUUUAAUAUGUUGAUGUCAAAAAUAAAUUUUAAAAAAUAUUAUUUUAAUAUAUUUAUAAUAAAAAAAUAUAUUUUAUAAAGCAAUUUUCACCAUAUUUUCAAAUAAAUUAAAAUUUUUCAAAUAAAUGGAUUGAUAUAUCGAUGACACUCUCUAGUCAGUUUUGAGAAUUUUGAAUCCAAACAAGUGAAUUUAUAUGCAUGCUUGUACAACUUGAUUUUCUCUUUAAUUUAAUCAACAAUAAUUUCUCAUACUCAAUAGAAAUUUGGGUUUAUCAUUAGGGUAAGACAACCUGUAUUUUAAAAUACUAUUGCCAAAAGAUCAUAUUAUUUAUUACCACAAGAAAGGACCAAAGUUAAUAAAUAAUAGCAUGCACGAAACUUCGUGAUACCCAUGUUUUCCACGUUUAAUAGAGUGUUACAGUAAAAGCACAGAGAGAAGAACGGUUCAAGACAGAACAAUAAUGUUAACGCGUGGACCCCAUUUGCUGUUUUUUCCUCUACGUGUUACCUUUUACCUCUUUUACCUCUUUUAUAAUUAUGAUUAUUGCAUUGCUAAUAAUUUCCAAGAAAGAUGAUGAACUUUUUUUAGUGAAUUCAAAAUAAACAAAAUAAGGUUUGUUGAGGCUUUUCUUGGAACCUCGCUCUGGGAUUAAUUAGCGAGAAUAAGAAAAUCCUGUGUAAAUUAUACAAAUUUCCUUGCUUUUUUUUUCCUGCAUGUGUUACAUUUUUAUCUUUUAUAAUUAUAAUUAUUGCAUUGCUAAUAAUUUGCAAGAAAGAAUAUUGUUUCUCUGAAAAGAAGUCUGAAUGUUUUUAGAAAGAAGCAGUCUUCAUUGCUUUUCAAAACCAAUCUCUGGAUCUAUUAACAAAAACUCUAAAUCGCGAGUAAUAGACACAAUUAAUUAUGCAUUGCUGUAAUAAAAUCACGUAUUUAUUUUCAAGUGGGAAAAAAUUAAGCCAUGAGGCCAGGGGUUCUUUGGUCUUUACCUAUUUUCGUUUUGGCCACCGAAUUUUAUUUUUUUUUCAAUAAAAGAGAAGGUUUUGUGUAAUUAUCAGAUAAUUGAAAUCAUCACUAACUCCUUUGUUCAUUUUCAUCUUUUUUUAUUACCCUUAGCAUGAUACACAGAAAAGAAGAACGGUCAAGAGAGAAGAAUAAUGGAGAUUACUGUGGAGAUGACGAAUCAAAAUCUUUGCUUGAUUUUCUGUUGUGUUUUUGGCACAUUGAUCAACAAUAGCUUGGAAGAGUUCGAUAGCAGAGGAAGAAAAAUAAUAGCAGUAACCUUUUCCACCUCAAUAAUGUUAACGCGUGGACCCAGUUGUCGUGGAAACUUUGCAGAGGAAGAAAAAUAAUAGCAGUGACCUUUUCUACCUAAUAAUUUGCAAGAGAGAAUUCUUUCUCUGAAUAUAUAGAAAAAAACUAUUAUUUUUUAAUAAAAACAACUAUAUAGAAAAAUUAUUACUUUUUAGGUAGAAAAACCUCAUGAUAUUGAAUAAAAAAAUGAAAUAGAAAAAUUAUUCUUUUCAAGUAGAAAAAAAUAUAAAAGUUUAGUAAUAUUGAAUAGAAAUAAAUAUUAAAAUUUCUAAACUAAAUAAAAAUAACAGAGAAAAAUAUAUAUUAUCCUAAAAGUUCUUAUAUUAAAAUAUUAAAAAGAACUGAGUUUACAUGCUUUAAACAGAAAAACAAUAAAAAAAACAAAUGUAACAAGAAAAAUUCCACGCAACAUAAUAUAUAUGAUAUAAAUUGAGGUUUUUAAAUUACCUAUAAACAUAUCAUAAUAUAUAUGGUACAUCCUUUGAAUUUAUUAGAAAGAAGCCAUUAACUAGCCUUUUCAAUUGGAUCUUUUAUUUAAAAGAAAAGGAAUAUUUAUUUUAAUAUGAAAAAAAUAUGUAUUUUUUAUAUAUAUCUAGUGAUAAUAAAUUAGAGGAUAGUAACAAGAAAAUAGAAAUUAGAUCAAAUAAAUGAUACCAAUUUUUAUUCUGAUAUAUCUAGCUAAAGAAUAGAAUGAAUUAAAACAUUCUUAAUAAAAAAAAAACAGAAAGAAAUAAAAAAAUAUUCUUAAUAAAUAUAAAAGAUAGGUGAAAUCAGAGAACAAGAAAGAAAUAUAGAAUCUCUUUCUAAGAUUUCUUGUUCCCUUUCCCUUCUUUACACGGCCUCCUCAAUGAAAAAGCAAACACCCCAUUUGAUUUUCAUUCAGUAUGAGAGUGAGAAUGAGAAUGAGAAUGAGAGAGAGGUAAUUUCGACUAUACAUAGAACUCGACAGGACAGAAGACUUAAAGAUAAAAUAGCUUUGAUUUACAACCAUGGCUUCAAGGGCCUGGAAUAGGACCAGGUACAAGUUUGUUUCUAUCUAAGAAAGCAAGAAGCUCCCACUAAUGCAUGCUCUCAACAAACUACCCCCAAUUUCGCCACUACAGCUCAAGUAGCUUUGAGUCAUUCCAACAAGUAGGAAUUGAAUUCAAAGGAAUAAAUCAUUAAAUGCGGAGUUGGUGUUCUCCUGUUUGUGGUUCUGAUAAAUGUAAGAACGGACAGAGAGAAGAAAUAGGAAAAAUCCAUGUAUCUAUUAGUUGGCAGCAGUUAUCAUUCGGCCCUUGCCGCCCACGAAAUCCCUUUAUCCUGCUGUUAAUUUUUUUAAAGACGCGUAUCAGGUGUUUGAUAAAAUUCCUCAACUGGAAAAAAAAACCAUGUUUAGAAUGCUUGAGUCCUUUACAAGUGGAAAGUGGGAACUAUCCACUUUCCCAUUUGAAAUCAUCACUAACUCCUUUGUUCAUUUUCUUCUUUUUUUAUUACCCUUAGCAUGAUACACAGAAAAGAAGAACGCGUGGUUCAAGAGAGAACAAUAAUGGAGGGGAAUCAAAAUCUUUGUUUGAUUUUAUGUUGUGUUUUUGGUACAUUGAUCAACAAUAGCUUGGAAGAGCUUGAUAGCAAUAACCUUUUCGACCUCAAUAAUUAAUGUUAAUGCGUGGAUCCAGUUGUUAUGGAAACUUUGCAAAGGAUCUGCAGGAAGAAAAAUGAAAAGCUUUUCGAACCUACAAUAUAGAGAGAGAAAUAAAUAAAUAAAAAGCUUUUCAAAACCAAUCUCAUGCCAAAUUGGUUUGUCUGUCCAGUACUUGAGCUUGCACACUUCGUUUAUAUUCAAACAAUAUUCUUCCGUUGCUUUUAUUCUUUACAAUAAUGUGAUAGGAAUAACAUUAAUAUUAUUAUAAAGAAAAAACUCCACCCACUUUGAAACACCUUUGAUGUGUUGAUUGAAAUUGACAAGUGAGUUUACUCACAUGUUGUUAUAUUGGUUUUGAGUUCAAAUAUGGAGAUUUUAUGAUUUAUUCACAUGAAUGCAUUCAUUUAUUCACCUAUUAACUAAAUCAUGUAUUCAAUAUGAAUGAUGGGAGAUUUUUAAUGUCUUCUGAAUACAUUCAUUUAUAUAUGAAAAUAAUUUAUGUGUGUGUAUAAGGUUAUUGAAAUGAAGAUUAUUAUCCUCCAGCUCAUCAUCAGAUCACACGAAAGGAACGCAGAAAGACAUUCCCUUUCUUGUCAUAAAGUUUUGAAUAGAAUGCCCAUCAAAAAGUACUUUCGUGCAUUAUUGUCAUAAAGUUUUUCAAACUUCCAAUAUAGAGAGAGAAAUUAAAAAAAAAAAAAAAGCAAAAGGAAACAACCCCCACCUCAUCUUUCUUGUUCCCUUUUCCUUCUUUACAUGGCUUACUCAAUGAAAAAGCAAGCACUAAGGCACCUUCUCCACAAACUACCCCCCAAUUUCGCCACUAUAUAAAUAUUAUGGAAAACAAGAUAAAAAGAAAUCUUUUGGUACAUAUAUAAAUAUAUUAUGGAAAUUAACAUGGUAUCAGAGUAUCUGUGAACUAUUGCUGGGAUUGGGAAGUCAUAAUUUUUGACACGCCUAAUCACAGUCUUUUUUGGAAAAAGAAGAAGAAGCCAGGCUAUGAAAAUAGGUUUCUGGAAAUUUACAUCAUUUGAUUUUGACAAUUGCAUGGAAAUGGUCUUCUUAGUUUGCCGUGUGGAAAAUCAUGUCAUUUACGGGACUGCUGGACAGAGUGUCUAUUGAUAAUUUUACCUUCUUUUAAAAUCUUUGACACUACUUGCAUUGACUGGUAAUUUCGCUCGAAAAUUUCUAGUAAUUUAUAAAGGAAAUUUUUACUGUAUAUGAAUUGAAAAACUAUUAUUGACUGACUUCUUGCAAAGUAUUUGUAAAAAAGCUAAAGAAUUUAAGUCUUUUAAUUUUUAAAAUUAUAAUUUGUUGAGGCUUAUCUUGGAACCUCGCUUUGGGAUUAAUUAGCGAGAAUAAGAAAAUCCUAUGCAAAUUAUACAAAAUUUAUUAUUAAUCAUCUAUAUUUAUUAUUGAUCAUCAAUAUUGAAUAAUGGCUUAUUUUCUAGUAUAAACAAUGUUUGAAAUAAAAUUGAUAAAAGAUAGUAUACAUAAUUAUUAAUGAUGGGAUUGUUUAUAAAAAUGACUAAAUUAAGGUUUUUUAAUUAUCUUUUAACAUUUUAUGAUUUUAAUAGAUGGGCUGUACAUCAUGUAAAUUAUAAAAGAAUAUUUAUUUUUCUGAUAUAAUAAUAAUAAUAAUUAUAAUAACAAUAAUAAUAAUAAAUUAGAUGAUACUAACGAGAAAAUAGGAAUUAGUUUGAAUAAAUGAUACCAGUUCCCAUGAUGAUAUAUCUAAAGUCCUAAACUUCAAGAAUUUCUCUUCUUUAUCUUUUGUAUUUUCUCAUUUUCUUGGCAUGCGCGCAGCUGCUUCAUGGAAAAAACGUUUCAGAUGCGGAAAAUAAAAGCGGAAAAAAAAAUCCCAAAUAUCAGCAAACAUCACAAGAGAAGCUUGAUCUCAACAAGAUGUUGCAGUCCACAGUCUUUCCAUUACAUUAUAAUUACUUCUAAAAAAAAUUAAUUUAAUUUUUAAUUAUAAGCCAUCAGCAACUACCUCAAAAUUACCACUCUGAAUUCCAGCUCAAUAUCGAUUAACAUGUGGCUACAGAAUUUGAAUUAAGUUCAAUUAUACAAAAUCCUGUGCAAAUUAUACAAAAUCCUGUGCAAAUUAUACAAAAUCCUGCUUUAAGUUCUUGGAACCUAGCUCUGAGAUUAAUUAGCGAGGAUAAGAAAAUUCAGUGCAAAUUAUAUAAAAUUUAUUAUUAAUUAUCGAUGUUCAAGAUUUUCUUAAAUGUUAUUUUAUUUUCAUUAUUAUUUAUAAAAAUCCAAAAAAAUUAAGAAAAAGUUUAAAAAUUCAAAAAUAUAUUUUUCUCGAGUCAAUCACAUUUUUCCAUCAAAACCAAGUCCACCGGGUCAAACCAUGUCGACUAGGGUAAAAAAUGAGUUUCGGGUCAAAACCGUCAUUUCCGACCAAAACCGAGCUCACCGGGUCAAUACGGGUCAAACCAUGUCGACCAGGGUAAAAAAUAAGUUUCGGGUCAAAACCGUCAUUUCCGACCAAAACCGAGCUCACCGGGUCAGGACGGGUCAAACCAUGUCGACCAGGGUAAAAAAUGAGUUUCGGGUUGUUUCGGGUCAAAACCGUCAUUUCCGACCAAAACCGAGUCAUUAGGUCAGUACGGGUCAAACCAUGUCGACCAGGGUAAAAAAUGAGUUUCGGGUUGUUUCGGGUCAAAAACUGUUAUUUUCGACCACAACCCGGUUCACCGGGUUGAUACCCAUCAAAUGUUUUUUUUGAUAUUCUAUUUCUUUUUUUGCGGUUGAAACCGGCUUUUUCUAAUACUAAUUUGAAUUUUUAAUUUUACCUAUAUAAAUAUUUAUUAUUAUAUAUAAUAAAACAAAAUCAAUAAUUCAACAAUUUGUCAGCGGAGCAGUUGAUUUUUUUAUUUAAGGUAGAUGGCAGAAGGGAAAGGAAAACAGAAAGAAAGAAAGAAAGAAAGAGAGAAGAGUGUACUAUUCAUAUCUUUUUUAGUUUUUCUUCAUGAGAGUAGGAUAUUGUUUUUUUUUAAAAACAAUAUGGAAAAUAUCAAACAUAUCCCAACCACUGGAUUCAAUAGUGUUAGUUCUGGGCCUUUAAUUUAAUAGGAUACAAUAGGACUUACCACACUAGAUUAAAACCCAAACACAUCUCAGCCCUUGAAAUAAUCUAAGCUUUGAUCCCGUUGCCCCACGUCACCCGGUGUACUGAGAUUUCGGUGCACCGCGUCACACCAGGUCAAACAUCUGCUCAUCCAGACCGUCCGAUCAACCUGCAGAUCGAGCCAAUCACAACCACACGAUCUUUUCAUCAGAGAUCCAACAGAUCACAGGCUUAAGUUGCACCGGUGUAUAGUGCUAGCGCUCACACCGUAGUAUAACCCAAAGCCUCUCUCUCCUAUCGCCGGCGACUCUCUCUCUCCUCCGAUCUCCCAUCUCCGGCUGUAUAAAGCCUCCAAACUACCACAGAAAGGUCGCCAACCUCCUACAAAGCAAAACACCGGCCUUUUUCAGCGUUUUCUCCGCCUUAUCUGGCCGCAAAAAGGCCGCGAUCGUCGCUGGCCAGCGACGCUUCAAGUCGUCGAUUCUCACUCAUCAGCCAUCAACGACCGUCAAGACCACCACCAUCAGAAUCCUCGACAUCAGAUCUACCAGGAUCGACCAUCGGUUGGACAGAAAUCUCACCGGAAAAUCUCGCCGCCGCCAACAGUAACCGCACGUGAGACACGCGCCACCAGUGGCAUUUUCGUAAUUUUUCAAGAAAUCCGAGGGUAUUUAAGUCUUUUACCUGGCACUCAUGUAUUUUUUUUAUCUAACAUUUUUUUAUUUUGUAUAAAAAUUUUCUUGCAUGUAGAAAAAAAAUAAAAAAAAAAUAAAUAUAAAAAACGACGUGGGUCCAACACCCAUCUUAUCAUAUUAUUGGUCGUGGGUGCAAAGCCCAACCUCUCAAGAAUAGUUAUACCUAUUUUUAAUGACAUCAAAAUAUUUGUUUUUAUAAAUAAAUAUUAUUUGUUGACACGUCUCUUUUUAUAGAAAAGGACCGAUGUCAAAAAAAGUUUAAAUACCAAACAAAUAUGGAUUAUGUUUAUAAUUUUGUUUUUUUUGUAAAUCAGACGUAAAUCUCCUUUUUAGGAUUAGACAUCGAUAUUUUAGACGAGUCUUCUAUUUUUAAGGACUGAUGUCAUUUUUAAUGUGUCUCUUAUUUUUAAGGACCGACGUUAACCAUUUUAAAAAAAUAAUAAAAUUACAAAUAAGCUCAAAAUACAAUAUCAUUUGAAACAAAAAAAAAACACAAGUAAAGAUAACUUUUCUUUUGAAAUGAUAAUUUAAGGGUGAUGUCUACCUUCCCUUAAUCAUAACUAACCCAGUACCUAAAUCUCUGGGACCAGUGUCUAAUUUGGGAUUUUUAGUUCCCUCAUAUUACUAGAUGGCGACUCCAAUAAAAUCUUAAUUUCCCCAAUAAAAAAUCUCUUUUUAUUAAAUAAACAAAAAAAGCGGAGCCAACAAAAAAAAUAGAGCCGUCGCCCGACAUUGUGUAUAAGUUUAUAUAAGCUUAUUUGAACUCGUACACGUUAAAGAAUAGUAUUGACCUUGAUAUUAGUUAUAAAUAAAUUGGUUUUUCAGGAAGAUAUUGUUUUAGGUUUAUUUCUUUAUUUAAGCUUGUUGAAUUCUAGGCCUUAUAUGAUAUUAGUUGAUGUGAUUUGGAUUUAUUUUUAAGUUAAUUUGUGUGUGGGUAGUAAUAAGUGUAUAUGAAUAUGAAUUGAAGUAAGUACCUUAACAAAUGUGAUGGGUUGGUGUGAAGCUUUGAUUAAUUGCUAUAUUUUGAUGUCAUGAGCAAAUACCUUAACAAAUUUGAAUAUUUGAAAGAUAAUAAAUAAAUAUUGAAGAAUUGUAUAGAAAGAAUCGUAUCGAAAUUAUGGAAAAUAUGAUUUUGUCCUGAAAUUCUAAAAAACAAUUAUAGUUUGGUCACUGGUUGUAAAUAAUAAAUUUUAAAAUAUUUUUUGAUAAAUAUUGAUGAUUUAUUAUCAAUUUUUAUUGUUAUCAUUUAAAUUUAAAAUUAAAUAUAUUCUGUAUUUAAAUGUGUUUCGUUUCUUUGGAAACUGCAUGUGUUGGGAAAACUAGGGACAACUAACCGGAUCAAUUCAGCGGAAUACAAUUCACAAUUCACAAGUCCCAAUCAUUUUUCCCUCUUUGUGCAGUAAAAACAGAAUCAAACAAUGAACAAAUAUAAUGCAACAAUCACACAAAUCAACGCCAAGAUUUUUACGUGGAAAACCCGAUGCGAGAAAAACCACGGGACCGGAGUCCACCUAAAAACUUCCACUAUCACAAAUAAUGGGUUCACAAUUGUUCUUCCUCAGAUUCAACUAAGGGCUACAACAUAUAUAUAUCAUCAAGAACAACUUAUUCUCGGAUUACAACAAGAUUAAAGAGAGUAAUGUUAGAGAAAAGCUCACAACACUGACAGCCCUGUUUUCUGUCAAAACGACCAGCUUCCACACCACCAAUCUUCAAUCCAACCGUUCAGAAUGAAGAGGAACGUGUCUAGAAGUUUCUGUCAAAAUCUCAGCCCGAUCCAACGGUGAAACAACUGGAAAAUGAAGAAAGAAGACAGACUGCUCUGCUGCCUCCUCUUCUUUCUUUCUCUCGGUUUUCUUCUCCUCUCUUCUCAAAUUUUCUACUACUAUCUACAGUAACCGUUUCAUUUAAUUUAAACCAAAGAGGCAGCCAGCUGCCUCCUUAAUUAAUGUGGUGGUCCCCCAUCACAUGGUGCGGGACCACACAACAGUAUGCUAGAGUCUCUCAAUAUAUUAAAAGGGCUAACUAUAAGGUAAAAUAAUGAUCAGUUUUAGUUAGCUCCUGCGGGACUUUGCAUUCUAUAAUUUAUGCUAUGCAUUCUAUAACCCUUGGCCCUCUAAAUUACCCAAAAAGGACAAUAAUUGAGCUUGGUGAUCUAAGAGCACAAGUGGUACAGUUCUCAAUCGAAUUUUAGCAAAAUCAAGGAUCCAAGAAAUGGCCUCUGUAACAUGGUAGCUAUGAUUUGAAACAAAUGUAGCUAUGUUUUCUCCUUUUAUUAUAAAAAAUUAAUAUUCAUGGAUUAAUUUUCAUAUAAUUUAAGAAAGCAAGUACUUUAAUCAAAUUUUACAUUGACCAUCCUCAAUGUGUUUAAAGUAAAUGUUAAUUACCAAGCUGUUGCAAUUAAACCUGACCGGCCCGGUAGGUUUACUGUUACCUUUUACCUUUUAUAAUUAUGAUUAUUGCCUUGAAUAUAUUAUUUGAUUAGUCCAUUUAUAGGUUGACUCUACUAUUCCUGCCUUGCAUUGACAGUAAAUUUCACUAGAAAUUUCAAGUAAUUUACACAGGAAAUUUCCUGGUGAUAAACCUGGAAUCUGAUUUUCAACUUUCGUAGGCACUAAAGUCCCAAACUUCAAGAAUUUCAGAAUAUCAAUUCAACCGUACUCCAAAGAACACUCAUACUCCAAUAUCAGCAACGACCACGAAAGUUACCACUCUAAAUUCCAGCUCAAUAAUUUGUUCUUUGACAAUUAUUGCAUUGCUAAUAAUUUGCAAGGAAACAUACUUUUAACUACAAGAGUCUGUUUGAUAUUUUUCCAACUUUUACUGUUUCACUUCAAAGUUUCAAUAAUUGUUUUUUCAUUACAUAUUCUUUCCAACGUGUAAUAAUUCGGAACCACUCGCAAUAAAUAAAGCCAGCAAAGGCAGAUGUGUUUGUCUAUAUAUACAUGAACCUGCUGAUUCGAUUUGAACACCCCAUUUCUCCGAUUCAAUAACUUCAGUUGCAAAACUUCUCUCUCCGAUUGCUGCAAUUUCAUAGCUAACUCUUUGUUAUACACAGGUAUAUAUGGCUAACUCUUCUUAGCUUCUUUCUUGUUUUAAUUUCAUGUCUCUACCAUUAACAAUAAUGUGAAAGCUUUGCUUGUUUCAUGUUUAACUUCAGUUGCUAUUGUCCUAUGCUUUCUCAUUAUUAAGCUUAAAUUGCUAAUUGAUUGUUCCUUAAAUUCUGCAGCUGAAAUGAGAGAGUCAGAGUCUUCUCGUUCUAUACCAGAAGGGGCCUAUGAUGUCUUCUUGAGUUUUAGAGGAGAAGAAACUCGCAAGACGUUUACUGGUCAUCUAUAUGCUGCCUUAGAUGAAGCAGGAAUCCACACUUUUCUAGAUGAUGUUGAACUUCCUAGAGGAGAAGAAAUCUCCGAGCAUCUUCUCAAGGCAAUUCGAGAAUCAAAGAUAUCCAUAGUUGUCUUCUCAAAAGGAUAUGCUUCUUCUAGAUGGUGUCUCAAUGAACUUGUAGAGAUUCUAAAGUGCAAAAGGAAGAAAACCGGUCAGAUUGUUCUUCCUAUAUUCUAUGACAUUGAUCCUUCAGAUGUGAGAAAACAGACUGGCAGUUUUGCAGAGGCAUUUGAUAAGCAUGAAGAGCGUUUUGAAGAGGAGUUGGUGAAGGAGUGGAGAAAAGCUCUUGAGGAUGCCGGAAACCUAUCUGGAUGGAGUCUCAAUGAUAUGGCAUAUGGGUAUUCCUUUUCUCUCUAAGAUUCACUUGCAGACGUUUAUGGAGUAAUUUUACAUUACAUUUUUCAAUGUGAAGUUAUAAAAUAUUUCUUUUUAGC
rnacentral:lncRNA from 1 species